UUUUUUUUUUUUUUUUUUUUGGUUGAUACUAUAGAUUCCUACACUAUGAGAAGAGAAGGACCUGAAGAGAUUCAAGAAUAACCCGAAGGGGACUGAAUAACUAUCGAACUAUACGGGUGUACUACGCACUCAUCUGAAUUUUUUAAACAGAGUCACUUUUUAAUGUGGCGAAUUGGUGGGAGGCAAGUUUUGAACCAUUGACUCCCACUCCACCAAGUGUUAAUGUAUUGGUGGUGCUCACCAGUCCAAAAGCUUCAAGUUUUUUACCACCCAUACAGAAAUUAAAGCUUUAAGUGAAUUUUUUCAGAUACCAUGUUUGAUAUUUGAAGCCUAUUAGAAUUUCAUGAUUACUUUAGAGGCUACAAGACAAUUUUUUACCUUCUACAAUUAUUUUUUUCAAAAUAUUUCUAGCAAGGGAGGAGUACGGUUGCAAACAAGUGAAAUCGAAUCAAGUUUUGGUCUAAUCAAGCUGAAUUCAACUCAACUUUAUCAAACUUAAACUCGACAAGUUUUCAAUGUAAAACUCAAAUUCGAUUUCAGAUUCAAACCUAGUUGAACUUGAGUUCAAGCCUACUCAAGCUCAAAAAAUUAAAAAAAUAAUUAUUUUAUUUUUAAAAUGAAUAUAAUAGAUUUUUUUCUUAAAAAAUAAAAAUAUUGAGGAUAUAUGUGUAAUUUUAUGAUUAAAAUUAUAAAUAUAUAUAUAUAUAUAUAUAUAUUUGAGUUUGGUUGCGAGUUAAUGCGUAGAGUUUCUAUAUGCCCGGUUCGAGUUUGACAGCUCAACUUAGUUGACUUGAUUUUGAUGUUGGCUGAAUUAACUCGCAAGUAAUUUGAUUCGUUUGUAGCUCUAGAGAAAGUGAAAUUUAAGAAGUGAAAAGGAGCAAAGAUGUUAGAAUUCAGGGCCUCUAAUUCAAAAAAAAAAAAAAAAAAAAGUUAAAGCGAGAGUUUGUGCAUAAUUGAACUUUAUUGUUGAGUUUCAAUCUUGCCAAGUUUGUCUCAUGAAUUAAGCAUUUUGACCUCAAAAGCAAUAACUGAAUAACCAUAGCAUCGUUUGGAAUUCCAAUUACACAUUGCAAUCUUUAUGCCUUCAUGUAUUUCCUUCUAAAGCGUGAACUAUAACUAUUACACUGAGGUAAUCAACUACAUCUAAGAAUGAUCCUUCUUGAACUCCCUCGACCCCCCCCCCCCCCCCCACCCACCACCUCCCCCAACCCAGAAAUAGUGAAAGCACUUUUGGCUCUUUCCAGUUUCCAUGCUUCCAAUCACGCCUUCAGAUCCCCUAUGGAAGGCGCGCCGAAGGGUAAAUUCAAAGCGUGAUCAAGUCGCUCUUCCAAUCCACGUCUAAGAUACAAGUUCAAGCUGCUGCCACGAUGAGACCUUCUUCAAUCAGAAGAGUGUGUUGAGUGCAAGCAGCUCUGUGACUAUAUAUGUAUUUUUUUAUUUUUCUAGUUUCUAUUUUCCAUGUGCUGUGUGAGUCAACAACUGUUACAUCAUCCAUCAGUUAACUAUUUUGAAGAAGGAAUGGUCAAAUUUUUCUUCUUAAACUUCUUCUUGAUCUCCAUAUAAUGGCCGAAGGGUCUGGACAAAGCUGGUAAGGAAUUUUUUGAGGAGGAAUCUCUGGUAUGCUGCAAAAUAAGCAUUCUAAUUUUUGAGCAACAUUAUCAAUAACAUGUCAAGAAUCCCAACGUACCAUCAUUAACGUAAAUCUUACUCUGAUGUUAGCAUCCAUUCUAUUGUAUGUGAAACAAAAAAAAAAAAAAAGGAGAAAAAUGGAUAGGUACAAUUUAUGCCACAAGUUGACCUGGAUGUGGUGGCGACGUGUGCCUAGGUAGUCAAUGAGAUCACUGUCGAAUGGAACAUGAAUGAUUUGGUUUAAAAUAUUGCAAAACUGAAAGAGCCCUAAGGAUGUCUAAAUUGAGUCCUACUGUAGUACUAGGGGUAACAUGUUUUUUUUUUUUUUUUUUUUUCCGGUUUGUCUAACAGGUACCCAUUAGAAUAUAUUUCAGGUGUUAUAUUUUUUAAAAUAUAAGAUUAAUUGGAAAAAGUAAAUAAAUAUAAGGGAGGAUAGGCAAGACUAAAUAGGAAAAGUAUAUAUAUAUAUAUAUAAAAGAGAAUAAUAAUUAUUAAUAUGUGCAUGUCUAGAAGUAUUAACGAGGGCACUUGUUAGAAAAAUCUUCUUUUUUUUUUUUUUUUUUCCUUCAACGCUAGCCAUCCCAUUUUGGGUGACAGGUAAAAUGAAAGUUGCCAUCCUUUAACUUAAAAAACUAAAAUAAAAGACCCGUUAAAGUCCCCAUAGAAAUGUCAAUUGUGCAAAAUUAAUUAAGGUCACUUAUUUAAUGUUGUUGACCAUUGUCUGAAAUCUCGAAGGCUGAUCAAAUCUAAGUGAAACCUUGAUCGGUGGAAUCAGGAUCUAUUUUGAUGGAUUAUAGUAGUAUUAGAUAGAAGUCCUUGAAUACCAAUGACCAUAGAGGUCCAUUUUCACUGCCUGGAGCAGGUGAGAAACUUUUGCCAUGCCAAAAGAUCAAUAGAAUUAGUUAGUUAUAUUACCUUAAUGCAGAAAUUUCAAUUUGGGAGAAGUCCAUGUUGGUUGAACUAUCCGGCACAGAAAUAGUCCUCGUCGCCAUCGAUGUUGGGGCUUUGACGGCUAGGACUUUGCAAUUCAAAGCGUUCACAAUAUUGUUGUGGUCCGUUGCCAACCUAAACCCACAUAAUAUAUUAUUGUCAUUUUAGUGUUUCAGACAAAGAAGAAGUUUCGGGUUUGAAUGAAAGCUCCUCAUCUCCAUGAAUGGAUACAGUACCACACAUAAUUUUGACUGAGACAACUUUCGUAGCCCGAAUUGCAUGAAGUAAAAAAAUGGGACAGGUAAAAUUUCCAGGCUCAUUGAAUCUACGUUACAAUACACAACAACGAAAGUGGAGGACAACCAAUCAAGGCAUAGAGGUUCUUGAUUGAGCAGCAUGCAUGAUGCAGAAUCUUCCAUAUAUACCGAGAGUGAGAGAGAGAGAGAGAGUCCUGAACUAUAGUUCACGGUUGGAUACAGGAUACGUGCAAAAUUAAAAAACUUGAAAUUUAAAUUCAAAUUAAUUGUUAUAUAUCUGAUGACGAUAGUGUAUAAACAUGAUUAGUACAUAAAAGAUUGAUCCAUAUGAGGAAGAAUUACCUAGUCUAGGUGUAAGUCAAGUUCGUCCUAUCCUCCAUCAGGGGACCGGAACCAUUUAGCCCCCUCCCUCCAUUCUUGAUUCUUGCCGACCAUUUCAAUAUUUUAAAGAAAAGCUGGCAGCUGUGCAACUCUAACUAAUUAAAAAUGCAUGAGAAAUUUUGUUGAUUUUUAACAUAAAAGCAUGAGAAACCACAUGCUUCAGGUUAGUAAGCAUCAAGAUCAAAGUCCCGGUCAACAUGACAGUUGAGGGCUUUUGCAUUUGGUAGCUAACUGAACCAUUAAUUUAUGUGUAGGUCUCCCACAUCGACCCUUUUUUUUUUUGGGGGGGGUGGGGGAGGGGGGGUGGGGAAUGCUGCAUUAAAAAGUUGUAUUUUGAUCCUUAAAGCUUAAAAUGUAUGAAUUAUGCUUAAUUAAAUUAUAAACUAAUGUCCAUUUAAAGACGCCUAUGGACCAUACACUACACUAAGAAGCAGCUAUGGCACUACUCCUGCCAUAUCACGAAAUUCUCAUAUCUGCUCCACAUAUUUCCUGUGAGCCAAAUUUUUUGCACCUAAUGCAGCCAGGCACAGAAAUCUCACCCUUUUCUAAAAUUUUUUUUCCUUUUUCUUUUUACACAAAAAGCAGAAAACCCAUUACAGCUUCCUACCAUAGUUUCGUGUCAUUUGCCUCUAAAGUGCAAAUGUACAAAAUUCCUGUAUUUUAAUGCAAAAAAUUAAACAUAAGAAAGCAUAUUCUAUUGAAGCCUAGCAGGUCAGCAACGUAGAAAACCGUGUGAAUCAAUCUAUGGACCGAAACAAGGAAGUGAACUGAACGUUGACCAAUCAAGCCUUAUGGCAGGCAGCCUUAACCAAUCAAUCAUUCAUCUCCAUCAGCCACAGCUGUUUUGAUCAGUUCAAACUUCGAAGAUGCUUUCAAUCUCAUGAUUUCCAUCAUCUAUUCCUCAAUCAUUGUUAUGAUUCAAUUUCCAAGAAAGAAUUUUUAACACUACUUACUUGUACAGAAAGCUCUGAUCAUGAAGCCCAACAACAAGAGCAGAAGCUCCAAGCUCUCUAACAAUGGUCACAAUCCUUCCUCCUUCUUGGUCCUCUUCAGUCACAACAAUCUCAGUCUUGGUCUGCAACCAUUAUAAUCCUAAAUCAUACACUUGGUCAUUAAUCAUAACCAUACCAAAUUAUCUUCUACAUCAAUAAACAAAAAAAAAAAAGGUCCUGCAGGAAUUUGAUCUUGCCACUUACAUUUGGGAAAUUGUUGCAGAUAUCUUUGAAGGAAAGAGCCAAGUGGAAGCCCUUUAACCUGAGAAGUCUGAGCUUGUUCUUGUUCCUAGAUCUUGUUGAUGGGAAAACAUGGAGCAGAGUAAUCAAAUCCCCAUAACGAAGAAGAUUGUGUAAAGUCCACUGCAGGGCUGUUCUCGCCACAUCUACAUCUUCCACAACCACCACUAUUUUUCUUGCAUCCAUUGCACUUAAAUUCCUAUGACUAGCUAGCAAGACUUCUUCCGUAGGGGUUAAAAAAAAAAAGGAUUGCGAACUUCAAUAAUGGAGGGAUUGAUUGGGAGAAGGUUCUUUUACCUUUGUUGUAACUUAGUUAACGUAGAAGUUUCUGUCUGUAGCUGGUAAAAAGGGUAGUAUAUUUUUGGAGAUUGCUUGCGGAAAUAUGAGAAAUGGACACCUGAAAAUGACUCUCUAAUGGGAUCCUCUGAUUAUGAAAUGGUUCGCCAGAGAGGAUAAGAGGAACAAGAAAUGGACUUUAUAGAAUUGACUGGGAUCCCUUUGUCAGAUUUUGUCACCCUUUAUACUCUACCAAUGUGUGUGUGUGUUUGGUUGUGCCCGAAGCCAGAGGGGAUAGGCAGAGUUUAUUUGAUACCUGCAGACUCCAUUUAAUCAAUACAUUAAUCUAAUCUAAUACCACUUCUAUUAGGGGAAAAUCAAGGUAGGGUGGUCUGCUGGCUUAAGUUAAGACUACCUCUUGAAAUUGAAGUGAAAGAAAUUGUUGCAUUACAAAUUUGCUAUUAUUGAACCAUUGAACUCGAAGCAAGGAUGGAAGUUUUAUGAGAUUAAACAUCUUAUAAGUAAAAUAAGAAAGACUACGGCCUUGUUCUAGUUUUUGCAAAAUCUGAUUAUAUCAAAAUCAACUUGCUAUUGCCCAUUGAAGUUCAAUUUUAACAUUUUCAGCCUCUUAAUGAUUCUUUUUUUUUGUUUUUUUGUUUUUCUAUUCGGACAGUAAAAACUUAGCUUGAGAUUUUUCUUUUUACAAUCAAAUCCCAACUUAUGAUUGGUUUAAUUAUCUGCUUUUAACUUUUUCUCUUCUCUAGUUGUUAGACUACCAACAUUAACUCUUUUUGUUUCUUCUUCUUGUUUCUGUCUUGGACAGAAGAUGAAUGGACAGCCCUUUCUUUUAACGGGUGAAUGGACACUUUAACUGUCGUACAAAGGAUAAACCAUAAAGAGUUACCAGGUACAGAAAGAGGCAAUUAAUAUGGACGGUGUUAUAAAAAGAAAAAGAACAGUAGUAUUGUAGGGAAAAGGGAUCUUGAGGGAUGCAACUACAUUGCAUGAUAAAAAAGACAAUAAUCUUCUGUCAUAUCACACUCAUGAUUUUACAAAUAUUAAUCGCACUCAUUUCAAGAAUUGUCAUUGCAUGCAGAGAUCAUGCUGAUUUAAGUACAAGAAGAUGCAAACAAAUAAAUAAAUAAAAUUGGUUGUGGUUUUUGAUUGUGUCAUCACCAUUUUAAAAUUCCCAUUAGUGCCCAGACAAAAAGUUUUAAUGUCGUCAAGUGAUUUGGCCUGCUGGAUUCUCUGUACUUUUGUUUAUCCAAACAAUUAGCCAAAUUUUAUAUUUUUCAGUUUAGCCCAAUUCUUUAAGGCCUAGUAGAGGUUGUCCUACUAACUUUUCCGUAGUCCCACAUCGUUUCUUCGGGGUUGGGUAGUUAAGUCCCCUGGUUUGUCUCAAGAGUUGCCGACUUUUGGGGUUAAAUCUGAAAUUAGGUUUAAUUAACUAAUUUCAAAAGUCUGAAAAAAAAAUUGAUUUAAGAGGGAAUAAGUACAUAAAAGUUUUCUGUCCUCUACGAUCUCUUACAAAAUUACACUCAUUCGCAGGAACUGACACCACGACGCUCCAAUAACGCAACCCACAUCCCAAUCCACCACAGUAGGGAAGGGUCUUGAAAUUCCAAUAUUCUGGACCUGGUGAUUCCACUGGGGUUUAGGGAUUAAGAAUCCUUGAAGUUUCCCCAUUUGCUGAUUGAUUAUGUCUGAGUAACAUCAUCGAAAAAGUACUUAAAGGUCUUUACAUGGUCAUAGAGUUUCUACAGUUUCUCAAUAAGUUUGGUGUUGUUUUGUCCUUCCCAAGUAUUGAAAUUUUAAGGGCAUGCAUGCAGUUUAAAGGUUUAUUUGUUAAUGCCCAAAAUUUUCUUUCUUGCCGCUUUGAUUGGAUGGAGACUUAAUUGCCCAUUCUUGAAACCAAUAUUCGAGCUUCAAAUAGAUCCUAGAUCAUAAUUGAUAAAAUUUUAGUUUUAUCUCUAAUGUAAUCAUGCAAAUUUAGUGAUUAAAAUAGGUUAAAAUAAGUGAUUAAAAUGCUAGACUAUUUACGAUUGAGAGAUGUAAAUUUAGCCCCUCACUUGACUGUGUGGAUGUUGAGGAGGAGAGAAAGAUGAAAAAGAAAACGAUCCUUAGGGCCAAUAAUUUGCUAUCCUACUUGUGGAAUUAAAGCUAAAUUGCUGUUCUAGCUUUUAUGUGCUUUCUAUGUACGGUAUGAAACUUUUUACAAACUACACAAAAAAGAUUGUAAAAGGAGUUCAACAGACAACAAAUAGAAUAGUUCAUUUUUGUGAGAACAAGUAUUGACAGGAUGCUUUAAAAAAAGAAGAAAACAAAAGAAAAGUAUUAACCGCGGAUGCAUUGGUAGGCUACAGUACACUGUUGUAGAUCAUACUCCUUUUUAGAGGUUAAGGUGCAAGAACUUCAGGGGUUUAAUGCUCAGGGUAGAGGCUAUUGAGUUAUGAAACCAACGGUUUUCAAGGUUUCUCAGGUUAUAUGAUGGCAAACGUUGCCCUCAGUCAUAUACAUGUUUCAAGGAAGAUACCCUGUAGAAAAUGCAGAACAACUCUGCUAUCUGGUUCCCCAUCAAAGAAACCAAGACAGGAGGAAAAUAACCUCCACAAGACUGAAAGAAUUUGAGUAUUCUUUCGGAAUAAACGGAAGGAUUUCUUACACAAAACUAAUGAGAUCCGGGGAGAAUGUAUUUCGAACAACGAGCAGGAACAUAGAGAUCCAACUAGACAAAGGAUCUGCUCUUGCUUCAAUCACGCACCUGUUUUCUGACUCAGUAACUAGGACAAAUGCUGACCAUGACCUCUCGGCGCCAAGAGCCCAGGACUCUCAAACAGCGUGACUGAAUGUCAAGGACAAGCUUGGAAUGAUAUAUCAACUAAGACUCCAGUCAACUGACCUGUAACCCUGCCAUCUCAAGUAAGAACCUGCAACAGAACUAAAAGCAAUUUGACAUGUGCUUGAACAUCAUCAAGUUCAAACAGACGUUCUUUACUUCACCUAAAAUUGUCAAACUUAUAUGACUAAAUAUAUUACACAGAUCAGCAGCCCGUUCAUUUGUUCCUAUAAGUCUAAGUAACAACAGGCAGUUCUGUUUUAUUGUUCCUGAGUCUUACCUGCCCUUUAGAUAUCAUACAUAUUGUUCGCAACAAAGCUUUGGGCACGGUUCUGACCCAGCUACCUGAGAGCAAAACCUGCCCUUGCUAACAUUCAUGACAAUACAAACAUCACUGUACAAAUUUGAUGAGUUUCAAUACAACACAAAAUACUAAGGGCAUGCUGCUUCUACAACCCCACAAACAGAGCAAGCUAGCUUAUUUAAGUUGCACGGCUCCAAGCUGCUUUCGCAUGGCCUCUUCCUGCAUUGUAAUACCCCCUUCCACGGUAGGAACCCUGUGAAUUCCCUCCCCUAUAUGGCCCCUGAAUGCCAUGAUCCCUUCGAUGUUGCAGAAUCUCGCCAAUUUUCUGAAAGAUUCAAAUGCAUGUAUAAUUCAGUAAUUGACCAAAAACAGAUACCAGAAGACUACUUCUAUCUGAAACAUGCAUUACCUCGUCAUCUGUCUUUCUAAGCUCUGAAACCUUCCCUCUGUAAGACUCACCAUCCAGGGUAGGGCAUGAAAGUGAAUCAAAGAAGUCAUCCUUAUAGUAAGCGCUCUGGAAAAGGAAGUGACAGUCUAGCUGGUGAAAGACUUCAGGAAACAGAAGUUGACAACUUAUGGAGAAUAAGCAACGAGUGUAAAACUUUUUCUAAUUAGGCAGACAAUUGGCCCACCUUAUUGUCUAGCUUCGGCAGUCCAUUUCCAGAUUCAUCUACUGCUUCUUUUCCUUUACGCCCUAUUUCAUCUUCUUUGUUAUCUUCUGAUCCACCUUGCUUGGCUUUAUCAAGAAGACCCCAGAUCUCCUUUUUAUUAAAUUUGGCAUUCAUUGCCUCAAAGUCAAAAUCCUCAGUAAAGUUGGCGUCAGCCUACAGAACAAAAACAAAGAAUGACAUAAGUCAGCAAUGAGGUAACUUGAACGGAUUCUGGAAUCUAAAUUUGAAUUGUAAAGUACUCCUACCUCACUGCUUCCCCAUGCAGGACUCCCACCAUGGCGGCGAUAAUAUGGUCCAGCAGCAUUUGGCUGGCCAAAAACAUAAUAUUAAACAGUACGAGCAUGGAUAAAUCAGAAAAAACAAAGUUAGCUAGACAUGAGUACAAGAACAUAAGAGGAGACAGAAACUAACGUAAAAAGAGAAAAAUAACAAUUAAGCAGACUCUGAUUAUAUAUAUAUAUGUAUGUAUGUAUGUAUGUGAGAAGGAAUGAAAAUAAAAUGCAACACAAAAUUACCGCAUUCGCUCUUCCCUGGCCUCUAGGAGCCUGGUGACGGUAUGAAGCAGUGCCAAUCAGCUGGAAGAUUAGACAUCCAAAAAACAUUUGAUUAUGAUAUGUAGAGUAUGAGCAAAAUACUGAAGUUCAUGAUUUCCAAUGCUUAACAGGAAAUUAGGGAAAAUUAGAAGGACAUGGUAUUUACCGGAUUUCCUCUUCCAACUGGAUGACCUCUACAGGUCUGAUAAUUGUGUGAAAAAGCUCUAUUUGGCUAACCAAAUUGUAGAAGCACAAAAGACAUUAUCAAUAUCAUAUAUUUUUUAAUGAAAGAAAUCAGUGGAAAAAUGCAUUACAUUCCCCCAGAAAAAUUUUUUUUGGAUAUGAUAAUUAACAAGGUUCAAUAUAACCAAUCAACAGCAUGAAGUCAUUUUCUUUCUCUUCUCUGACCCUAGAUAUCUAUCUAUGAACUGCCUGCCUUCCUUUGACUUGUACAUUGAUGUUUUCAGUUAGGUUUGGGAAGUGUGCAUAAAUGCAGUAAGAGAGACAUAUGAAUUUACCAAAUUUCCUCGACCCCUUCCAAGCAUACGAUCUCUAUUACUCUGGUACCGGAGAUGCAUAUCUCCAUAAAUCUGCACAAGAGAAAAUGCACAAAAAGAAAUGUAAGAAAAUCCUUCCAAUUGUAGUAUACAACAUUCUCUAUGAAAAGGAAAAUCAAUCAAGAAAGGCAUAAAAUGAACCAAAUCUCCUCGACCCCGUCCUUGAACCUGUCCAUGGUGCUGGCUACCAGGGUGAGAUGAUGAUGCAGGAUCAUACAGCUACAGUUAAAAUCACAAUCAGAAAAAAUUUUGAUAUCUCCCGACAAUGAAAUGAAGAAAUCAGCUAAAGAAACAAUGAAGAGAAAAUUUUCAUGCACAGUACUCAAGCAACUCAUGUUAUUGCUACUUUUUAUCACAAGGAAAAUCAAAUUCAUGUCUUGUUGACUGUUGAAUGAGAAAUUUGACAAGCUAUUGAUUAGAGACAUGACCAAGUGAAUUGGGUACAUUUGAUUUAUAAUUUAACUUAACAAAAUUUCUCUCAGUGAUCAAGUCUGAAAUACCAUCAUUACAACAUAAACUGCAAUUUUCCUGAUACAAGCUCAACAUGAUGGUCAUGAACUGCAGCAACUGCUUUGGCCAUACUAACUGAAUGGGCAUGUUGCUUGCCUUACGUGAGAAGAUUAUACUAACUGCUGAUAACUAAUGCGAAUUCAAGCUAACAUCAUUAUUUUCUCAAAUUCUGAUCAUUGGACAAUAACACCUAUAGCACGGAAAAUGAAGAGAAAUGUGCAUACCUAUAAAGGAAAAUUAAGUUAACUCCUAAUAACUAAUGUGAAUUCAUGCUAGCACCUUUAUUAUCUCCAUUUCUGAUCAUGGCCAAUAACACCUUUAGCACCAAAAAUGAGGAGGGAAGUGCAUACCUUUCGAGCUGGUGAUUUUGGCAGUUCUAUUGCUAGUUCUUCAAUAUUCUGCAAAUCUGAUGGCUGAUGGUUGGAUGGUGAUCCUAAAUUACUGUUCCCAUCUGUACAAUUGUGAGGAGACAAUGCAUUUACUGGCCUUCGCUCCCAAAAUGAACCUGGGAUUGCAGGAGAUACAUUUGAUCCCCUCACAUGAGGAGUGGUGGAUGAACCCACAAAACUUGAUGUGAAUUUGGAUAUCAAUGGAAAUGGAGCAGGGCCAAGCAAGGACUGAGCUUGGUUGUUAGAUGGAGGUACUGCAGAGUUCACAUUGGAAGCGAUUACCAACGAAGGCUCUUUUUCAGAGCCAGAAUCAACCACUUCCAUCGAAAGGGGUUGAUCUGUAGGAAGGGCAUUGGAAAUGUUACUUGACAUUGGUGUGGAGGAUAGAUUGGAAAGCAAUGUAGAAAGAGGUAUAUGGCUAUAUUGCACAGUUGAAGGCAGUGGCGAUGUAGAUAUUAAAUUCACAGAACCAAAACAAGCAGGUGGCAACAAGUUCUGCGGAAGUUCAAUGAAAUUUAAUGCAUUUCCGGGGAAGGAUGCGUUCACACUCGGAUGUGGCAAUUGCUGCUGAAUUGAAUUUGGUAACAAUAAGCCUUGGGGUUGCGGCGGAUAAGUUAUCUGCUGAAGAUGAGAUUUUUCCCCAGGGAACCCAGUAAAUCCAGGCCAAUAACUUUGCAUGCUAGGCCCAUUUAUGUUUACUGGUGGAAGAGGAAUUACUGAAGCCCAAGAGUCAGAUAACUCCAUGGAUCGACGGGGAGCUGUAUUUCCUUCAGGUGGCAGAACAUUAACUCCCAAAUGAGAAUUGGAACUAGGAUUUGAACCUACCAAGGCACUUGAAGAAGCCAAACUGAUAUUUGUAGAUGGUGGGUUAGAAUGAUGUGGCUGCACCACAAAUUUACGUUACAGUUAAGAUUCAUUUGCAAGAUGCAUAAAAAAUAUUAGUCCAAUCAUCCUGAACAGACAUACCUGUAUAAUGGCAGGAUCAUCAGGUAAAGUUGGUGUACUCUGAACAUGUGGAAAAGAGAUAACCUGAAGAUCCUGCAAGGUGAAGCAACGAUAGUUAAGAUCCUGCAAGGUGAAGCAACAAUAGUUACAAUAAAAAGCAUUUGUAGCAGAUAGAAAGAAUAUCAGCACCAAACAGGCUUGUGAAUUUCAUGAUGAAAUGUUGCAUGUAAAAAGCUUUCUCCUAAUGAGCAGAGAGAUCAUAUGCAUGUACUCAGUCCUCGACUUCCAAUUUACCUGAAGACAACCUUUCCUUUGAUCAAUGUAACUAAACUUUAUCGCUAAAGCAACUAAAAGGAAAAUGGGCAUACUAAAACUUUUUUUUUUGGGCAUACUAAAUGUUGGUGCCUGCAAUUGCAUAUAUUAUCAUGAAAGUGAACUAAAUGAACUCUAGUGUGAGGGAAAAAAAAGAAAUAUAUGGAAACCCAAUGAUACAGAUAUUACUUCAGAUAAACUGUGCUUACUUAUCAACAGAAAAUCUCAGAAAUGAAAGCCCCUGGGAAAAAGAAAUAAGUUCUCCAUCAAAAAACCAGAGGGAAGACCAAAAUAACUCUUUAGGAGUGAACAUAUUCACCAGCUCGACUAAAAAUCCAGAUUCAAAUCUUUACUCACACAUUAUUGACCACCCUUGAUUCCUGUAAUUUUUAAACAUGUCGUGAAGUCUUAUACCAGUCAAACAUGUGAGGUGGAUUUUCUUUCUUUAAGUCCAGUGCAUGAAGCUUCUUGGACCUACACCGAGAUAAAGCAAGGGGAACAAGAGAAUGCCAAAUGGGAGAUAGUGUGUUUAUUUUUGCAUUGUUCUUUAAUUCUAAGCACAGAAGUCUUGAGUGUUAAAAUGUACAGGCACUAAACUUUCAGGUCCAAAUGAAUCUAACAGGAAGAAUUUCAGGUGAGGUCUCUUGACUCUUCCCCUUUAAUUGGCUCUCCUGGACAAAAUGCGAGGAAAAAUUCCAACAAGUAGUGACUCUUCCAAUCGUCCAAACCUUUCAUUCUUGGGUGUUUGUUAAAGGGCACUAAGGUCAGUCAUAUGAACUUAAUUAAUGAUUCUGCAGCACUUGGAACUGCCUUACCAUUAUCCAACAGUAUAGCCAAAGCAAAACGAAGAUUGUUACCAGUGCGAAUGACGUUUCAUGAUUCUGAGAAAAGGAACUGACAUUUGUUAACAUCUUCACAGCAUCUUAUUCAAAUUCUAAACAGAAAACUUCAAGACAACUCACAAAACAUCGAAUAUUUGUCCUAGACAACUGCUUAAACCCAUUAGGUAUCAAAAUAGGAAAUGUAGUGUGUGAAAGAUCCAGUCAAAAUAAAUUUUACCUUAAUGUCGGUCCCUCGGAAGUAUAUGUAUUCAUAAAGUCUGUCACUGGGUGCAACCUGGGUACCAUCCAUCUUUUGUCUCUCCGUUCCAAAAGAUUUUACUGCCAAUAAAUAAAGAAAAAUCACUAUAAACAGAAACUGAAGUUCAUGAGAUCAAGUAAUAAUGGGAAAGGACAUCAACUAGAUCAAUCUUAUAAACUGUGUCACAGAUGGAAACAGAAUCAUAUCAUAAACACAGAAGACUCUUAUAAAGUAACCAAAUGAGUCUGAGACAUUAUAUCACACAUCUAGAUCCUUCUCCACUUGUCCAGAGCAUACAAUGCAAUCUUUAAAUGUGUUUCCUGAAACAACUGUAUUUGGUAGGAAAGAGUCAUGAGACUGGAUGUUCUGAAGGAUAUAUGUAAGGGAAAGUAGUUGAACCACUGAUAUGAAGAUCCAUAUGCUUAACAAGUUAAGCAGCAACAUAUCUAUCAGUAGAUUGUUCAGUUCCAAACGAUAAAUGCAUUGGAAUGAUGUGCUGAAAAACCGCAUCAAAGUUUAGGAAGCAAGAAAAGAAAUAUGAGUAGUUAAAGUAAUGCAUCUACUCAAAGAAGUCUUAAACCAGAAAAAUGAGACUGGCUUCCGACAUGCAUUUCGCGGUAGUAUCCAUGCAUGCUACGUAAAACAUCCAAAGGGUUGUGGAAAAUUUUCUGUCUGCAUUGAUCAAUAUACAAAUAUGCAUGCAUUUCAUGAGAGCUUGCCUUGACCUCAUCCUCCCAUUUCAUAUUCUUCUUCAUUCCCCUGAGUUAGGCCUUCAUAUCUCUCCUCUCAAUCAUUUUCUUCCACCCUUAAGGAACUCACUGAAAUCGAUGAAAUUCUUUUGUCCUCCCCCCACAAACACCCUGGCGAUGUCUUUCAAAUUUUUUUCUUCUUUGAAUUGGAAUAAUCCCCUUGUAUCUUCAUGAUUUCCUAAGGACAUAAAAUGCAUAAUCCUGCCCUAAACAACUUACAGUGUACUUCUAGUAGAUCUAUCAAAACCACACACAUACAAUAUCUUUUCUGUAUGGUCAGAGAGAUACACGUGCUUUUCCACAACAUUCAAUACAGUAACUAAAAAUCCACAUACAGUCACUUAUUCAAGAAAUUUUACAUAUUUUUGAAUUACUUCUUAUGAAGAAAUUGUACCCUGCAAACAAGUUGCUCCAUUAUCCUUAAGCCUCAUCAACACAUACGUGUUAAAUAUUCCCGUACAACUCCUAUACUUGAUUAUAAAAAAAACAUAUGUCAAACAAUCAAUGUACUGUAUGAAAAUGCACAUACAUCUAACAAAUUAAAACAUAAUCUAAGCAAAAACAGUUUUUAAAUCAAUUAUUGUACAGCAUCAAAAUGUUAAAUUCAUUUAAUAUAUUAAACCAUAAUGUAAGCAAACCAAUGAUACCCAAGAAAUAAAUAAUUUUGCAAGCCUAUGCAACUGCAAAAUGUAUCAAACACCAACUAAAGUACGGACAGAAAGCAUAGCUGUAUCUGACAAUUUGAUUCUAUGAUUUGUUUUAAAAAAAAUUUGCAACUUUAUGCUGAAGAAAAAGUAUAGAAAUCAUAGAUUCAAAUUGUCAGAUACAACCAUGCUUUCUGUCCAUACUUUAGUUGGUGUUUGAUACAUUUUGCAGUUGCAUAGGCUUGCAAAAUUAUUUAUUUCUUGGGAACCAAAGGACAGACUUUAUGCUGAAGAAAAAAUACUAUAUACGAGUACAGACAUAUUCAACAUAAGUAGUUCUUCCAUGAUGAUUAAUCAAACGAAAAAUGAGGGGGAAACCAACAAAAAAACAAAAUUAAAAAAUACAAAUUUCAAGGAAAAAAGAAAAGAAGAAGAAGAAGAAGAACUGUCAGUGGCAAUGUGUAUAAGGGUAUGUAGGAGUAUGUGUGAAUUUUGCAUGUAAAAAUUAGCACAUGCAGACAUAUAGAAACACAAAUUCGUAUGUCGAAACGAUUAAAUUACGCAAGAUUUAAAAAGUUUUACAUGUGUGUUCAACUGAGUAUCUGAAUUUUUUAAUAUACAAAAAAAAAACAUUUUUGCAUGAUCACAGACUCACCAGUACAUCAAUCAAUAAAACAACAAGCAAAUCACAUGAAAUUGAAAAAAAAAAAAAGAAAAGAAAAAUCAAGAACUUCAAGUGUGUGAGUGCGUGUGUGUAUGUGUGAACUGUUGCAUGCAAGACUAUACACAAAGAUAAACAAGUACAAUUCAAUGGCAAUACACAUUAUAAACAGAGAAAAAUAAAAAACGAAGAAGGAAAACCAAAAAAGAAAAGGAAAAGAAAGGAAUUAGAAACCAUUUCUCAAGCCUAUGAUGGACUCCUGCGGGCUGAGAUGAAACAAGAAUCCUUCAUAUCGAAUAUCCGACUUUGUAAUCAAGCUGAUUAGGCUUCCAAUGUACGCUUCCACUCCUCUCGCUGCAUCGGUGGUCUCCGUCUCCACCUUCUUCCCCUUGUCCGUCACCAUCGGAGCCACUGAGGACGCCCCCGGCGCAGCCAUUCUUUCUCCUUCUCACCAAGAUAAAAAAAAGGGAAAAAAAUUCCCAACCAAAGCCAUUGACGGUAACAACUAGGAAGAAAGAACCAGAAGGAAAGAAGCGGUGGUGGGAAACGUGAGAACCCUAGUAGGAGAAGAACAAGUAAGUAGUGGGGGAGGGAGAAAUUGGGCAAUGAGGAAAAUGUAGGCAAGGUGUAACUGCCUUUGGGUCGUCAGCAGGCAAGGGAAGGAGGGAAGAAGACGCCUGGGUUUUUGCCCAGUGUUAAUAUGCAUUUGUAUUUAUGCAGAGUUUGGGUGUGAUUUUUUCGAAAUUGAGUUUGCUCAAAUGUUUGUUUUGCCCUUCUUCCCUUUGUCCUUUUGGCCUUUCUCCUCCUCCGGGUUUUGGGUUUUUUUUGCUUUCUUCAUCAUUUUGUCUCUUUUGAGUUUGGUGAGUAAAAGCCAAGAUGGAUAAAGGGGAAAUGCAUGAGGUCGUAGGAAGUAGUUUGGUUUUGCUCACUCUGCUCAUUUAUUAUUGGCAAAAUCUUUUUUCCUUAAACUAGUUUCACUUCUUAAAAGACUUGGGCCAACAUAUUAUUGAUUAUAAGUUUCUAUCCACAAAGAAAUUAAGAAGUAUGUAUGAUAAUUAGUACUAAUAAUUACUAGUUGGUAUUCUUUUCAUAUUAUAUCCAUGAUGCAUGUAGGGGUACCAUUGUAUUCCAAUUUUGUCGAUAUUUUGAAUUGCAUGUCGUACAUUUCUUGUUUUUUAAAAUUUCUGUUUUUAUAACUAUUUAUUCAUUUCAUAUAUGAAUGUACCAUGAUCGUGUAGGAGCUAAGUCUUUUUUUUUUAAUAUCAAUAUUUUGAGUUAUGGUAAUUGUGUUGUUUCUACCAUUUUUAAUUUUUACAUUGAUUGUGAUGAAUGACUUGCCCUCAAUAAUGAUAAAUACAAAAGGAAUUACGUUAGAAACUCCAAAUCUAUGCGUCUCUAAUAUAUCUCUAUGUUACUGUGCACAUUGCUGAACAGGGAUUUGAUCACUACCACCCAAAGUGCAACCAACCCAUGUUGCGCGCCUUCGCAGAUGAUCUCUUUAUCUUAUCAGCAGCCAUGGAGGAAGACUGCAAGUUAUUAAAUCUGCACUUGCUGGUGUUCAAAUAUAUUGGUCGAGUCGAGUACAUUUAUUCCGCCGCCUAAAGAGAGUCAUUAGAAGAAGAAUAGAAAGCUUUUAUAGUAUCUUCCUUUCUCUGGUCGGGUGAAGUAAAGCAGCAGUAUGGAUUGGAGCCAGAGUUAGCUGGAAGGAUAUAUCAUGUAUGUAAGCCAAAAGAAAAAGGAGGUGGCCUGGGUGUGCAUGCCUUGACUCUAUGGAAUCAAUGUUUGGUCCUCAAGUAGUUAAGCGGAUAUGGAAUAUUUGAGCCAAGAAGGAUACAUUAUGGGGGAAACUUUUAAAGCUGAGAACGAUAGCUCAAGGCUUCAUCAAACAGGCGGCUGGAAAUGGUCAAGAUACCAACUUCUGGAAUGACCAAUGGCAUCCAUUAUACUUGCACUUUUCUGAGAACUUGCUUACUGGAUUCAAUCUGUCAAAAUUGGACCCUAUGGCAAAAAGUUCUAAUGGUGGGGAGUGGAAAUGGCCUUGUGGCAGAAGUUAGAAGAUUUCGGCAGCUUACUCCUUGUGAACUAAUCCUUAACCCAAAUGAAAAAGACGCUACUGUACGGACACCUAGCAACUCGGGGGUGUAUACAGUCAAGCCUGCUUUGCAAAAACUCAGACCAGUAUCACCCGAAGUCACCUGGUACAAACUGGGAUUCAUAGAUUUCGUAGAGUAAACCAUGCCUUGGCUGCCUCAAAUUACUCCCUCAUCUCAAGCCGAGUGUAAUUUUCACCUUUCACAUUCCAUUUCUACAGCUUUGUUUCCACCAUAUUCCAUUUUUUUUUUCGUGAAAACACAUGUCAAAAUCUCUCUCAAUAUACUAUUGUGCGCGGGGGCUUUUGAAAGUAAAAAUUCAAAGUUCUGAGAAGUAAUUUCGUAUAAUACUACUGUAAAUGUUUUAAAUGUGUUAGAUAACAUAAAAGCUGAUACAUAAUCAAAACAAAAUAUAAAAGGUUGAUUUUAAGGCUAAUAAUAUUCUAACAUUUUGAAUAUGUAGGAACAAGAUUACGCAAUGUUGAAGUCUACUGCUAACAAUUUGUUACAAUGAUUCACGAAUCCCUUGGUUUAUACAGGCUUCUGUAUCCUUUCCCCUACUAAAGUUAAGCACUUGAUAAGAGAAGAAAAAAAAGUCUUUAGCAAAUAAUUGAAGUUCAACAAACUAGAAAGAUUAAGCAAGAAACAAAAUUUAAGGGGUAGCUAGCCCUAUAACGACUAUAUCAAUUCAACUUAUAUCCCUUCAAUCAAUUUAGUCUUCAACCCAUUUGAUUUGAGCAUUUACAUCAUGAGGACAUGUGCCCGUCUUUCCCGAUGUUGUGUAGCAUGAAGAAAUUUUUUUAAUUACUUGGAAUACUAUACUCAUAUUUUGCUUUGACAUCCCUUCAAUUAAUUUAAACUUCAAUCCAUUUGUUUUGAAUCUUCACAUCAUGAGGACAUAUACCGCCUUUCCCAAUGUUGUAUAACAAGAAGAAGAAAUUUUUUAAUUUACUUGGAAUACUAUACUCGUAUAUUACUUUGACAUGUGAAUUAUAUAUUUGAAAUAACUUACUUGAAUAUUUAACUUUAAAAAAAAAAGUUAAGAAAUAAUAGGAGUGUCAAUAAAGCAACUUUUUUUUUUUUUUUUUUUGUAAGUGAGAGGUCUUGAAUUCAGACCUCCUACUUACAAUUACGGGUGUUCAUAUUUCAGAAAAAAUUAAAAAAUCAGCUGAUCUAAUUUAGAUCAAAUUUCAAAACAAUGGAAUUCGCAAAAAUCGAAAUAUAAUAUUCGAUAAAAUGGUUUGAGAACGGAUAUUAAAAAUAUAUUACUGAAUUAUCGAUUACCAACCAAAUUAUUACAUUUUUAUAAUAUAAUAUAAUAUAUAUAUAUUUAUUACUAAAUAUAAGAUUAAAUCUCAAUCCUAUUACUAAAUACUAAUUUGUAAUUACUAAUUAGCUAACUUAAUUAUAAUUACACUUUGAAGUCAAAAUUUGAUGGAAGUUGGCAUGUUGGAGUUUAGUUUGACAAUUAAAUUUAGAAUUUUUGUUUAUUUCAAUGUUGUUUAAGAAUUGAGAUUAUGAGUUAGGGGUUAGGAUUAUGAUUUUUUUUUUUUUGCAUAUCAUGUUUAUUUGAAUUAAGUUGAUUGAAUUUUAUCAAAAACAUAUGGGAUAUUAUAUUGUUACAACAAUUUUUUAGAAAAAAAUAAAAUAUUUUAAUUCACUAUUGACAUUUUUAAUUUUGGAUAUUACUGAAUUACUGAUUUUUCAAUCCAAUUCACCAAACUAAAGUUUGGAAGGUAAUCGAAUAUUGGUUUUAAACAAUCGAUUCCUUAAUUACUGGAAUCUUUUUAAUCAAAUUUUCGAUUACUAGCAAUGGACACCCCUGUUUAUAAUCUCUCUUAUUUUAUCACCAAACUCAACCCUUCCCUUAUCAAUACAGUAAUUUCAAUAUAUUUCAAUGGAAUUUUAUGUGACUAAAAAUUGGUCCAUUCGCCAAUCAAAAUGGAAUUAAAUUGAUAUUUUUAAUUCACUUAAAAUGUUAAUUAACAGUUUUUUCAAUUAAAUAUCCUUUAUGCAUUUGCAAAAAUUGUUAAAGAUAAAUUGCAUUAAAUUUUCUUAUGAAUAGGAUUAUAUUUGGAAUGAAUUUCCUUUUUGAACGUUGUCCUUUAUUAAGCACAUGCCUUGCAUUUGUUGUAAAUUAACUUCCAUCCAACAAAGUUGUGGGAGUUCUGCUAGAUAUCGUUUUGUAGAAUCUGAAUAGGUUUUGGCUUCCUUUGUAAACAUGAUGUACUUCGGCAUCAAGGAAAAUGCGCAACGGAUCUUCUGUCCCACAUCCUGUGCCAUUAUCUGUCCCACUUUUUAUUAUAUUGCUAUUUCUCCUACAUAAAUAUCAUGUUUUAGUUCUUUUUUGUUUUCUUAAGAUCCAACAAUUAUUAAUUGAGUAAAAAAUAAAUACAGCAGCUUCAAAAAAGUAAUAUAUAAUAAAAAAUUAAAAAAUACAGCAGAAAAUUCAUAAAAAAUCUCAUUUUUUAUGCAUUUUGAUUUUUUUAGUAUGUUAAAUUUUGUGUAUAACUCAAUUAAUAGUUAUUGGAUCUUAAAGAAACAAAAAAGAACUAAAACAUGAUAUUUAUGUAGGAGAAAUAGUAAUAUAAUAAAAAGUGGGACAGAUAAUGGCACAGGAUGUAGGACAGAAGAUCCGUUGCGAGGAAAAUGUCGCCCCGGAGAUUGACCAUUUUAAAUGAGACCUAGAUUGAGGAAUGGUCCACAAAUUUUGCUUAUGCGGAAUAAAAAAAAUUAUUCAUAUUGCCACAACUGUUGAUCAAGUGGAUUAACGGUCCACAAAUUUUGUUAUGUGCGACGUUAAAAACUUUAAAAUUCCUUUACCGCCAAUUUUGUGCGCAUCAAUAGGAUUUAAAAAUUUUUUUUACCUUCAAAUCACGACCGUUGACAUAUAUUAAUAACGGUCCAUUUGCAAUUAAAAUAAAAAUUCUAUCUAAAAUUUUAAUUUAAAAUUUCUUAAGCAAUUGAAAAUAAAUACAAAAAUAUGUCAAAAUUUUUGUGUGUGCUGAUAUUGAUACCUGCGACAACCCUUAUAUUGUCCACAUAUCCUACACACUAUCACUUUUGUGAUUUUUUUGGGUUUAACAUUAUUCCAAAAAAUUCAACCACAUAAAUUUGGUAUGCAUUGAAUAUGGUUUUGAUUAAUUGAUGAAGAAAAAAAAAAUCAACUUGUCAAGUCUAAGUUUUAAUACACGUGGCUUAUAGACUUGGGCGACUGAUGGUAUCUGGUACUUGCGAUGUCUUCCCAACAUGGGUGGUGGUCGUAUAGUUUCAGAAGUAGCCAACACGGUGCAGAAGUACAGUUUCGGACGCGGGGUUGGAGCGAUUGUUCUGACAACCGCUUCCGAAGCUGUAACACCAUUUGUACAUAGUGUAACAUCAUCUGUACAAGGUGUAACAAUAGAACAACAACGAGUAACAAUAGAACAAUAUUUUUGUGGGUCCCACACGGCAUGAAAAUCGAGUUACAAGGCGUGAUUUGAGCCGCACAAAUUUUUGAGGCCUCAUCCAGGCCGUGAACUGCCUGGGACGGUUGUUCAUGGCCUGGGGACGGUUGUUCGAGAGAACUGCCCAGGCCGUGAACUGCCUGGGGAGGUCCGUUUGAUAUCCAAAAACUGCUCAGCAACAGUCGGACAAGUAGGGAAUGUUGGGGUGAACCAGAAAAGUUAGGGUAGAGCCGGAUCUAAGCGUUGGUUAGGUAAGCGUCCUGUAGUAAGAGGAGUAGUUAUGAACCCUUUAGCAUUUUCUUUGUUAGUUCUAUCUCUUUUUCCUUCAGAUAAAUCUAAAACUCCUUUGAAAAAGAAAAAGAAGUAAUUUCUAUUUUUUGUUAAUUCAAUAAAAUAAAUAUAAUAUAAAUAGUAGACUGGAAAUGAAAGUCUAUUUCUCGCAUCCGUCACACAAAAAUAUCGGAUGCAAAACAUGUGGUACAUGAAGCCACGAUCUGAUAAAUAUACAUCCAAAUAUACAUAUUUAUAUAGCUAGAAAGUAUGUAAUCAAAGACAGAGUGGAGCGCAGUACAGCGGAGAGUUGUAUGCUGCGUUCGGGAAGGAUGAAUCGCUCCCGAAAAGGAAUCUAUUGAUUCUCUCCCAAUUGGUUGGACCAUAGGUGCAAUGAUUUACAUCACGGGCGAGGUCUCUGGUUCAAGUCCAGGAUGGCCCAGUGGAAACCAUAAAAUUCAUACACAAUGGAGGGAUAUGAUAGAUCGUCUUAUUUUUUUAGAUAGUAAAUGGAGUCCCCUCUUCCAUAGUAUAAUAGCCGGUACGUAUCAUUGAUACUGGAGAGGUUGUUUUUUUGCUUUUGUGCCUGCUCAUGAUAUGAUCUAAACGAGUCACACAUACACUCGAGUACAUGUUCCUUGACGCUGAGGGCAUCCCUGAAGGGCUAGGGAAGGGGCGACGCAAUCAAAUUGUCAACCUGUGUAUAACUACCAGGAUAGUGUCAAAUCCCUGGAACAAAGUAGCUUCUCUAUAAAAUCCAUGGUAAUGUGUGACCAAGCUUGAGUUGGUAUAUAUAGAGGCUGUAGCAGGCCCGGAUAUGGUACAUGCUCACUCUUAUUCCUCUGGCAGACUUCACACCCUUGCACAAACUGAAUGAUGUCCUUCUUCACCCUUGGUCAGUAGAAUAUACUUUGCACUCUCUGUAUACAUGCCAUUUGGCGAGAAUGACCUUCAAUAGGGGACUCAUGCAGUGUCUUGAUUAUCUUUUGCUUGAUUCCUUGACUGUCCCCUACAUACAACCUCCCUUUAUACUUGGGUAUUCCCUGGCUGAGUCAAAAGUCAGAAUCCUGUGGCGCAAGAUCCAACAGCAACUGGCUCAGCGGGUCCUGGCACUAUUUAUCUUCAAAGUAGCUGUCCUCUAAUUCUUGCAUCCAUACAGGUUGAACACUAGUUAUUGCCAUGAGUUGUUGCUGCUCAGGUAUAGGUUCAGGGAUAAUUCUCCUGGAUAAAAUAUUAGCAACUGUGUUUUUUGAGCCUUUCUUAUACUUGAUUUCAUAGUCUAACCCCAGUAGUUUUGUUAGCCACUUGUACUAAGCAGUAGUGGUUAACCUUUGCUCCAAUAGAAACUUCAGUGAUUUUUUAUCUAUCCUGAUGAUGAAGUGAUUCCCUACCAGAUAAUGUUUCUACUUUGUGACUGCAAAAACCAGUGCCAUCAGCUCCUUCUCAUAGACAGAUAACCCCAUAUUCUUGAGGGAGAAGGCCUUGCUGAUAAAUGCUAUAGGGUGACCUUCCUGCAGGAGUACAGCCCCCAUGCCUCGUCCACUGACAUCUGUCUCUACCACAAAAGGGAUAUCAAAGUUAGGUAGUCGCAGCACUGGAGCACUGCUGAUGGCUUGCUUAAGGUGAUCAAAAGCCUUUUGAGAAGCAUCCUUCUUAAGCAUCCUUCUUAAGUAAGUUUGUUAGUGGCUUGCUGAUGGCCCCAUACCCUUGUAUGAAACGCCUGUAGUAACCUGUAAGCCCCAAGAAGCCUCUAAGUUCUUUAACAGAUUUAGGGGUAGGCUAAGACAAAAUGCUUUCUACCUUGUUCAUGUCCAUGCUCACCUCUUUGCUGGAUACUACAUGUCCCAAGUAUUUCAUUUCCUGUUGAGCAAAAGAGCAUUUAGAGAGUUUGGCAUAUAGUUGGUGAUGCUUGAGCACUUCCAAUACUUGUUGUAGGUGUUUCUGAUGAAGCUCUAAGCUAGUGCUGUAGAUCAAUAUGUCAUCAAAGAACACCAAAACAAAUUUCCUCAGGAAAGGCUCAAACACCUGGUUCAUUAAGGCUUGAAAAUGUUGCAGGUGCAUUUGUUAGUCCGAAAGGCAUCACCAAAAACUCAUAAUGACCUUGGUGAGUUUGAAAAUGUUACUCUGAUCUCAAGUCAGUUUUUGAGAAAAAUCUGGCCCCAUACAAUUCAUCCAAGAGCUCAUCAAUGUUGGGUAUCCGGUGCCUAUCUUUGACUGUUAAAUCAUUAAGGUGCCUAUAAUCUACACAAAAAUGCUAGGCAUUGUACUUCUUUUUAGCUAGUGGCACCGGGGAUGCAUAGGGGCUAUUACUUGGCUUGAUGAUCCCAGACUUCAACAUUUCAGCUAUCUGCCUUUCAAUUUCUGACUUCUGUGAGUGAGGAUAUCUAUACGGUUUCAUUUUGAAUGCUUGUGCUCUAUGUUUCAAAGGGAUUUGAUUAUCCAAAUGCCUGUUAGGAGGUAACUGAGUAGGCUCCUGAAAGACUUCAGGAAACUGGUCUAGCACUGCUGUUAUUGAGAGAGGGACAAAAAGAAUAUUUUUAUUAAACUGGUCUAGCACUUCGUUUUAAAAGUGAGGGACAAAAAAAAUAUUUUUAUUAAAUUUGAGGGAUGAAACAAGUCAUUUUCCCCUAUAAUAAUAUAGCAAACACUAUUUAAGUGUUAAUGGCCUUAUGAACAGUAACUAAUGGACCGUUUAUAAUACAGCUUGUUGCACUUUUAUGGAUUUUUUGAUAAAUUUAAUCCACUGUUUGGUCCAUGUACCAUUUUACUCUCUAUUCUACUUGAUCAGUUUGGUUUUCUCCACUAGUUUCCAAGUAGUUAUAGGGUUGCCGCUGCUCCUUCCUCUAAGAACACUACCUUCAAGACAAUAUAAUAAGUUGCCGCUUCCACAGUUACCAUUCCCCUCUUUCUUUGAUCUUUCAUUCCCUAAUGACCAAUUAUCCACCAAUCCUUCCUCCUUUUCUUCCCCAUUAUCCACCACCUCACUUCCACUAUGGUGUGCACAAACUCAGUUAUGAAUUGGUAAUUUGUUCUUCAAUGCUUAAUUAGUUAUGGAGAUAAACAUCAGGGCAACCUAGAUGGCACCUUUGCUGAGAAUUCCAUCUUAACAUGCUUGAAAUAAUUUGAUUUUAAUUUUGCCAUUAUUUUUAAGGCGGUAAUGUUAAUUUUGUACCAAAAAUAAGGUUUGAUGAUGGCUUGACUGUGAGUCAAUUUUAUCGGGGAUAGUGGUGGGUUGGGUAAAACCAAAUGUUCGCAGGUAGUGGACCCGAUGGUUAAUCGAUUAGAUGACCGAUAGUUAAUCUAUUAGGGUUUGGUAUUGAUGAGGGAUUACUAACAAGUAAUUCAAUAGGGUUUAAUAGAGCACCCUAAAAAUCCAAUUCCUUAUACCUGACGUAUAUACUUGUGCUCUUUGGUUUGUAUUCAUUUGGCACACUUGAUUUUUAUCUUGUAGAUUGUUAUUUGUCAUGUUCUAUAUACAACUCCUUAUUGAAAAAUGUGGGAUAGUUGUUUGAAUCUUAUUUUGAAAGACUGUUACAUAUAUCUUUCAUAAAAUGUUGAAUUUCUUUAUGGCUCUACCCAUGUUUAAAAUUCAACGUUGUGUGUUGACCUAACAUGAUGUUUAUUGAUUCUAGUUUGAUAAAAUUUAAUUCUCUUUUUUGAACUAUUCAGAUUAGCUGGUAAAGGUUAUUUGAUGACUAAUUCGAACCUGAAGUGAGAGGGUUUGGUAAUGAGAGUUAAAACUCAUAGGGUUACCCAAUAGGGUUUGGUAAAAUAUUUCGAUAUGUGGGUUAGGGUCUGGUAAGAGGGAUUUUUUAGCGUAUUUGACUUGCUAUUAUCCCUAAUUGCAUCCUUCAAGUUAGGAUAAUAUGUAUUUUUGGUUUAUAACACCUUUCAAGGUGAAUUUCAUUUGUUAAUUCAACAAUUAUAAACUCUUGUGGUCUCUGUUUUCUUCAAUUUCGUUAUUUUACUCAAUUUACAGGAUAAUGGCAAUUCGUGAAGUAUGCAAAUGGGGUUCGGAUUUUGCCGUAACUUAUUUAAUCUAAGGGUUAACCAUCCUCUAAAUAAUGUUUGUAACUUGGAGCUUUUUUUUCACAUUUGUCAAAGAAAAAAGGGUGGUAUAUCUAAAUGAAGAACAAGAGAUAACAUGCCUUACGGUCAUCUUUCUAAUGAAGUCAAUAUGGUUCGGUCCUAUUUGAUUUCUUACUGGAUUAGAAUUGUACUAUAUAGGAUUAAUCUUGUCAUCAAUCUUUAGAAGUUUAAUAAUAGUGAGAAUAGAUAAUGAACAAAAAAAAGAAAAAAUUGAAUGAAGAUGGACGGGAAAUUGUCAUAUUGUAAUCAUUAAUGGUUGAAUGCCAUAAUUUAGAAUCAGAUGGGAAAUUCUGUUGAUAGAUUGAUUAAAUUAACCUUAAUUGGUCUACUUGGAUCAUAUCUCACACUUGGAUUGUUCUACUCUGUUUUGUGUACAACUUGGAUUUCCCUUGAAGAUAUUAGUAGAAUAAAAUCUGGCAAACAGUGUACAACCAUGAAUGCCUUUAAUGGAAAAUGGGACCAGAAUAAAUAGAAUCACGUGAAACUAAAUCCACAAGUCAGAUGUAAUAGCAGAAUUAAUAAUGAAAAUAGCAUUUUAUGCAUUGGGCAGAAAUAUAACUGAUAGGGGACUAUUUAUUGCAUAUAAAUAAUUUGGCACAUGGAAAGUUCAUUUGGUAUUCAUGUAGGUGAUUUGGAAGCACAAACUAUUUCAUUUGUUGUCUGAAAAAUAUUAAGUCAUUUACUGCUUCAAACUUAUCAAUCAGCAUUUUGGUUCCAUAGUUUUGGAUAAAUUCCUUUUUUAUCUCUUUCACUGAUGAGAAUUUAAGUCAUCAAUAUAUGGUUGCUUAUCUAAGAUUAAACUUAAGACAUCAUUUGUCGGAGCCCCAGUUUGGUAAAAAAAACUUGAAGAUGUUAUAGAUGUUUUUGCUCAUUAAUCAAAGAUGCCAUAUUCUUUUAUAAGUUAAUGCUGCAUGUUCAUUUUGCUAACUCUGCCAUUUCGUUGUUUAGAUUUUCUCCCCCCAAAAUGGGUUAUAGAGGAGAUUUACAAGGAUCCUGCUCUUGCUUACAUGGAUUAAUGGAUAAGGAGAAAUUUUGAAUGCAUCUGUUGGAUGUGGCUUCAUGCCGGUACUCAAAGGAACAACACUUGUUAUUUUGGCUUUAUGCUUGCUUUUAGGGACAAAUUUGAGUAUCUCUUGGGAGAUACCAUCUUCGAAGAACAUAUUUUUAGCAUAUUUUACACCGGAAUAAAUGAAUUAGGAGUAUAAUCUCUGAAUGAGUUAUAAUUUAAUCUUGUACCAUGUCAUGAUAUCAAAAAAUACUAGUUGGACUUGCUCCUCUUAGUGAGCUUUGCUAUCCUUCUUAUCUUGAGAAAGAUAGAAUGUGCAAGCUUCCUAAGUUUGGAGCUCUUCAGUAAUAUGACAAUGUAAUUUUCCUUUUGGUUAUGAUUGUAGUUUUUACAUGAAGUUUGUGCAUCUCUUGCAAUACAUGUUGAAUAGCUUUAAAGCUGCAGUUAAAGCAGAUUAGCAAGCUAGAAUGAAGAAGCUAUGGCUUUGCACAGUACAUUUUUAGUUGUAUGUUUCUGCAGUUUGCGGUUAUAAAUCUAUAUGCCAUUCCACACUGUCUGGGCAUGAUGCUCAAUAACUAGUAUAUAUAUCCUUCAUAUUGUAAAGAUGAGAAUGAGUGGAAUUGGAUUGUCAAUUGAACUCCAAUUUAGAUGCUCAAUUAUUUUGACUGGGCCACUUUUUUUGACCGGAUUUGGUUAUUUGGUAAUUUAAAGCAGUUGCUGUGGUUAUUUGGUUAUCAAUUGAUUUCAUCAUCUAAUUUGAUCUCUAGUUGGCUGCUGAGACUGUUGCGGUAUUAUUGUGGAUUUGUUGAAUUUUUUGGGGCAUCUUCAUCUUUUGGUUAGAUAAUGGACUGGUUAUCUUGUAAGUUUUAACAAUUCCAGUGGCUUUUGCCGUGAACUUGACAAACAUCCUAGCAAUUCCACUCUCUCCUCUAACCUUCCAUUGUUGUCACUCUGUCUCCCCACUCCGAUCUCCCAAUUGUCCACAAAUUGCUUCUCUUCCAUUGUAUACUCCUUUUCUGCACAGACCAAGCAUGGAGGUAAAUUUACCUGUGGUGUCAUCAUCUUCAUCUUUCACAGCUCUAGUGUUAAUCUGGGACAACAAUAGAGCGUAGAGAGCCGAUGGUUAAAAAACAAAAAAUUCCCUCAGCUCAUCAACAAUUAUCUAGCAAUUCCUGCCUCUUCUAUUCAAUCGCACCACCCUUCGUUCACUUUCACAAACACAUGGGCAUGCAUCUUGGCGAGACUACCCAGAUUCAUUACUUCCUCUCUUGUAUUUUACAAAAUUUUGUUCUUACCCUAAGUUUUCUCUUAUUUGUUUCUUUCAAAUUUUCGUUUCUUUGUUUUCUAGAUUGUGAGCACUUUUGUAACUGGUGUUUGUGCUCAAAGAUUCUCUUUUUUUUCAUUGAAUUUUUAAAAUUUGAGUUUAAUCUUUGAUUGAUUUCUAUUUGGGGAAUUGAUUUUAUAUGGCUUUUUAAGUGGUAUGUAUCACUUUUUUUUAAUAAAUUUUGUAUUUGAAUUCAGUUUUUCUAUUUAUCUAUAGCAAUUCUGUUUUUGUGUGGUUGAUAGAGGAUAUAGGUGGUAUAUUAGUUUCUACCUUUGAGAGCAAUUAUUUGAAUGUUAGGCAAAUGACGUAUGUUCAUGGGAAGGAAAAUAAAACCCCUUGACUUAUUUUGCUGAAGAAAACUUUUUGUCCUCAAAUGAGCAAUUAUUGUUCCUGCUCCAUUCUUUGUCUCCAGCAGUUGUUAAGUAUGAAGAUAUCAAGUGUAUUAAAGUGUUCCUUUGUCCCAGAAGACUCUGAGAGUAGUGGCAGUGGUGAAUAAAUCAGGUUUAUAUCAUUUAUUUCUUGAUUAAUUAUUAUAAUUGCUGUUUUGCUUAAUCUACAAAUUUCGUCAGUUAACUGAUUAAGAUAAAAUCAGUUUGGGUAUUUGGUAUCGCAAUGAUGGGAUGCAGGGAAAUUUUUUCUGCUCAAGUUUGGUCAGUUCUCUCAAUAGUACAACUUUUCAUUGGCUUCAAUACAGAACAGGCUAUGAGGCGUCCCAUAGCUGGGCUAUUUUCCCUCUUUUUACAGUUGUUGAGAAAAAGAAUUUCUAAACAAGUGAAUGAUAAAACAGCUUGUUUUCUAUGUUUGCUUGAUCUUGUGGAAGGUUUUUAUUUUUUGAGGGUGAAGCUAUAUAAGUGCUAUAGAAUGUUUACUCCACUCCUUGCAUGUGAGUACCCAUUGUUAUGCACCAGAAUGAGAUUCAAAGGGACUUGAUCUAGCUUUUAACUUAACAUGAUGAGUUAUGGCUUUGAUAGCCUGAUUGUUGCUUCUUUGAUAUAAUGCUUCUGGUUAUUAAAUAUAACUGCAGCUUAAAUCCUAGAUGAGUAACCAUCAUCUAAGGAAUGCUGCAUGUGCAUUUUUUUAAGUAGUGGUGCUGAAGAUGGGUGUUUUUAUCGAGUAUAUAUGACUUACUGUUGACCAUUCGGAGUAUUUAGCUUUAACCCUGGGAGGUUGAAUCUAAAGACAUAUAAAUUAUUUGAUAUUUUUCAUAUGUGUUUCCCGAUGCUGUUGAAGUUCAUAUAUUACUUAGGAGUAGGGAGCUCUUCUCUUUCUAUGAUGCAGUUUUAAAAUGGUGGGAUGGUGCUGUUGGCAUUUUAGUUAAGUGGAACCCUAUGGCAAAUCUAGAUCGGAAUGAUAUUUAGAAUUUCCUGUGAGCUAUGUAUGUGCUGUGAACACGUUGCAUUCACAAGAUUAUGUCUCAAUUGAAUUGAAUGUGAGUUAUUCACUGCAUUCAUAAGGUUAUGUAUCAGUUGGAUGUGAAUUAUGCAUGAAGACAGUCCUGUCUUGGUAACACGAGAGAGAAGGAAUGCGGUGGUGGGAUGAUGGAAAGGCUAAGGUGUGUAGUCUACAUAUGGCAACCUAGAGGAGGAUAGUUUAAAUGGCAGUCCAUACAAAUAGAAGUGCAAAUGCUGCGGGUAUAUUUGACACCAAGAAUGUUGUGAGCUUGAGAAUUUGCUUAAAUUGGAUGAUAAGAGAGUUCCUUGGCUUCUUGUACUUUAUGCAAGUAUUUUAUUUACUUGCAUCUACAUAAUUUUAUCAUCAUUCUGACCAUAUUUGCUAAAUUGUUGGUUAGGAAAUGAAAGUCCAAAACCUAAACUGCAAUACUGAGAUGAACAAAUUUGAAUACCUGAAUGUUAGGCUUUGUAAGUUCAGAACCAAAGCAGCAAUGGUCUAUAUUUCACAACUAAAUUUUAGCAUUUGAUUUUCUAAUUUUGCUAUUUAGUCUUGUAUGGAUCUGAGUUUUGUCCUUAUCAAAUCCUUGUGCUACAUUCUCAACGUAGGUCCUAUUUACUAGCAAGAGAAUAGGUUACAAAAAGCACUAGAUGAGCAACUCCUUUUUCCAAAUUUUCAUAAUGUAAAUCUCUCUCUUUUUGUGCUUAGCAGUGGCGUGCCUUUUCUAGCAGCAAUGACCACCCUGCUUGGCCUCACCUUUUGUGGCAUUCAUUGAAAAUUGCUUGCUUGUUUUUCAGCCCGUGGUAUGGUUGACGAAGUAUUCACACUGUAAUAUAAUAGACUUUAUUGAAACUUUCUUCUCACUUCAGGAAUUCAUAUUUUUUCUUGAUUAUAAUCAAUAUUUUUACAUUCUUCCAAUUAGCUCCUAGAACAUUGCGACAGAUAAUUAACUUUACAGAUAUAUACAUAGGUCUAGAUUAACCAUUUCCUGCACUCAAAUCUGGGAAAAGCCACGUGAAUGUGUGGCAACAGAUAAACUAGUACAUAUGUAUGUAUGCAUAUUCAUGUAUAUACAUAUAUGUAUAGUUGCAUAUAUGUAUAUAUGGCUAUAUACACCUCCCUGUAUAUACGUAAAUGCAUACAUAGACAUAAAUACAUGUUUGUGUGUGUACACAUUUUGGAUUAAAAAAAGUUUGCAACUAAUUGUCUUCUCUAUUCUUUUGAAUACUAGAACACCAUAUUUGCAUCUUGGUAUUUCAGUUAGUUUUUUUUGCCACAUCACUGAGGAAUCUCUAUACUGGUUGUGCCUUUGUUCUUCCUCUCAAUGGCUGCACCUGUUGCUUCUGCUUCUCGGUUUCUUCUCAAUUUCGCCAAGAUUCUAGGUCGUCCUUCUCCGCUUCACAGUGUGCACCUGACUUACCUGUCAUUAUAUCCAAUUGUUGUUAAGUUUAGGUGGCUAUAUAACUUUUAGUUACUCUCAAUCUUUACCAUUUGGAACUAGCUUCUCAAAAAAAAAUUGUUUUAACCAGAGCUACUGGGUAUCACCCUCUCCUUCAAUAAUAGGGAGAAACUGGACAUGUUGUUCAUGGUGAAGUUUUUAUUCAAUGGUAAUUUUGCAGUAUUGUAGAUUGGAUUUCAGUUUUUUUUCCUUCCUAUGCUCAGAAGAAGAUAACAAUAUUUAAUCUGCCCUUUUUCAUCAGUUACUUUUAUAAUGUAGAAUCCCCCAGGCAAAUGUACAUUUAUACAGUAAUUAUUAGGUGAUUUCGCCUUUUCUUUUUAGGAAGAAAUAGAUACGUCAUUUUCCUUCAAUUCUUGGACAUUGGACCGUUUUGAUGAGAAUGGGAUUAGAUGGUUGUUGAUUCUAAAAGAUUGAUGAUGGGUGCUUGAAGGUCUUCAAAAUCCUAAGGUGAAGUCUUGCGUUGAGUAUUUUGAGGUCCUAAUCGUUGAAGGUUGCACCUUAUAGUGAUAAUAAUUUUUUUCACUUCUUUCAAUUUCUUUUUAGUGAUUAUCGUUUUUUUCUUCUUUCAAUUUUUUUAGUGGUAAUCAUGUUUUAUUUUCUUCUUUCAAUUUUUUUUUGGAUGGCAAAAUCAAGUUUCUAGUCAUUUAAUUUAAUUGGAAAAAUAUGAGCAAUGUCUUUGAAUUUCUAUUUGGAUGAGUUCAGUUGUGUGCCUGCAUAGGUGUGUGCUUGUGUUUAUCCUCCUACUCCACAGGUUCAAAAGAUAUUGUAGGAGUGUUCUGCAUUCUGCAUAAUGUGGUACCAGUCGAUAACAAUGGUCCUUGUAAUGUUCCAUCAUCUUAACUCUGCUUCAUGGUAUGCAUUCAACUUUUACAGUAAUAUCUUGGUUGUGAAUAUGAAGGUUAAUGUGUCAGCCUUGUAUUGGCCGUGACAAAGGUAAGGCAACAUGACCUCCUUUGGCCUUCUGAGUUUCAUAGAGUACUUGUUUUAUUAUUCUACUGCAUGAGAUUGCACUCCUGAUUGAAAUUCUGUUUCUUCUUAUGCAUAUAUGAUGAAACCUGAGUAGGGGGAAUAUGGAAGGCAGACCUGGAUAUCUGCUCUUUGUGAUGUUUUAGAGCCCUCUAAGCUAAUAUAAACUGAGCUUGGUGUGCAACUCAGUGAUGAAAAUUGUUUAAACACGUAUGCUAUGCAUGGGUUACUUUUGUUUGUAGUGUUAUGAUUGACUGGAUACUUAUUUUUCUCUGUAGUGUUACGGUUGGCUGGAUACAUUUAUCUUGAUGAAUUCAUAGUGAUGCUAAACAUAGGGUUCCAUGCCUAUGAUUUAGUGUUUAGAACUAGAAUGGCUUUAUGCUUUUCUAUUGAUAAUGAAAUUGUUUAAUUGCAAUAUAAGGAAGUAUGCCAUGUGUGAGAAUUAAUCUUUAAGAUUUGCUGUUAUAAGUUGCCUUUGCAAUUUCUUGUAAUGGGAGAUUGAUAAAUUGGCUUGGUAAUUUAAACUCUCAAUUUAACAAGAUACAUCACAUGCUUCUUUGGUAGGAAGGGACAAAAUGGACAAAGGAAUGAGGAAGUGAAGUUGUAGGAUAAAGGUCCAUAAUCUCCUUUUUUUUUGCUUUAUUCAUAUGGUUCUUGGUAUCCAUUGUUAGGUUGGAACUUGGACCUGGUGUAUUAGUAGGUAGAGGACCUGUUUAAUGAAUUAGGUUUAGUUAUUGGUCCAGUGGGGAUGCUAUCUCUGUAUCAACUUUUAAAUUGGCGAAUGUGGUGUGGUUUACUUGACAUUGCUUAGAGGACAUCAAAAGAGUCCUUUUUUUUAAUUUUUAUUUUAGGGAUAAUUUCAGAAACUCCCUAACGCCUCCCCUGAAGUUUUCAAAAUAGUAGACACCUCUCCUGAUUAUUUUGAAAACCUUAGAGGAGGUCAGUGAGAAUGUUGGAAACCUUAGAGUUGGUUUCUGAACUUAUCCCUAAGUUUUAUAUGUAUAUUUUUUCUUGGGACCAAUUUAUUGAUUUCCUUUGUUUUACAUGGCACCUAGAUCAAUGUUAUUCAGCUUCCAUGUUGGUGACAAGUAGAAACUGUGCAAGAGGUAAUGUAUAAUCAUGUGAGUAGAAUUAGAAAUGUCUUUGAGUUGUAUGGCAAAAGCUGAUGGCAUUAUCAAUUGUAAGAACAUGUUCAAUUGAUUACUUGUCCAUGGUGCUGUUUUUAACAGUUUUUUUCUAGUUAUCCAACCACAAAAAAAAAAGAAAAGAAAAAUCAAAAUCAGUGUGUUUGGAUUGUAAAUUAUUUGAGAUAUUUUUAUUGUAGUACUUUUUGUGAUGUGAUAAUAUGUAAAAUAAAAAGAUAAUUGGGAAGAUAAAAAGUUGUAUUGAAAAUUAUAAUGGUGAUGUAAGCAAAUAUAUUUGGACAAAUAAUCUCCUGUCCAAACAAAACCACUUAUUAGGGCAAAAGAGACGCCUCCGUUCAAACUUCUAACUGGUCUUGGUAGAUUAAAAAAGGCGUCCGUUUCUGGCCAAUGCUCCCCUUCCAGCAAUCCAAAACAUCCCCGGAAAAUCAAAUGUGGAUCCGCAAAGUGAAAAUCAGGUAAAUUUCUGCGGAACUUUCUCUAAGCUAUUAAAUUUCUGUGGAACGUCAACAAGUAAACUAAACUCAGAACAAGUUUUCAUUUGAUUAGUUCAAGUAAUCAAGAGUUCAAAAUUACACGAUCGGUGUACAGAGAUGCAAAGUCUAAUUCAUAUUAUAUUUAUAGCAAGCAAAUAUGUGAUGGAAGUCAUCGUACACGCUUUAAACCUACUAAAAUUAGAGUCCCGGAAAAUCAAAUGUGGAUCCGCAAAGUGAAAACCAGGUAAAUUUCUGAGGAACUUUCUCUAAACUAUUAAAUUUCUGCGGAACGUCAACAAGUAAACUAAACUCAGAACAAGUUUCCAUUUGUUUAGUUCAAGUAAUCAAGAGUUCAAAAUUACACGAUCGGUGUACAGAGAUGCAAAGUCUUAUUCAUAUUAUAUUUACAGCAAGCAAAUAUGUGAUGGAAGACAUCGUACACGCUUUAAACCUACUAAAAUUAGAGUUCCGGACAUCAAAUGAAAACUUGUUAAAUCUUGUUAAAUUAGUUUACUAAAAUUAGUUUAAAUAUUGUUAAACCUACUAAAAUUAGUUUACUUGUUAAAUCUUGUUUUCACGCCUAUUUUUCUCGCUAUUGGUAUCAUUUACUGCCAUCCAAAUGUUGUUCCCAGAUUUACAGAGGUGAAAAGACGGUUUUCAACCGUCGAAUCCCAAUCUACCCCCAUUUCCGACCUCGACCCGACCCUUACCCAAUCCGGGACCGGGAGCCCGACCCUUACCCAAUCCCCAACCUCAGCCCCAGGCAAGACUGACAUUAACCUUUAUCAUCGGCCGUCACGUGAUCAAUCUCCACAAGUCUCUUGUUAUCAUAUAUAUAUAUAUAUAAUAAAGUCGUGUUCUCAUACUUAUCCCUUCAUAUUUUCUCUUUCCUAUGUGGCUUAACGAGACAGCAAAUAGUUUCCUACGUGGCUUGCUCUUUUUUUGUUUGUAUAUAUAUCAAUUCUUAUUUCCUAUAAAAAUUCUUAAUAUUAUAUGAUUCUUAUUUCCUACCCAAAAAAGGAAUUGGAAAGUAAUGCGAUAUAAAUAAAAGAGACAUAAAUCUCCUCUAUUAGAUAUAUAGGAAUAAAUGAUAAUAUAUUUUUUUAUAGUAUCCUAUUCUUUUUUUUUAACAGCUUCAUCAUUGAUCCUUUUUAUUUUAAGAUAAUCAACCCAUAUAUAGAACAACAUACAAAUAAUCUAGACAUGAAAAUUAAAGAAAGCUAGCCUGAGAAAAUUUUUACAAGACUCAUAGUUCCCAUACAUAAUUGAUGUACAAAGAGAAAUGACACUUCAUCUGAUUGAAAAUUUUUGGAAAAAUCCAUAAAGAAAAUGGAGUGUCAUCAAUCAAAGAAAUAAAAUCUCAUUAUCAUAGUUAAAGAAAGAUGAGAUAAAACAUUAGAUAUUUGUUGAAGUUUUGCACCCCGAAAGCCCCCACCCAACCCUCCGUCCGUAGUGUCCUCCAAUCCAAGAGAAAGUCCUCCGCCGGUAGUAUCCGUAGUGUCCUCCGCCUGUCUUUUUUUUUAAUAUAUUUAUGCUAAUAAUUCCUUAAUCACAAUACAUCUCUGCCCAGAUAGUGGAGAGUAUUUCGUGCGUGGACUCAUAUCAUAGGAGUGCAUGCACUUAAAGGACUCGAUAUAGUGGAAAUGGUCUUUUGAGAUCGGUAAAAUCUAUUUUGAUAACGCAUUUGUAAAUUUAUUAUGUACAGAUUUAUCAAAGUGCAUAGUACGGGUCACAUAAGGUCUUAUUUCCUACCCAAAGUUAUUUGGACGAUUAUGAUUUAAUUUUCUAUAAGAAUUCUUAAUAUUAUAGGAUUCUUUUUUUCUACCCAAAGUUACGUACUUUAAGCAACUUAAAUUAAGAUAAACAUACUUUUAAUGUUCUUAUCAAUAUCUCUUUGUAUCCUUAUCAAUUCUUAUUUCCUAUGCCUACACUACAUAUAGCCUCUAAUAUAUUGAUUUCAAACAUCAAAUUCAUGGUCAGGUAUUUUCAGUGCAAGCGGUUGGCAUAUUAAAGUAUCGAUUUUGGGUUUUCACUCCUCUUGAUUAUCAGAUAUAUCUUCUUUCAAUAUAUAUAUAUAUAUAUAUAUUUUUUAAAAGACAUGUUGAUUUUCAAUUGUAAGAGCUUACUAACAUAUCUUGAAUUUUGUCCUUUUAUUUUAUUUUCUAUUUGUUUUGUAUGAAGACAUAGGAUUUAAACAAGUACUUUCAUCGUUAUUUUUAUAGGAUUUUUUCUAUCAUGUUUGUUAAUUAAUUUUUGUGAUCAUAUACUACGAUGUUUGUUAAUUCGUCUUCAGAAAAAAUAACCAAAAAUAAAAGGCACUGGAAAGUAAUGCGAUAUAAAUGUAAGAGACAUAAAUAUCUCUAUUAGAUAUAUCUGCAAAUUCAUUAGUUAAUUAAAAGAUUGUGGCCAUUUACUUAAUUAUAAUCUUUACGUAUUAUUAUACACAACCUUAAAUGCGAUAAAUCAUUUAUUUUUUUUAUACUUAAUUAUCCUACUUUGCUAUCAUGCAGUGAUAAUAGAAAAUCAAUAAAUGCUGAUUUGCACGGACAAAUCGAAGAGAAUGCUCAAACAGAAAAAAAUAAAAACAAGUUUCUGAAGAGUAAAAUGUUAUUUGAUACUAUUUACUGCACUUUUUAUUUAUUUUCAAUUUUUUGAAUGUUAUGGUAUUGUUGAAUGUUAUUUUUUCUAUUUUUGAAUUAUUAUUCACUGAAUUAGAUGUUUAAAUUUAUAUUAUAAGAAUACUUUACAGUACAAUGCACUCAUAGAAAUAUACUUAAGACAAGUUAUAAUAGAUUAUACAUUAAAUAUGUAUUUUAUAUCGACAUUUUUAUAAAUUGACUAAAUAGUUUAUUAUUUUUCGACGAUUCCCGUUCAACGAACGGGUACAAAAUUAGCUGCAAAAGGAAUUGGAAAAGUUGCUGGAUGGGCCGGAGGCCCGUGCCACGGCAGAUAAUUCCUCGGAAGUUGCCAAUUUGAGCGCCAAGCAAAUGGAAAUGCAGCUUGAGGUUACAAAGUUGGAGGAAAAGAUCAACAAUUGCUACCGAAGAUUUGAUGAUAUAUGGGGUCUGCUCUUCUUAGCCGCUGUUUUCGCUGUCGGCGCCUUCAUGAACACGAGACGGGGACCCAAUGAGGUACGUUUACAUAUUAUUGUCUGGCAUUCGUGUAGCGUAUCAAGGGUAGUAUGAAAAAGAUUUCUCAAGAAACCAAAUGCAAGGUUUUCUUUAGUUCACCUAUUAUUUGGCAUCCCCUCUACUAAGGCCAUUUCAAAAUGUCAUUCUUCUCCUUUUAGACCAUGCACAAUUUGGGCAUUCCGAUCAUGAUAUUAGCAGGAAAGUAAAAUGCCUUCAUCAAGGAUUGUCUGGAAGAAUUCUCGACUGUAAUGAUUGCAAGGAGAAGGGAAAAAAAAUAGAGCGAACCAGGCAAGCAAGCAAGACGGAUAAAAUUCGAAAGAAUGUCAUGUUUUGACACUUUCCGUAGGGUUUAAUAAAGGAUGAUCUCUCUCGCUCUAUAUAUAUAUAUAUAUAUAUAUGUAUAUAUUGGUGUGUGGAAGUGUGUAUUUGUUGUGUAAUGCGUAAAAUUUUUUAAAGAAUUCUAUACUAUUUAGCAACCAAAAGAAACUCUGAUACAUUCUUUAGAACUGUAAUUUUCUUUUCCUCUGUGCUAUCCUAUUGCCAAACUUUUCUGUUCUGUGUUUGAAUUGAGUGUUUUGAUUCUCUUCAUCCCCCGCUCCAAACCCUUCCUACUAUUUUAUUCUUUUAUUCUUUUUACUUACUACAACUCAGUUUCCUGUGUAAUCUGAAUAUAUCUCCUUAUAUUUCGUCCAUUUUCGUUAAAUUUAACGGAUUUCGUCACCUUUACAAUUUAGUUCAAAACAUGAGGAGUCGUGUUGUAUAGUUUGAAACCAUGAGAGGGCUUUUCUGUGUAUUAGAUUGACCACAGGGGAUUUUUUUAUUUUUUACCCAUUUUUUUAAUUUACUUGGAAUACUAUACUCGUAUAUUUAGUAAUAAAAAAUGUACUAAUUUGGUUGGUAAUCGGUAAUAUAUUUUUAAUAUCCAUUCUUGAACCAUUUUAUCGAAUGGGUAAACUCAGAACAAGUUUCCAUUUGUUUAGUUCAAAUAAUCAAGAGUUCAAGAUUCCACGAUCGGUGUACAGAGAUGCAAAGUCUUAUUCAUAUUAUAUUUACAGCAAGCAAAUAUGUGAUGGAAGACAUCGUACACGCUUUAAACCUACUAAAAUUAGAGUUCCGGACAUCAAAUGAAAACUUGUUAAAUCUUGUUAAAUUAGUUUACUAAAAUUAGUUUAAAUAUUGUUAAACCUACUAAAAUUAGUUUACUUGUUAAAUCUUGUUUUCACGCCUAUUUUUCUCGCUAUUGGUAUCAUUUACUGCCAUCCAAAUGUUGUUCCCAGAUUUACAGAGGUGAAAAGACGGUUUUCAACCGUCGAAUCCCAAUCUACCCCCAUUUCCAACCUCGACUCGACCCUUACCCAAUCCGGGACCGGGAGCCCGACCCUUACCCAAUCCUCAACCUCAGCCCCAGGCAAGACUGACAUUAACCUUUAUCAUCGGCCGUCACGGGAUCAAUCUCCACAAGUCUCUUGUUAUCAUAUAUAUAUAUAUAUAUAUAAAUAAUAAAGUCGUGUUCUCAUACUUAUCCCUUCAUAUUUUCUCUUUCCUAUGUGGCUUAACGAGACAGCAAAUAGUUUCCUACGUGGUUUGCUCCUUUUUUGUUUGUAUAUAUAUCAAUUCUUAUUUCCUAUAAAAAUUCUUAAUAUUAUAUGAUUCUUAUUUCCUACCCAAAAAAGAAAUUGGAAAGUAAUGCGAUAUAAAUAAAAGAGACAUAAAUCUCCUCUAUUAGAUAUAUAGGAAUAAAUGAUAAUAUAUUUUUUUAUAGUAUCCUAUUCUUUUUUUUUAACAGCUUCAUCAUAGAUCCUUUUUAUUUUAAGAUAAUCAACCCAUAUAUAGAACAACAUACAAACAAUCUAAACAUGAAAAUUAAAAAAAGUUAGCCCGAGAAAGUUUUUACAAGACUCAUAGUUCCCAUGCAUAAUUGAUGUACAAAGAGAAAUGGCACUUCAUCUGAUUGAAAAUUUUUAGAAAAAUCCAUAAAGAAAAUGGAGUGUCAUCAAUCAAAGAAAUAAAAUCCCAUUAUCAUAGUUAAAGAAAGAUGAGACAAAACAUUAGAUAUUUGUUGAAGUUUUGCACCCCGAAAGCCCCUAUCCAACCCUUCGUCCGUAGUGUCCUCCAAUCCAAGAGAAAGUCCUCCGCCCGUAGUAUCCGUAGUGUCCUCCGCCCGUCUUUUUUUUUAAAUAUAUUUAUGCUAAUAAUUCCUUAAUCACAAUACAUCUCUGCCCAGAUAGUGGAGAGUAUUUCGUGCGUGGACUCAUAUCAUAGGAGUCCAUGCACUUAAAGGACUCGAUAUAGUGGAGAUGGUCUUUUGAGAUCGGUAAAAUCUAUCUUGAUAACGCAUUUGUAAAUUUAUUAUGUACAGGUUUAUCUACGUGCAUAGUACGGGUCACAUAAGGUCUUAUUUCCUACCCAAAGUUAUUUGGAUGAUUAUGGUUUUAUUGUCUAUAAGAAUUCUUAAUAUUAUAGGAUUCUUUUUUCCUACCCAAAGUUCUUAAAUUAAGAUAAACAUACUUUUAAUGUUCUUAUCAAUAUCUUUUUGUAUCCUUAUCAAUUCUUAUUUCCUAUGCCUACACUACAUAUAGCCUCUAAUAUAUUGAUUUCAAACAUCAAAUUCAUGGUCAGGUAUUUUCAGUGCAAGCGGUUGGCAUAUUAAAGUAUCGAUUUUGGGUUUUCACUCCUCUUGAUUAUCAGAUAUAUUUUCUUUCAAUAUAUAUAUAUAUAUAUAUAUAUUUUAAAAAGGCAUGUUGAUUUUCAAUUGUAAGAGCUUACUAACAUAUCUUGAAUUUUGUCCUUUUGUUUUAUUUUCUAUUUGUUUUGUAUGAAGACAUAGGAUUUAAACAAGUACUUUCAUCGUUAUUUUUAUAGGAUUUUUUCUAUCAUGUUUGUUAAUUAAUUUUUGUGAUCAUAUACUACGAUGUUUGUUAAUUCGCCUUCAGAAAAAAUAACCAAAAAUAAAAGGCACUGGAAAGUAAUGCGAUAUAAAUAUAAGAGACAUAAAUAUCUCUAUUAGAUAUAUCUGCAAAUUCAUUAGUUAAUUAAAAGAUUGUGGCCAUUUACUUAAUUAUAAUCUUUACGUAUUAUUAUACACAACCUUAAAUGCGAUAAAUCAUUUAUUUUUUUUAUACUUAAUUAUCCUACUUUGCUAUCAUGCAGUGAUAAUAGAAAAUCAAUAAAUGCUGAUUUGCACGGACAAAUCGAGGAGAAUGCUCAAACAGAAAAAAAUAAAAACAAGUUUCUGAAGAGUAAAAUGUUAUUUGAUACUAUUUACUGCACUUUUUAUUUAUUUUCAAUUUUUUGAAUGUUAUGGUAUUGUUGAAUGUUAUUUUUUCUAUUUUUGAAUUAUUAUUCACUGAAUUAGAUGUUUAAAUUUAUAUUAUAAGAAUACUUUACAGUACAAUGCACUCAUAGUAAUAUACUUAAGACAAGUUAUAAUAGAUUAUACAUUAAAUAUGUAUUUUAUAUCGACAUUUUUAUAAAUUGACUAAAUAGUUUAUUAUUUUUCGACGAUUCCCGUUCAACGAACGGGUACAAAAUUAGCUGCAAAAGGAAUUGGAAAAGUUGCUGGAUGGGCCGGAGGCCCGUGCCACGGCAGAUAAUUCCUCGGAAGUUGCCAAUUUGAGCGCCAAGCAAAUGGAAAUGCAGCUUGAGGUUACAAAGUUGGAGGAAAAGAUCAACAAUUGCAACCGAAGAUUUGAUGAUAUAUGGGGUCUGCUCUUCUUAGCCGCUGUUUUCGCUGUCGGCGCCUUCAUGAACACGAGACGAGGACCCAAUGAGGUACGUUUACAUAUUAUUGUCUGGCAUUCGUGUAGCGUAUCAAGGGUAGUAUGAAAAAGAUUUCUCAAGAAACCAAAUGCAAGGUUUUCUUUAGUUCACUUAUUAUUUGGCAUCCCCUCCACUAAGGCCAUUUCAAAAUGUCAUUCUUCUCCUUUUAGACCAUGCACAAUUUGGGCAUUCCGAUCAUGAUAUUAGCAGGAAAGUAAAAUGCCUUCAUCAAGGAUUGUCUGGAAGAAUUCUCGACUGUAAUGAUUGCAAGGAGAAGGGAAAAAAAAUAGAGCGAACCAGGCAAGCAAGCAAGACGGAUAAAAUUCGAAAGAAUGUCAUGUUUUGACACUUUCCGUAGGGUUUAAUAAAGGAUGAUCUCUCUCGCUCUAUAUAUAUAUAUAUAUAUAUAUGUAUAUAUUGGUGUGUGGAAGUGUGUAUUUGUUGUGUAAUGCGUAAAAUUUUUUAAAGAAUUCUAUACUAUUUAGCAACCAAAAGAAACUCUGAUACAUUCUUUAGAACUGUAAUUUUCUUUUCCUCUGUGCUAUCCUAUUGCCAAACUUUUCUGUUCUGUGUUUGAAUUGAGUGUUUUGAUUCUCUUCAUCCCCCGCUCCAAACCCUUCCUACUAUUUUAUUCUUUUAUUCUUUUUACUUACUACAACUCAGUUUCCUGUGUAAUCUGAAUAUAUCUCCUUAUAUUUCGUCCAUUUUCGUUAAAUUUAACGGAUUCCGUCACCUUUACAAUUUAGUUCAAAACAUGAGGAGUCGUGUUGUAUAGUUUGAAACCAUGAGAGGGCUUUUCUGUGUAUUAGAUUGACCACAGGGGAUUUUUUUAUUUUUUACCCAUUUUUUUAAUUUACUUGGAAUACUAUACUCGUAUAUUUAGUAAUAAAAAAUGUACUAAUUUGGUUGGUAAUCGGUAAUAUAUUUUUAAUAUCCAUUCUUGAACCAUUUUAUCGAAUGGGUAAACUCAGAACAAGUUUCCAUUUGUUUAGUUCAAAUAAUCAAGAGUUCAAGAUUCCACGAUCGGUGUACAGAGAUGCAAAGUCUUAUUCAUAUUAUAUUUACAGCAAGCAAAUAUGUGAUGGAAGACAUCGUACACGCUUUAAACCUACUAAAAUUAGAGUUCCGGACAUCAAAUGAAAACUUGUUAAAUCUUGUUAAAUUAGUUUACUAAAAUUAGUUUAAAUAUUGUUAAACCUACUAAAAUUAGUUUACUUGUUAAAUCUUGUUUUCACGCCUAUUUUUCUCGCUAUUGGUAUCAUUUACUGCCAUCCAAAUGUUGUUCCCAGAUUUACAGAGGUGAAAAGACGGUUUUCAACCGUCGAAUCCCAAUCUACCCCCAUUUCCAACCUCGACUCGGCCCUUACCCAAUCCGGGACCGGGAGCCCGACCCUUACCCAAUCCUCAACCUCAGCCCCAGGCAAGACUGACAUUAACCUUUAUCAUCGGCCAUCACGGGAUCAAUCUCCACAAGUCUCUUGUUAUCAUAUAUAUAUAUAUAUAUAAAUAAUAAAGUCGUGUUCUCAUACUUAUCCCUUCAUAUUUUCUCUUUCCUAUGUGGCUUAACGAGACAGCAAAUAGUUUCCUACGUGGUUUGCUCCUUUUUUGUUUGUAUAUAUAUCAAUUCUUAUUUCCUAUAAAAAUUCUUAAUAUUAUAUGAUUCUUAUUUCCUACCCAAAAAAGAAAUUGGAAAGUAAUGCGAUAUAAAUAAAAGAGACAUAAAUCUCCUCUAUUAGAUAUAUAGGAAUAAAUGAUAAUAUAUUUUUUUAUAGUAUCCUAUUCUUUUUUUUUAACAGCUUCAUCAUAGAUCCUUUUUAUUUUAAGAUAAUCAACCCAUAUAUAGAACAACAUACAAACAAUCUAGACAUGAAAAUUAAAAAAAGUUAGCCCGAGAAAGUUUUUACAAGACUCAUAGUUCCCAUGCAUAAUUGAUGUACAAAGAGAAAUGACACUUCAUCUGAUUGAAAAUUUUUGGAAAAAUCCAUAAAGAAAAUGGAGUGUCAUCAAUCAAAGAAAUAAAAUCCCAUUAUCAUAGUUAAAGAAAGAUGAGACAAAACAUUAGAUAUUUGUUGAAGUUUUGCACCCCGAAAGCCCCUAUCCAACCCUUCGUCCGUAGUGUCCUCCAAUCCAAGAGAAAGUCCUCCGCCCGUAGUAUCCGUAGUGUCCUCCGCCCGUCUUUUUUUUUAAAUAUAUUUAUGCUAAUAAUUCCUUAAUCACAAUACAUCUCUGCCCAGAUAGUGGAGAGUAUUUCGUGCGUGGACUCAUAUCAUAGGAGUCCAUGCACUUAAAGGACUCGAUAUAGUGGAGAUGGUCUUUUGAGAUCGGUAAAAUCUAUCUUGAUAACGCAUUUGUAAAUUUAUUAUGUACAGGUUUAUCUACGUGCAUAGUACGGGUCACAUAAGGUCUUAUUUCCUACCCAAAGUUAUUUGGAUGAUUAUGGUUUUAUUGUCUAUAAGAAUUCUUAAUAUUAUAGGAUUCUUUUUUCCUACCCAAAGUUACGUACUUUAAGCAACUUAAAUUAAGAUAAACAUACUUUUAAUGUUCUUAUCAAUAUCUUUUUGUAUCCUUAUCAAUUCUUAUUUCCUAUGCCUACACUACACAUAGCCUCUAAUAUAUUGAUUUCAAACAUCAAAUUCAUGGUCAGGUAUUUUCAGUGCAAGCGGUUGGCAUAUUAAAGUAUCGGUUUUGGAUUUUCACUUCUCUUGAUUAUCAGAUAUAUUUUCUUUCAAUAUAUAUAUAUAUAUAUAUAUUUUAAAAAGGCAUGUUGAUUUUCAAUUGUAAGAGCUUACUAACAUAUCUUGAAUUUUGUCCUUUUGUUUUAUUUUCUAUUUGUUUUGUAUGAAGACAUAGGAUUUAAACAAGUACUUUCAUCGUUAUUUUUAUAGGAUUUUUUCUAUCAUGUUUGUUAAUUAAUUUUUGUGAUCAUAUACUACGAUGUUUGUUAAUUCGCCUUCAGAAAAAAUAACCAAAAAUAAAAGGCACUGGAAAGUAAUGCGAUAUAAAUAUAAGAGACAUAAAUAUCUCUAUUAGAUAUAUCUGCAAAUUCAUUAGUUAAUUAAAAGAUUGUGGCCAUUUACUUAAUUAUAAUCUUUACGUAUUAUUAUACACAACCUUAAAUGCGAUAAAUCAUUUAUUUUUUUUAUACUUAAUUAUCCUACUUUGCUAUCAUGCAGUGAUAAUAGAAAAUCAAUAAAUGCUGAUUUGCACGGACAAAUCGAGGAGAAUGCUCAAACAGAAAAAAAUAAAAACAAGUUUCUGAAGAGUAAAAUGUUAUUUGAUACUAUUUACUGCACUUUUUAUUUAUUUUCAAUUUUUUGAAUGUUAUGGUAUUGUUGAAUGUUAUUUUUUCUAUUUUUGAAUUAUUAUUCACUGAAUUAGAUGUUUAAAUUUAUAUUAUAAGAAUACUUUACAGUACAAUGCACUCAUAGUAAUAUACUUAAAACAAGUUAUAAUAGAUUAUACAUUAAAUAUGUAUUUUAUAUCGACAUUUUUAUAAAUUGACUAAAUAGUUUAUUAUUUUUCGACGAUUCCCGUUCAACGAACGGGUACAAAAUUAGCUGCAAAAGGAAUUGGAAAAGUUGCUGGAUGGGCCGGAGGCCCGUGCCACGGCAGAUAAUUCCUCGGAAGUUGCCAAUUUGAGCGCCAAGCAAAUGGAAAUGCAGCUUGAGGUUACAAAGUUGGAGGAAAAGAUCAACAAUUGCAACCGAAGAUUUGAUGAUAUAUGGGGUCUGCUCUUCUUAGCCGCUGUUUUCGCUGUCGGCGCCUUCAUGAACACGAGACGAGGACCCAAUGAGGCACGUUUACAUAUUAUUGUCUGGCAUUCGUGUAGCGUAUCAAGGGUAGUAUGAAAAAGAUUUCUCAAGAAACCAAAUGCAAGGUUUUCUUUAGUUCACUUAUUAUUUGGCAUCCCCUCCACUAAGGCCAUUUCAAAAUGUCAUUCUUCUCCUUUUAGACCAUGCACAAUUUGGGCAUUCCGAUCAUGAUAUUAGCAGGAAAGUAAAAUGCCUUCAUCAAGGAUUGUCUGGAAGAAUUCUCGACUGUAAUGAUUGCAAGGAGAAGGGAAAAAAAAUAGAGCGAACCAGGCAAGCAAGCAAGACGGAUAAAAUUCGAAAGAAUGUCAUGUUUUGACACUUUCCGUAGGGUUUAAUAAAGGAUGAUCUCUCUCGCUCUAUAUAUAUAUAUAUAUAUGUAUAUAUUGGUGUGUGGAAGUGUGUAUUUGUUGUGUAAUGCGUAAAAUUUUUUAAAGAAUUCUAUACUAUUUAGCAACCAAAAGAAACUCUGAUACAUUCUUUAGAACUGUAAUUUUCUUUUCCUCUGUGCUAUCCUAUUGCCAAACUUUUCUGUUCUGUGUUUGAAUUGAGUGUUUUGAUUCUCUUCAUCCCCCGCUCCAAACCCUUCCUACUAUUUUAUUCUUUUAUUCUUUUUACUUACUACAACUCAGUUUCCUGUGUAAUCUGAAUAUAUCUCCUUAUAUUUCGUCCAUUUUCGUUAAAUUUAACGGAUUCCGUCACCUUUACAAUUUAGUUCAAAACAUGAGGAGUCGUGUUGUAUAGUUUGAAAUCAUGAGAGGGCUUUUCAGUGUAUUAGAUUGACCACAGGGGAUUUUUUUAUUUUUUACCCAUUUUUUUAAUUUACUUGGAAUACUAUACUCGUAUAUUUAGUAAUAAAAAAUGUACUAAUUUGGUUGGUAAUCGGUAAUAUAUUUUUAAUAUCCAUUCUUGAACCAUUUUAUCGAAUGGGUAAACUCAGAACAAGUUUCCAUUUGUUUAGUUCAAGUAAUCAAGAGUUCAAGAUUCCACGAUCGGUGUACAGAGAUGCAAAGUCUUAUUCAUAUUAUAUUUACAGCAAGCAAAUAUGUGAUGGAAGACAUCGUACACGCUUUAAACCUACUAAAAUUAGAGUUCCGGACAUCAAAUGAAAACUUGUUAAAUCUUGUUAAAUUAGUUUACUAAAAUUAGUUUAAAUAUUGUUAAACCUACUAAAAUUAGUUUACUUGUUAAAUCUUGUUUUCACGCCUAUUUUUCUCGCUAUUGGUAUCAUUUACUGCCAUCCAAAUGUUGUUCCCAGAUUUACAGAGGUGAAAAGACGGUUUUCAACCGUCGAAUCCCAAUCUACCCCCAUUUCCAACCUCGACCCGACCCUUACCCAAUCCGGGACCGGGAGCCCGACCCUUACCCAAUCCUCAACCUCAGCCCCAGGCAAGACUGACAUUAACCUUUAUCAUCGGCCGUCACGGGAUCAAUCUCCACAAGUCUCUUGUUAUCAUAUAUAUAUAUAUAUAUAUAAAUAAUAAAGUCGUGUUCUCAUACUUAUCCCUUCAUAUUUUCUCUUUCCUAUGUGGCUUAACGAGACAGCAAAUAGUUUCCUACGUGACUUGCUCCUUUUUUGUUUGUAUAUAUAUCAAUUCUUAUUUCCUAUAAAAAUUCUUAAUAUUAUAUGAUUUUUAUUUCCUACCCAAAAAAGGAAUUGGAACGUAAUGCGAUAUAAAUAAAAGAGACAUAAAUCUCCUCUAUUAGAUAUAUAGGAAUAAAUGAUAUAUAUUUUUUUAUAGUAUCCUAUUCUUUGUUUUUAACAGAUUCAUCAUAGAUCCUUUUUAUUUUAAGAUAAUCAACCCAUAUAUAGAACAACAUACAAACAAUCUAGACAUGAAAAUUAAAAAAAGUUAGCCCGAGAAAGUUUUUACAAGACUCAUAGUUCCCAUGCAUAAUUGAUGUACAAAGAGAAAUGGCACUUCAUCUGAUUGAAAAUUUUUGGAAAAAUCCAUAAAGAAAAUGGAGUGUCAUCAAUCAAAGAAAUAAAAUUUCAUUAUCAUAGUUAAAGAAAGAUGAGAUAAAACAUUAGAUAUUUGUUGAAAUUUUGCACCCCGAAAGCCCCUAUCCAACCCUUCGUCCGUAGUGUCCUCCAAUCCAAGAGAAAGUCCUCCGCCCGUAGUAUCCGUAGUGUCCUCCGCCCGUCUUUUUUUUUUAAUAUAUUUAUGCUAAUAAUUCCUUAAUCACAAUACAUCUCUGCCCAGAUAGUGGAGAGUAUUUCGUGCGUGGACUCAUAUCAUAGGAGUCCAUGCACUUAAAGGACUCGAUAUAGUGGAGAUGGUCUUUUGAGAUCGGUAAAAUCUAUCUUGAUAACGCAUUUGUAAAUUUAUUAUGUACAGGUUUAUCUACGUGCAUAGUACGGGUCACAUAAGGUCUUAUUUCCUACCCAAAGUUAUUUGGAUGAUUAUGGUUUUAUUUUCUAUAAGAAUUCUUAAUAUUAUAGGAUUCUUUUUUCCUACCCAAAGUUACGUACUUUAAGCAAUUUAAAUUAAGAUAAACAUACUUUUAAUGUUCUUAUCAAUAUCUCUUUGUAUCCUUAUCAAUUCUUAUUUCCUAUGCCUACACUACAUAUAGCCUCUAAUAUAUUGAUUUCAAACAUCAAAUUCAUGGUCAGGUAUUUUCAGUGCAAGCGGUUGGCAUAUUAAAGUAUCGAUUUUGGGUUUUCACUCCUCUUGAUUAUCAGAUAUAUCUUCUUUCAAUAUAUAUAUAUAUAUAUAUAUAUAUAUAUAUAUAUUUUUAAAAAAGACAUGUUGAUUUUCAAUUGUAAGAGCUUACUAACAUAUCUUGAAUUUUGUCCUUUUGUUUUAUUUUCUAUUUGUUUUGUAUGAAGACAUAGGAUUUAAACAAGUACUUUCAUCGUUAUUUUUAUAGGAUUUUUUCUAUCAUGUUUGUUAAUUAAUUUUUGUGAUCAUAUACUACGAUGUUUGUUAAUUCGUCUUCAGAAAAAAUAACCAAAAAUAAAAGGCACUGGAAAGUAAUGCGAUAUAAAUGUAAGAGACAUAAAUAUCUCUAUUAGAUAUAUCUGCAAAUUCAUUAGUUAAUUAAAAGAUUGUGGCCAUUUACUUAAUUAUAAUCUUUACGUAUUGUUAUACACAACCUUAAAUGCGAUAAAUCAUUUAUUUUUUUUAUACUUAAUUAUCCUACUUUGCUAUCAUGCAGUGAUAAUAGAAAAUCAAUAAAUGCUGAUUUGCACGGACAAAUCGAAGAGAAUGCUCAAACAGAAAAAAAUAAAAACAAGUUUCUGAAGAGUAAAAUGUUAUUUGAUACUAUUUACUGCACUUUUUAUUUAUUUUCAAUUUUUUGAAUGUUAUGGUAUUGUUGAAUGUUAUUUUUUCUAUUUUUGAAUUAUUAUUCACUGAAUUAGAUGUUUAAAUUUAUAUUAUAAGAAUACUUUACAGUACAAUGCACUCAUAGAAAUAUACUUAAGACAAGUUAUAAUAGAUUAUACAUUAAAUAUGUAUUUUAUAUCGACAUUUUUAUAAAUUGACUAAAUAGUUUAUUAUUUUUCGACGAUUCCCGUUCAACGAACGGGUACAAAAUUAGCUGCAAAAGGAAUUGGAAAAGUUGCUGGAUGGGCCGGAGGCCCGUGCCACGGCAGAUAAUGCCUCGGAAGUUGCCAAUUUGAGCGCCAAGCAAAUGGAAAUGCAGCUUGAGGUUACAAAGUUGGAGGAAAAGAUCAACAAUUGCAACCGAAGAUUUGAUGAUAUAUGGGGUCUGCUCUUCUUAGCCGCUGUUUUCGCUGUCGGCGCCUUCAUGAACACGAGACGAGGACCAAAUGAGGUACGUUUACAUAUUAUUGUCUGGCAUUCGUGUAGCGUAUCAAGGGUAGUAUGAAAAAGAUUUCUCAAGAAACCAAAUGCAAGGUUUUCUUUAGUUCACUUAUUAUUUGGCAUCCCCUCCACUAAGGCCAUUUCAAAAUGUCAUUCUUCUCCUUUUAGACCAUGCACAAUUUGGGCAUUCCGAUCAUGAUAUUAGCAGGAAAGUAAAAUGCCUUCAUCAAGGAUUGUCUGGAAGAAUUCUCGACUGUAAUGAUUGCAAGGAGAAGGGGAAAAAAAUAGAGCGAACCAGGCAAGCAAGCAAGACGGAUAAAAUUCGAAAGAAUGUCAUGUUUUGACACUUUCCGUAGGGUUUAAAAAUAAAGGAUGAUCUCUCUCGCUCUAUAUAUAUAUAUAUAUAUAUAUAUAUAUAUAUAUGUAUAUAUGUAUAUAUUGGUGUGUGGAAGUGUAUAUUUGUUGUGUAAUGGGUAAAAUUUUUUAAAGAAUUCUAUACUAUUUAGCAACCAAAAGAAACUCUGAUACAUUCUUUAGAACUGUAAUUUUCUUUUCCUCUGUGCUAUCCUAUUGCCAAACUUUUCUGUUCUGUGUUUGAAUUGAGUGUUUUGAUUCUCUUCAUCCCCCACUCCAAAUCCUUCCUACUAUUUUAUUCUUUUUUUCUUUUUACUCACUACAACUCAGUUUCCUGUGUAAUCUGAAUAUAUCUCCUUAUAUUUCGUCCAUUUUCGUUAAAUUUAACGGAUUCCGUCACCUUUACAAUUUAGUUCAAAACAUGAGGUGUCGUGUUGUAUAGUUUGAAACCAUGAGAGGGCUUUUCUGUGUAUUAGAUUAACCACAGGGGAUUUUUUUGUUUUUUACCCAUUUUUUAAAUUUACUUGGAAUACUGUACUCGUAUAUUUACUAAUUACUAAUUGUAAUUACUAAUUAGCUAACUUAAUUAUAAUUACACUUGGAAGUCAAAUUUUGAUGGAAGUUAGCAUGUUGGAGUUUAGUUUGACAAUUAAAUUUAGAAUUCUUGUUUAUUUCAAUGUUGUUUAAGAAUUGAGAUUAUGAGCUAGGGCUUAGGAUUAUGAAUUUUUUUUUUUUUGCAUAUCAUGUUUAUUUGAAUUAAGUUGAUUGAAUUUUAUCAAAAACAUAUGGGAUAUUAUUUUGUUACAACAAUUUUUUAGAAAAAAAUAAAAUAUUUUAAUUCACUAUUGACAUUUUUAAUUUUGGAUAUUACUGAAUUACUGAUUUUUCAAUCCAAUUCACCAAACUAAAGUUUGGAAGGUAAUCGAAUAUUGGUUUUAAACAACCGAUUCCUUAAUUACUGGAAUUUUUUUAAUCAAAUUUUCGAUUACUGGCAAUGGACGCCUCUACUUAUAACCUCUCUUAUUUUAUCACCAAAGUCAACCCUUCCCCUGUCAAUACGGUAACUUCAAUAUAUUUUAAUGGAAUUUUGUGUGACUAAAAUUGGCCCAUUCUCCAAUCAAAUUGGAAUUAAAUUGAUAUUUUUAAUUCACUUAAAAUGUUAAUUAACAGCUUUUUCAAUUAAAUAUCCUUUAUGCAUUUGCAAAAAUUGUUAAAGAUAACUUAGAUGGGAGACAAAUAUGUUUUGGCAAAAUCAUAAGGACCAAAUUCGUAUUCCCUCCCCGGUUUUUUUUUUUGGUAAGAUAAAAAAAAAAGAAUUAUUAAGAUAAAAAAUAAAAGGGUUUAAGUAGCAGGGUUUAAGGGAUAAGGAUUUCAUUUCAUUUUCCCCCAAAUUUUAGCAGAUCAUUUCUUUUCUCUUCAUCAAUGGCGUCUUCACUCUCAAGGACACUUUGCCGUAGACUUCUUCUCUCAAACCCCAGAUCAAAGCCCUCGACUCUCUCUUAUUCCUUUUGCUCAAAAAGCUUUUCUUUUAUGGACGCCUCCUCAGAGUCGGACGAACCCUCCGCUGUCAAUUCGGUCCAUUCCGAUGCUGAGUCACCAGCCCCCUCUUCAUCUUCUGUUUCUUCCUCAGACUCAACUAAGCAGCAACGCGUCAUUCGGAGUCGUCCCCUCGAAAAUGGGUUGGAUGUUGGCAUUUACAAGGUCCAAUUUUUGCUGAACAUUUCUGAAUUUUUUUUUGGAAUUUAUUGUCAUGGUAAUAACUGUUAGAAUAUAGUUUCAAAGUUUAAUUUGUUUUUACAUUUCGACAGUGAUCUUGUCUUCUUGUUUUUUCUGUGAUGUGUAAAAAUUGUUGUGCGUUUUUGGUGGGGUUACUUUGCACAAAAUUUUGUUAGACAGGAUGAAAUUCUUAUUAGUUUAUAAUGAAAAUUGCUAUCAGGUCAAAGAUUAGAAUUUUAUUAGGACCUGACGGAAGUUUGUGGCAGGGCAAGAUUGAACUUUUAUUAUGUUCUAGCUGAUAUUUUUUGUUUGUUUAUACGGGGAAAUUUUGAAAUUUUUGUUUUUGUUUCUUUUCAAAUUUGGCGUGUGUUUUCCCCCGCCCCGCCCCCCGGGGGGGGGGGGUGUUGGCCACAUUGAUCAGGAGUCUAGUUUGUAAGGGAAUUCUUUUUUAAAAAAGCAUAUAAAAUGUUCUUUCAUAGUCUUCGGAUUAAGAGGAAUUUUGCAUGUACAAAACGAAGCUGAUUUGCUUCCGUAACUCUAUCAUGUAUGUGGAACAGGCUGUAUUGAUUGGUCUGGUGGGGCAGGCUCCUCUUCAGAAGAAGUUAAGGAAUGGGAGAGCAGUCACUCUGCUGUCGCUUGGGACAGGUGGUAUUCGGAACAAUAGGAGGCCAUUUGAUAAUGAGGAGCCUAGAGAAUUUGCAGAUAGGUGUGCAGUUCAAUGGCACAGGGUUGCAGUUUAUCCUGAGAGGUUAGGAGCGCUAACUGUGAAGCAUGCUGUACCAGGGUGAGCCUGUUUGGAUUUAUUUAGGCUUCUGUGAUUGACAUUUUGCAAAGGUUAUGGCUCUUAAGUGUUGAAAUUCUAAAAGUUAUUGCGUAUAACAUGUCAAACUCUUAUGUAUACUAACAUGAACUUUUAAUUCAAUUGAAAGAGGUGAAAAGAGACUUAGAAUCCAAAUUAAUAAAACUUGGAUUAUGUCCUGUGUUCUGCUGGUUUCUGAGAAACGACAGCUCAUAAUUGGGAAUUUAAUACUAAAGUGAGUCAGUUUUGUAGAUUACUUGGCAGACCACCAAAUUAGAUGGUUAAUGUUGUGGUUCGAGAAUUUCACCUUUUUUUUAUUCAAUUUGUUGGUGUUUGUCCAACAAAUCCUGCUCCGUAAGUCUUACCCCUUUAGUUGUUACUAUUUUCCCCUUUAGUUGUUACUAUUUUUAUUGAUACGAACUGGUGGUCCUUGGGCAUUGUUACUAUGUUUAAUCAGUCUACUUUCUCAUCAUAGUUGAUUUAUUAAAGAUUGUAGCCUAUGGAGAUUUACAUUGGCUGUUUUUCUUUGUUCUCUCUCUCUCUCUCUCUCUGUUUCUUUCUACUGAGUUAGCUUUGAGCAUGAUUCGCCCUGCACUUAUACUCAUCAGCAUGCAAUGUUCUUCACUUAACAACCAUGAGCAUCCCUUGCUCGCACGUGUUUGUGCAUCAAUCAAUUGCUCACUUUCUUUUGAGUUAUGGUUAUAUCCUUAAUGUUAUUGAUGUUUUCAUCACCUCACAGGUCAGUCUUGUACGUGGAAGGAAAUCUGGAGACUAAGAUAUUUAAUGAUCCAAUAACUGGUCUAGUUCGACGUAUACGAGAGAUUGCAAUACGCCGAAAUGGUAAGUUUAUCACCCUGUUCCCACAUACUAUUAUAAUUACACGGUUGCAAUACUCCAGAAACAAGAAACUAUGUUUCUUGAAGAUACAGUAGCAAUUCAAUUUGUUUUAUUUUCUGAUUUCAUGUUGGUAAACUACAUAUUUCUGUAUUUAUAUUGAUGCUGUUUUUUCAGCUAUUUGCAGCUUCUUUUUUUUUUUUUUUAAUGAUGUUUGAAAGAAUUUUAUGUAUGUUAGACUAUGGUGUCUCAUCUCUUAUGAUGUCAAAAUAUGAAAGCUUUUGGUCACUUGAAAACGUGACUAAACUGUUUGCAUGACUGCUUAAUGAAUAGGAUAUACAGUAUCUGUUAAGAGAUACAAAUGGAGCACUCCAAUUUUGCUUUUCAAUUGAUCUAUCCCUAUAAAGUUACAUGUAUAAAGCUUGUUCUGUCAAUGAAUUUUUGGAAGUUUCAUUUAUGAUCCCAAAAAAAAAAAAUGGUGAAACACUGAUAAUAUGGUGAACUCUGGUUAUGUGGGCCUUGUAGGUCGGCUGGUGUUUUUGGGACAAGGAAGUGAAAACCAGAAACCAUCACAAGGAGAUCUGAGAAGUGUUGGCUAUUAUUAAAGCGAAUCAAGUGUGAAAGCAAUGGGAGACUCUUUGAGAGAGUAUUUUAAAUCACUCUUGAAAUUAUGUAUUAGCAUAGCUGAGGGAGGAGAUUGGGAGGGCCAGGUCUAGUCUGAUUAAUAAAUUGUACUAUUUGUCUUGCUAAUCUUGAUGUCCCUUUCUGAAGUAGUCCGUGGUUGUUAGUGGGAGAAUAUAUUCCCAGUAUUGCUUAUGGUCGCGUUUGAUAGCCAGUUUACUUGUUAGUUGGAAAAGUACUUGCCUUGGAAUAUUGAAGUAGCUCUCUCUCUCUCUCUCUCGUUUAUUGAUGCUGGUGUUUCUUAUGAUCAUAGAUCAUUUAACGGUGUUAUUCCACAAAUCAUUAGGUAUAUUCUUGCAAUAAUCUGUUGGUGUUACUUCCAAGAGGGAGAUAAGUGGUGAAUGUGGUAGAGACAUUAGAAUGGUAGAAGAAAGCAAUGAUGUCUGGAACUAAUUAACGAAGGGUCAGCCAUUCUUUCUGCUGUACUUGCUGUUCCUUGUGUGUUAUGUGUUAUACAUUGUUGGGGAGAUGGAGAGACUUAUUUAGCAGUAUACCUGGCAAUGGAGUAAUCUUAUUGAGAUAUCAAUUCAUUGUCAUAUUUUAGCUCGAUAGUAGAUUGGAUUCUAAUAAUCAGAUCCAAAUGACUAGUUUCAAGAAUGGACAAUAGGCCUUCGGGGACAUCCGAUAAAAUUGGAACGAUACAGAUAAAAUUAGCAUGGCCCUGCGCAAGGAUGACAUGCACAAAUCGAGAAAUUGUCCAAAUUUUUUUGGGCUAUUUUGCAGUCAGUGUCGAAUUCAAAUACCUGGCUCUUCUGUGAUGAUCGUGGGCUAUGAUGCAUUGUGCCAUAUGUUCUGCCACUUUGGACCGCUCUGUUCAUCAACACUCUUUGCAUGCGCCAAAUUCAGCUUUUUUUUUUUUUUUUGGUAGAAAAACCAAGUUUUGCCUUAAUCAACAGAAAGACUUACUGAAUUUCACAGUCGAUGUGAGAAUUGUAUUAGUGAGCUAGUCGUAAGAACUCUUGUAAGCGAACUCUUGUAAGCGAUUUGUAAUAUCAAAAGCAUGUUUUAUGGCGACUUCAAGUUUGGACUAAAAAGCAAGAGCCAGUUAGAAUUGACAAAAUGGACUAUCAUUAGCAAUAGCUGAAGUGGCAAUAGCAGGAAUUAUCCCACUGCAAAUUUGAAAGUCCUCAAGUACUUUUCAAUGUGCAAAAACUUGAUUUCCUUUAAUUGGGCCACAUUCCGAAUUCAGAAAGCCGGCAAAACUAGAUGGCCCAAUAGGAAAGAGCCUGCUGACCUGACGAUACUGAAUUCAAAGCGAUCAACUAUCCUGGCUUAUGGCUUGGUUUUCUCCUUUCCUUAUCCACAAAAUCUGUCUCUAUGGAGGAGAAAACAGACAUAUCAUGAUUUAUGAAAGUUAUGGGAGAAACACCAGCAGAAACAGAGCUAGAAUACAACCGAAUAAAAUGUGGUCAAAUCAGAAACUGAUGCAGCACUCACCCCAGUUGCUUCAACCCCCAGCACUACCUCCUCCACAAACUCAAACCAUAAGUAUCAAGCAAUGCUGUAAAGUCUCGCGCAGAGAACUUGCAAUUUGCACCAACUCAUCUUUGCUAUUACUCUUAGGCUCACAGACAGUGGAGCCAUUGCACCAUUCAAGAGCAAGAGCGGAGGAAAUUGAGGAUACAAGUAAAGAAACUGAGCAGCUUGUGGAAAGUGAGGAAAAUGAAGUUCCUAGGAACUCUGAACUUGUGGAAAGUGAGGUUGUUCCUCCAAGCACCGAACAACCAGUGGAAAGUGAGGAUGAUCCUCAAAAAACUGAACAACUUGCCCCAGAAGACGAUUCAAAGAAAACUGCAGAUCCCUGUGGAGAACAAAAUCCAACCCAGAGGGCAUUUCUUGAAGUGUCAAUUGAUGGCGUGCCUCUUGGUAGAAUUGUGAUCGGGCUAUACAGUGAUAGUGUUCCAUUUGGUACAGCCCGAUUCAGUGAUCUUGUCAGUGGUGCAGCGGGCAUUAGUUAUAGAAGAAAAGAAUUUGUUAAGAUCACGCCAAACUAUGUCCAACAUAGCGGAGUGAGAUCAUAUGGUGUUGAUGCUGAGCUUGCGAGGAAGGCUGGAAGCAAUUUGGCUGCUGACAGACUCACAGAUGAAUGGGAAAAGCAGUAUGCGGCUUGUCCAGGGACAAAGAAUUUGGCCAAAAGCAUUGGCAUUGUAGUGAGGGAUCCUUCAAAACCACCACCCAAGUUGAAAUUGAUUGCACGCAAAGGGAAGCUAGAGAUUGAUCAAGAACAGGUGGGAGUGGAUCCUAAUGGGACAGAAUUUGUCAUUGCUAUUAAAGACUCGCCUGAACUAGAUGCAUCAACAUUAGUGAUUGGAAGAGUAUUGGAAGGAAUGGACGUUGUUGAGAAGAUUGGCCAAGUGAAGACAGUACAGGAGAAUACCAGUUCUCCCUAUUUCAGGUACCUGUUGUACUCUCUCUGCUUAACAAUGCCAACAUGGCAUUACAUAGAUGAGCAACUCUAUGCGCACAUAAUAGGACAAAUAACAUACAGCAAAUGAUCAUUUUCCUAGAUACAAUUUGAAAUUAACAUUUCUUCUUUAUGAAUUGCCCAACAGGGUAGCAAAGUUGAUAGGAGACAAAAGGGCUGUUGUAGCAGAGAGAGGCUUUAAUCGACCAUAUUCAAAGGUGUUGAUUACCAAUUGUGGGUUGAUAAAAUGAAUGAAGCCGCUAUAGAUCACUUAUUUCCAUUAUGUAAUAGAGGACAAGAUUGUGCGGGGAAAUUCUUUCACAUUGAUGAUUCUCAGUAAAUUUUUGUGCUGUCAUAAAUUGUGCUGUCAUAAAUUGGAGUUAUGCAUACAUGGCCAGUACAGCUGCAAUCGCAACAAGCUGAAAAUAAUGAAAAGCUAUUACACUCAUCCUUAAAAGGAAAUCUUUAAAUUCAAGUAGGCAAGAAAAACUAGAAAAGCUAAGUAUGCAUACGUGAGUGUGCUUUCCUGAUUAGCUCUGCAAUCUCACAAUCAUUUGACAUGCUGCAAAGUCAACACUAUCCCAGGCACUAGCUCGCAUGAGUAUGCUUCGUUCUUUUUACAGGUGGGGAACUGAAAAGCUUUCUGAUUGAAGCAAUUGGAUCAUCCACCUAUAUCAAAGAGAGGGCAUAAGAAUGCAUUUGACACAUAUACAUUUACAAAGGAGGAAGCCAAGUAGACAGAGAAAAUUAAAUAGGCUAAGACUGCGGCUACAAGACAAAGAAUUCACCCAACAAGCAUUUCAGUUUGGAACCGUAUCUCAAAUGGGUUUAGGUAAAAUUUUACAUUCUAGGCUGAAUCACUUGAGACUAAGAUGAAAACUGGUUGCAGCAACUAAGAAGCAAAUUGAUACAGAUGCUGUACGUGAUGCUCUUAUUAUCUUGGAUCACAACAUUGAAAUGAUAGUAACUAGCUAUUCCAAGUGCUAUGCAUACUCAUAUACUGUACAAGGUGAACCAAGUAGCAUAAAAUUCUAUGAUUAGGAGCAUAAUUCAAGAUGCUUGUUUAGCUACAGCAGAUUGAAGAGUACCAACCAGAAAAAUACAUGUACCAGUAAACCAAAAUUGCAGACCACGAUAAACACCAAAUGCGAACUAUACUCUCUAAUUUUGGCAUGCAUAUUGUAAUUACUGCUGCUAUUGUAACACUUCAUCAUUUACCUCAAUUAAGGAAGAUGGUGGAUUUUCAGCAAAGGACUCCGAGAAUUCUUUAUGGCGUUGUAAAGCAGACAGAGUUUGUUUCCAUCCAGGAGUAGAAUUACCAAUGGAUGCAAUCCACGGACAAAAAAGUUUGUGCUGCCUGAUCGGAUCGAACUCCAUCGAGUUGUGCAGUGAUUCUUGUUCUGGAUUCCUUCCUGUAGAACAGCAGAUAAAAAGCUUACCAAUAUUUUUCAGACUAAGAACUAACCUCUGAACCCUUUAGAAGUAGACCAGAUAAAAUAUCAGUAACUACUUUUUUUACAUCAACUGCUAGACAGUCAAAAUAACAUGAAAGUAGGAAAUGGGUAAGAACCUUUACAGUGUAUUAUAUAUGUUAACAUACCAGGACACAUAUCAUGCUUCACAUAUAGUAUGAUGUUAUAUGCAUCUGGGAAAACACCAUUCAACAUCAUAAAAUGUUCAAGCUUGAUAUGACAAUUUCUCUUAAUUAAUGGGUACAGAAGCAAAAAUCAUAAAAAGACCAGAAAAGAAGACACACUAUUUUUUUCUUUGUCAAGGUAAAAGUUCAAACAUGAGACACUGCAAAAAACGAAGAUAGCUCUUUUACCCAAACUAGUGUGAGGAACAUUGCUGUCUCCAGCCUGCCCUCCAGACUCCACAGCAUUGUUACUUUCCUUAUCACCUGGCAAGUUGUCAUUUUUGCAUGUGGCAGUCUCAACGACCAUCCCAACAUUAUUUUUGACAUUACAGCCGGAAAAUUCCCCAAUUUGUGACCUGUUACAGUCCUCAACUACAGAAUCAACUGUCUCGGCACUACCCACAUUUUUUACUAGCAUGUCAGCACUACCCAAACCUCCUCCUACAACCUCCAUGUUUUCAAGUUGUUUUUCAUUAUUGGAAACUGGUUCACCAACUUGAUCAUUUGCCUGUUGCGAUGUAUUCCCUUCCACCAAUGCCAUUUCUUGGUCUUUACCGACCAUAUAGUUGGUGGAAAAUCGAGCUCUCAAAUUCCGUCCAAUCAGAGGCAAAGAUAUAGUUGCUCUAUAAUUUUGCUUUGCAGGUGGAGGACCACCAGCAAUUGUCAAAUUCAAAGUACAUGUCUUCUCAUUUGAAGAUGUAGAAGCCGCAAAAUCAUUACGACCCUCAUUGCUGGAAAAGGAGGUCCCAGGAGCACUAUUCUUGGAUUGGGGAGUAUCAUUUUGACCAUCAACUUCAGUAUAUCCAACCAACCUCAGAAACUCUAUAGGUUGUGGAACUGAAGAAAAAGCCCACAAACCAAUACUAGCACCACAAAGCCUGCACUCAAAGACAACGGAAUUGGGUUCAUAGAGAACUCUCUCAGAAGCCUGAGAAUCAUUAUCAGCCUCCAAAACCCCUUUAGCAGAGGAACGGAUGACACUCAGAUUAAGCUUAUCAGAGGCUAGAUGAGGUUGAUUUGCCAAAUUUACAUUGUUGCUAGAAUCUUCUUUUCCAACCUUGCAAUCAACAGUAUAAGGUAAUGAAUGAAAUUCCCAGCCAAAGAGACUGAUUAGCUUUUGUGCCUGCAAAAUACAAUGUUCAUGUUAAUAAACAUGAUAAGAUAGAAAAUUCUAGAAGGUUAACCAACUAACAUAAUGUUAGUACCAAUACAAAUCAUGGACCCGUUCAGUUCAAACCAAAAGCAAAAAUCACACUGCUAACAAAUACAAGAAUCCGGGAAUAGCACUAUUAUUAGCUGGUCAAGAAAGUGAAAUUGAAACAAGCUCAUGACAGAUGACUCCAAAGGAUCUGUCUGACUCUGUUUGUGUAUGCAUAAACACACAUUAAAUGGAUAGCUUCUUAGCAUUCCAUCAAAUAUACAAUUUAAACGAGCUUUGAGCUUCAAGAUUGUAGAUCAUAACAAAAAAUAAAUGUAACGGGCAGAAAUUGAUGAAGCAGCUAACAAAUACUGGCAUUAAAGACAAUCGAGCUGCUGAAAGUCAUGCAAAAUGGCUGAAGACUAUUCUUUACAGUAGGAUAUUAAAUAUCCCUCUACAAGUGCAUCACUUGCAUACGUAAUGUUUGAACCUGAUAGUAUGAAGCAGAAGAUGCUGAAGGAGGGUUAUUUAUGAGACUUCUACUAGCAUCAGCAGAUUUAUUCUUCUCCGCACCUGAAGGUCCUCCAAAAAAUUGCUCCAGCUGAGGGCUUCUUAUGUAAUCAAUAGCGGAAGGUGAAAUGAUUGGGAGAGCUGAAAGCUGCAAUAAAGCUGAACACCUUUUUUUAUAGUCAUCAACUAAAACAGUAGUUGGCUUCGGGGGAAACUCUGCAAGUUUUUCGUCACAGAUAUUGUCCACCCAUGGGCAAAGUAGUUUGUGCCCAGUAUCUAGCUUCAAACUGAAUACCAAGGCUGCCUUCUCAACUGGUAAUGAGUCACCAGGAACACAGUAGAAGAGAACCAAAAAAGAAAGAAAAGAUAUCAGAGAGAAACAAAGAAAUGAGUUGCUUCACAAAUCAGCUACAACAUGAAUAAUUUGCCCUCCACAUAGCAGAAUGGUAAAGAGAAUCGUGCUUACCUUGUUGCUGUGUCCAAGAUGAUGGAGUAGAAAAAAGAAGACGUGCACCACAUGAUUCACAGGCAAGGGUAUCCAUAUCCACAUUGAUCCAACCCCUCCUAGCGCAAUUCACUGCACUAAUUGUCUGAUAUUGAUGGAGAGAAUUAAUUUUCUAAUUCUGCCUUAUCUUCCAGAGUUUGAUGGAAAGAGAGAGACAAUAAAGGCAAACAAUACCAAGAAAUAUAUGUCUUACUUUCAAAUGGAGAAAGGUCAUAUUUGUAAGAAUUUAAUCCAAUUUACAUACAAGAAGUUUGGAACUGCAACAUAACCCAUAUCUUAAGUCCACUUAAAUAUUUAUGGUACCAGAUAUUAUCUCUCUACAAGCUGUACUUCAAAUCCACCAGUACAUCCGUACCUAAAUGUACAAAUAUGCUAAAAGGAUGUUUUGGUAAGUCUGGAAAAUCUCACCUAAUUUUCUGGACAAGUCUCCUUGAAAAGAUGAACCACAGUGGAUUCUAAAUGUGGUGUAUAUAUUGGUGAUGUGGGAAUGGUGGAGUUUUACAAAAUAUAAAUUUCUGCCUUCAUGAAUAUGGAGAAAAAUGGGUGCCAGAAUGUAUGAUGUUAUGAGCACCACAAUGGCCACUAAAGGCAAACAUCCAGGUUGAAACAAUUUUGACAAAUGAUGCUAUAAUUAUAUGGCAAAGUGGAUCAGCUUAUGGAGCUUCUAGCAUGUCAUUAAAAUAGGCAAGAUUACUUUAUGCUGUAACAAUGAAAUGUUGCCACGCCUCAUUGAUCUUCUUGUGGAUAUCUCAUGGAAGUUUUAUCAAUUCUCAACUAUCCGAAAAAUUUUGUGUACUAGAAUUGGAGUUAUAACUUGGAUCAGGAAAAUUUAGACAAAACUUUAACAGCCAAUGCCCAUGAUUGAUAUUUGACAAGAAAAGAAUUAAGUCUUGCAAUUUAGAACCAAUCAUCCAAAAAAAAAAUCCAAUUCCCAUUGCAGAGAGCAGGCUCUGAGAUUUGUACCUGUGGUUUAGCAAACCAAGUCAUGGACUUGAAAGUAGACAACCUCCUAAAUAGAUCGUCACGGUCCCAUGGUCUGCAAGAUGGAGCUUGUACUGAACCACUUGAACCGGAUGACACCUGCAUUUCCUCCGUUGGAUUUAACCUCGAUUUUGGACCAAGUAUGCCCAAUGCAGAGGAUACAUUCGGCCGUUUCUUGCCUUUCAACCACCGAACUCCAUCAGCACUACUGUUUUAACCAAUUUUGUCAAAAAAAAAAAAAUAAAAAUCAUUGGCAACAAGUUUCACUCUCUCUGGUUGUAGCAGUCCAAUUCUUAUUGACAAACACAAACACACAAAAGAAAUGCAAGAUCAAUUUCCUUGCUUGGAGCUAUCCAAUUCUUUUUGCUUGAAGCAAAAAAAAAAAAAAUUGAAAUACAUGCACGCACACAACAAACACACACAAAACACUCCCUUUAAGGGUACAUUUUGGUAUUUCAGGUAGAAACUUCUAUUUUAACCACUCAAACACAGUAUCAUACUCUACAAACAAGAAAAAAUCAACCAAAGUUAUACAAUAUUAAUAAUUAAUAUUUCGGCUUUAUAGCGCUUAUGCAUCAACAUUUCAGUUAUCAGCCAAAAUCAUACAAUAUUAGUAACUAGCAUUUCAGCCUUAGAGCUUAUGCAUCAACAUUUCAGUUCACAAUAACUUCGAAAUCCAAACAAAAACAAUUAAAAUACAGAGAAAACAACGAAGUGACAACUUCAGCAGCUAAAGUUCACUUUCAACCAAAAGGAAAAAAAAAAAAAAAGAGUACAUAAAAGAGCAAUGAGAAACCGUUGAUAAAAAAUUGUGAGAGAGUUAUAUAAAGAGAAUUAACGAGGAAAGCUGAAGAAGAAGACCUGGUGGUGGUGGAAGCAGAGGAGCCGUUAUUAUUAUGAUGAUUAUUAUCGCUAUUAUUAGGCUUGGAUUUGGUGGUGGCGGUGGUCGGAGAUUCCGGAAACAGCCUCUCUAAUAUUGCUUCGAUCCUCUUUUGUGCCGCCAUCUCUCCUUAUUGCUAAAUUUUUUGGCCUGAGAAAAAAAAAGGCUCAAAAGAAUCUGGACAUAAUAGGAUUUACUUGGAUUUCGAAGAGCUAAAUAUGGUAGUAAACUGGAGCUGUUAAAUUAAUGAGCUGUCCAUCGGAAAAUUUUUUGAAAUCUUUUUUUUUUAUAUAUAUAAACAUACACAGAAAUAUAUUUAUUAUUUUGAUACCAAAAGGUUUUCUUUCAUUCAAUUAUAAGGUUUUGGGAAAAGUUUUAGUUAGGCAUUUGUUUGAAAUUUUUUUUAUAUUUCUAGCCGAUUUUUUGUCAUAAUUUUCCUAAAAUUUAUUUCUUGGUUCAGCUAUUUUCCUUAAAAAAUUGAAAACAAGUAUUUCAUUCCCUUAAAGAAAUAUUUUAAUCACAUUCAUAAGUGGAUUCAAGUAUUAUUGUAUUUAUUUUAUUUAAGAACUUCAAGUAUUGGUAUUAUUGCUUGAAAAUUGUUAUUCUACCAUGUUUUGUCAACCUAUAUUUUAUUUAUUUAUAUUAGACAUAGUUGGACCUUUCUAAUGAAGCCCAAUAUUCGUAUGCUGUUCUUGGACGCGAGACUGUAUGACAGUAUGGGGUUGUAUGAACUAAUAAUGCUUUUUUAUCCUUAGCCCAGCCCAAUUCAAAGUGCAAGCUCAAGCCCGUUUCUUAAUGCAGUUUUUUUGUGCCUCAGCUAAUCUGUCUCUCUCUCUCCCUCCGUCUGUCGGCGGGGCAAUUCGGAACUAGAACACCUUCGGUGGUGAGAUUGGCUAUUCAGGUAAGUAAUACUAUAGAGCGAUUUCAGCACUGCCCUUAGAUUAAACCCGUUUCUUAAGUUUAGAUUCUAAGUUCAAUGGGUGCUUAAAUUUACAAGUCUAUUUAUGAAAUGAAUUUCUUUUGGGAAUAAAAUCGAACAGGUGGAGGGCAAUGGAGAGCGAAGAGGAUGCAAUGAAGAAAGAACGGGUAGUGGAAGCUCGAGCUAGAAACAUUAGUCAUAAUGUGAGGUGUACGGAAUGUGGGAGUCAGUCCAUUGAAGAUUCUCAUGCUGACAUUGCCAUUUUGCUCAGAAAGGUAUCCCAUUUUCUCCUCCCAAUUAACACAACACUCCCCGCCAAGCUAAAUUCAUUCACUGUGGAUAUUUAUUCAUGAGCCAAAAAAAUUUUUCCGGGCCGAAUUGUAUGCGGAGGAUAUGGUAAAUUUAAGCAAUUUUAACACAACACUGAAGCAUCUUUCUUCUGUUUGGUGGUGUUGUUUACAUGCUCUUCUUGCAUUUUACCAAAAAUUUAUCUAGCCACUUGCUGCAUUUGUUUUCUUAUUUAUGCUUCCAUAAACUCACUAGGAGCUGUAUUGUUUACGUUACCUGUUGUAGUUAAUUCGGGAUGAAAUCCGGUCUGGGAAAACUGACAAAGACAUCUACAAAAAGCUUGAGGAUGAUUUUGGUGAGACGGUGCUUUACGCGCCAAAAUUUGAUAUGCAGACUGCUGCUUUAUGGUUGUCUCCGGUCUGUAACUCUCACUACCAUUGGCGCGCCCCCUUCUUUAUUUUAGGGUUCUAUGGAAAUUGAUCACUUAUUUUGAACCUUUUCUCAAACAGAUUUUAGCUGCGGCUGCCGCUGGAGGCAUAUGGGCUUAUCAAAGGCACAGACAAAAAACAAAUGUGCACAUUAUGGCUCUGAACCUAGUUAGAGGAGUUCCAUUGACCCCAAAGGAGAAAGAAACCAUGCUCGAUGUUCUCACACCACCCCCUCCCGAAGGAAUCACUUCUUCCUUUUGGUGGAGGAGGUGGGUUGGUCGAUGAAGUUUCUCGCCUGCAUCACAUCACAUUCACUGGAUGUGCUGAACUCCGCGGACUUGAAUCAUCACAUUACCCGGAGCUGGCAACUAACUGAUAUGCAUGCAGGAGAAAUGGUCCCUGGCCAAAGUUUCCACUGACCUGUUUCGAGAUUAGGAGAAGUAUUUUGAUUUGUCAAGUUAGUGGAAGUGUUGGAGUUAACUGGUUGUAUAUGAAAUGUAUUUGGUACCAUACAAACUUAGCUGAUGGUUAUGCUAAUCAUGGGUGUCAUUGCCAUUUGAGCUGUUAACGUUUGUGAUUCUUAAAUUAAAGGUUGCAAGACUGAUUCUAGUGAAAUACGUUCUGAAGAGCAUAUUUGAGUGUGCUGCUAGUUUUGCAGUCUUUGGGGAUUGAUCAUUUCUGAAGAGCAUCAUGAUGGGCUCCAAUAUUUACUCCCGGAUAGAAAUUGUAAAAUGUGCGGGGGCGCGAUUUACCAGAGAAGAAAGAUAAAAGCAUAUAGUUAGCGAAUCCAUCAAAACCGUUCGCGUUAACGAUUUACCAGAGAUCGAAUAUCUUUUUUCCCACCCUUGGUAAAAGUUAAAUUAAUCUUCUUCUUGGUGUCCCAUGUCGCCACCUACCUAUUGACUUCAAUUACUUUUUUCGUUCUUGAAAAAAGUAAAAAUUUUAUGAGAAACGUGCUAAAAUUUCAUGGGCUUUUCUAUCUUUUUCAGUCGUUCAGCAUUUGAUACCAAAAGAUUUACUCAUAUUGGCAUGUAAAAAGUAAAUAAAAUCCACAUAUUGAUGAAAAAAAAACCAAAGCUUCUAGUUCUAGCCAGCCUUGUACAAGUUUGAAUCGGUCAAGUUAAACUUGAAAAACAGUUACACCAAGUCAAGGAUAAGCCCUCCCUAAACUGUUGCAGCCACCACUCCAACAUGCGCCAUAACUCCCUCCUUAUCCCGCUCCACAACCUCCCUCUCUCCUUUUUAAGUCCGGCUUACUACUCAAAUUUCUUCACAUUUACACUUUUCACAUCAAGAAACUCAUACAAGCAAAGAGCUCCCUCUUGAAAGUCCAAAAAAAAUCCAAAAAUGGCUUCUUUCUUCCAAAGUUUCUCCACAUGUUUCCUCCUAGUAUUCAUCUUCACUUCACUCCAUUUCUUAACAGGGAUUUCGGUUGAAUUCGACGUUGGUGGCAACACUGGCUGGGUAAUUCCUCCUUCGAAGAACGAUGAUCUGUACAAUGACUGGGCUUCCAAAAACAGAUUUAAAGUCAAUGACACCCUGAGUAAGUACUUGUCAAUUCUCCAUUUCAUUGAACUUUUUUUUUAGUAGUAAUUGAAACUCAAUGCAAAUACACGUAUACAUGCAUGUGCAGUUUUUACGUACAAGAAAGACUCUGUUAUGGAAGUGACCAAGGAGGAGUAUGAGAAAUGCCGAUCGCUGCAUCCUAUGUUCUUCUCCAACAAUGGCAACACAAUCUAUACAUUGGACCGAUCGGGUCUGUUUUAUUUCAUCAGUGGGGUUUCAGGGCACUGCGAGAGAGGCCUCAAGAUGGUAAUCAAGGUCUUGGAUGUAGAAAGCAGCCCUCAGUCUGCAAAUCAGACGGCAAAUACAUCAUCUCCUGCAAAAAGUGCUGCGGCUACGUAUUUUGGAACUAGUAUGAUGAUGGUCAUUUUGGCAGUGUUUGGGGUGAUUAUUGUCGUUUAAUGCUUGAUCCCAUUUUGUGAUUAGUUUAGAUGGAUAAAUGGAUGUGAUAGCUAGCAAUCAGGAGAUGAUCUUUUAACUCCUGAAUUUGUUUUCUUGAAUUGAAGAAUGUUUUGGUUCUGAUUACGAAUACACUUACCUCCCUUGACAUAAUAAAAUACCUAUAAUGCCCUCUAUUUAGUAGAUAAUUUUAAAUUUAAGACAAUAAAUUUACAAAAUCUAAAAAAAAAUUCUAUUUUUCUGUCUCUUGUCUAUUUUUUAAUUAAUAUUAUAUUUUUUUAUUAUCUUUAGUUUUGUAGAUAUUAGCAAAUUGAAAUUAUAAAAUUUAUAAAGGGAGUAGAUUAUAUGUCAAACUAAAAGAAAAUGAAGAGACUCGCAGUGAUAGAGAAACAAAUAAUGAAAUUGAUGAUUGAAAUAGGAAAAGGAACUAAAGAUGUAGAAUUUGUCAUGUUUUGUUUGUUGUCAAGAAAAACUUUUAUAAAAUAUCAAUAAUUACAUAAGGAUUUCUUUCACUGAAUUAGAAAUUUUUUUUAUUAUGAUUUUAGUAUAGAUGUAGAAUUUAUUCUCUAGUUUUGAGAUAUUAAUAACUUUAAGGCCAUAAAAGGGUUGUUAAAAAUUGAUUGUCACAUGAAAAGCUAUCCCUUGAUGCGUGAAAUUCCCGAGCUUUCGAGUGAAAAGCAAAGGAACCAGGAAGUUGUCGAGCAAAAAUGCUCUUCUGAAUGCUAUAUGCUCUCCGUGACUGUAAGCCCAGAAAAAAAAAUAUAUGUUUUAGCUUUUCAAUCAGUGGAAGAGGAAGGGAAGUUUCAACACAUCAUGCAUGAUAUGCGACAGCACUUCAUGAGAUGAAAGUAUGUUCAUCUAAACAGAAACAUGCAUGGUUUUUAAAGACCACUCUUCCUCGCAUACAUGUUCACUAGUUCACAUUUUGUUAUCCACUUUGUACCCCUAGUUACCAAAAAAUAAAACCUGUUGGGCAUGCGUCUGUUAAGAAACUCCAAUCUAAACAAUAACAUUAUUAGUUAAGUGGCCUUAUGUUUAUGCAUAAUUAUAAAUUCUUGUUUUGCAUUCCUCGAAUUUCUUUUUGGAAUAGUGGUUAGAAAAUCUAAAGUUUUUCAAUUGAAGAAUGAAAAUAUUUAAAAUUUACUUCUGGGCACAUAUGUCAAUCAACUCAAGUUUAUGCAUGUAAAAACAUUCUACAUCUUGUAUUAUCAUUUUAAGUACCCCUAACGAAAUGAAUGAUGUUUGAAUAGAGUAUUAUUUGAAAUAACUAUUGUAGCAUUUUUUGCGAUGUGAUGUAUAUAAGAUAUAAAGAUAGUUAAAAAUAUAAAAAGAUGGGUUAGAAAAUAUGUUUAUAAUGUAAGUGAAAUAUUAUUUGAAAAAUUUUGUUCUCCAUUCAUGUCUCUAAAAUUGUUGGUAACAUAGUUGGAUUUGACAAGAAUCAAGUACUUUGGAUCUGCCUUAAAGAGGGCGGGAUGGGAUGAAUGGUAUCUGGGAAAGGAAUGUAAGUGAGAGGUUCCGAAUUCGAAAUUUCCUACUUAAACUAAAAAAAAAAAAACCUACUAUACAAUAACAUUAUUAGUUAAGUGGCCUUACGUUUAUGCAUAAUUAUAAAUUCUUGUUUUGAAUUCCCCAAAUUUCUUUUUGGAAUAGUUGUUAGAAAAUCUUUUCAAUUGAAGAAUGAAAAUAUUUAAAAUUUACUUCUAGGCACAUAUCUCAAUCAACUCAAGUUUAUGCAUGUAAAAACAUACUACAUCUUGUGUUAUCAUUUUAAGUACCCCUAACGAAAUGAAUGAUGUUUGAAUAGAGUAUUAUUUGAAAUAAUUAUUGUAGCACUUUUUAUGAUGUAAUGUAUAUGAGAUAAAAAGAUAGUUAGAAAUAUAAAAAGAUUGAUUGAAAAAUGUAUUUAUAAUACAAGCAAAAUAUUAUUUGAAAAAAUUUGUUAUCCAUUCAUGUCGUUGGUAACAUAAUUGGAUUUGAAAAGAAUCAAAUACUCUGGAUUCACCUUAAUAAAUUGUACUCUAGAUGCUAGUCUAUUAAAAAUUAUUUUCAAUUAAUGAGAGAAAGGAAUACAUUAUACGCACAUUUCAACUUGAAAUAAUUGAGAGCUAUCUUAUACGGAGUAUAUUGAUAAUGACAGAAUGGAGUUUAAACUUUGAUAGCCAAAAAACCAAAAGAAAAAAGAAUUAUUGUUAAAAAGGAAAAGAGAGCCUUGAUGGCUCCAACAAUGUAUCUAUAAUGCUGUUCAAUUUGUCUGUUUUCUUUCUCGCAAUACUGGAUUUAGGGAUGGUAAUGGAGGCGGGUGCCCGCGCGGGAGGCUCUUGGGGCGGGGGGGGGAAUUCCCCCCCCCCCCCGCUUAGAAACGGGACGGGGGAGUAUACCCGCCCGCCACCCGCAAAACAAAAAAAAAAAAUAUAUAUAUAUAUAUAAAUAUAUAUAUAAUUAUAUAUAAUAUGUAAGUUAAUUAGUUAUAAACUUGUGAUAAUGAUAUUAUUAGUUAGAUGUAUUAUAUAAUGUAUAUUAGUUUAUGUAAUAUAAUUGAUAUUAUCAAUUGUAUGAAUAAUUAUACAUGUCUACUAAUAGAAUUUAUUAAUUAGUUAUACUAAAUUUACUAAUACAUUUAUCCUAAAUUUCUAAUUACACUUAAUAGAAUAACACUUUUUUCUCAAAAAAAAGCACAAACACAAUAAUGAAUUAGUGAUUGCAUUUGUACUAAAAGUGAAAACUUGACUAUUUUAGUUAUAUUUAUUUCGUCAUAUUGGAUUGUAUUCAAAUAACUUCUGUUUGAUUGUUUUUAUGAGUUUCAAUUGUAAAAUUACAAUGAAUAAUAAUUUGGUGAUGUGUUGAUAUUUUAGUACUUGAUUAUUUAUUAAAAUUUAAUUAUAAUAAAAUUAUAUAAUAAAAUUUUAUUAACCCUGCGGGGAAGCGAGGAAAGGCAGGGCGAGAGCGGGAGACGGGGGACGGGGGGAACUAAUAGGCAACGGGGCGGGGGACCUGUCCCGUUGCCAUCCCUAACUAGAUUAGAAUGCCUUCUUUAACCCCAUCAUAUGUGGUGCCGUAGCAACAUCAUAUAAAUUUGGACACAUUAGAAAAUUCCAAAACUUCUUAUUUACUUCAAAAUGCAUGGGUAGAAAGCACAAUUAGCUGAAGCCUUAAGGACUGUUACAGCAAUUUGUUCUUCUAUACAAGAUACCCUCAUGUUGCCGCUUUUUUUGUAAAUAAACGAACCUCACAAAACUGGCGGCGGUCUGCGGCGGUGGAAGAACCAUGGCUACUGAGAAAAACCCUAAGUUAGAUUCUUCCAAAGAAGGCGAGUCAAUUAAGAAGAAACGACAUCGUAAGAGAGGCAAGAAAUCGAAGCAGUCACCAUCCUUACUCCCAGAACGACCUACUGAAGCUGCUGAAGCUGAAGAACAAGAAGAAGAAGCUACAGAGAAUGAUGAUAAAUCUGAGAAAAUAACUAAUAAGGAGAAGAAGAAGAAGUUGAAGAGGCCAAGAGAAGAUACUGAGGACGACAAUGCAGGAGGCGGAGAAGAAGAAGGAGAAAAAGAAGAAGUGGAGCAGAUUAUGAAAGUGGUGAAGAAUAUGGGAACGGGGUCGGGAAUCAUGAGUACGGAGGCGUUCUCGUUGUUGCCGAUUUCAGAAAAUACUAUGAAAGCUAUUAAAGAGAUGAAUUUCGAAUUUAUGACCCAGGUAAAAUAACUUCCUUGCAAUUCUUAGUGCUUAUGAAGUUUAGGUUUUGUAUAUUAAGCAGAUAGUUGUUGGAUGGAUUAUUUUGCAUUUAGUUCAGCUAUUUCUAGUGAAUUGAACUAUUGAGUGUGCCAAGAGGUUUAUAUUAUAAUUGAAAUUGUGAAAUUUGGUGGUUUAAUCCAUAACUGUAUCUUUUUUGGGCAUGAUGAGCUUUGAGUGUGUGAUUAGAGUUUACUAAGUUUCGGCCUUUUUCCCCUUUUUUUUUUUAAAUAUGUAUUGAGACAGUUCAAGUCUUUCAUGCUUUGAGCAAAUUCGGGGUAGAAAUAGGGUCAUUUGUAUGUUGGUAUCUAAUUGAUAUAGUCCAGAAGUAAACUGGUGCAGAUUAAAUGAAUUUAAGAGAACGGCAUGAAGUUUAAGCCUUCCAUUAGGAUAUAUAUAUAUCCUACGAGAAAUGUGCAAAUUUUGUUGUUGUGUGAGGACACAAUUUAAGCAAAUCCAGUACACUUGUUAUAACUUACCAAGUUCCAAUGACUUUGGAAUUCAUGAAGUAAUCAAUAGGAAUUUCUUUGUAAUGUUUCUGCAUGCUAAUAUUUUUUUCUUAUGAUUGAAGAUCCAAGCCAGAGCAAUUCCACCACUUCUUGAGGGUGAAGAUGUACUUGGAGCUGCAAGGACGGGUUCUGGUAAAACACUUGCUUUUCUGAUACCAGCUGUGGAGUUGCUACAUCAAAUUCAGUUUACACAUCGGAAUGGUACUGGUGUUGUUGUCAUUUGUCCAACAAGGGAGCUGGCCAUACAGGUACAGACUUUCUUGCUCUUAUUCAAUGGCCAGGCAAAAUGAUUUUGCCUCUCUUGUCUUAUAAAACCUCUGUUAAACGUCAUCAGGAAUGUCCCACAGCUUUCUUAAUAUCCACCUGCUACCCUACUUGUUAGGGAAAGAAGAUGCAGAAAAUGUAGAUGCAUUUUCUCUCUGGACCUUAAGUGGUGUUUCUCGUCUAUUUUGGUUGCUUUGAGUAAGUGUAGCCAUAGCUGACUCUGUUGUAGCUAUCAGAGAUAAUUGCCGUAUUAUAUGUUUACUGGAACAACUGAUAGAUAGUUUUGGUACUAGUUAUCUCAGAUAGCAAUAUGAGACACUUUAUUGUUGCAGUCAUCUAUGUACGUCUAGACAAUUGAAUUUGCCAGAUAUUCCACUGCUUCUUCUGCAAUGCAUGGAAUAACAAACUUGAGAGUCUUGUGCACAUUGAUCUUCCUCUACUGAUGCCCUAUCUAGAAUAGAACAACAUCUUAAUAUGGAGUUGUAUGGUAUGGGAUUGUACUGUAUGUUACUGACCAACUGAACCCUGGAUCACAUGGGUCUGACUUUAAGCAUCAAUUAAUUGAUUUUUUAUUCAAUAAUGUAGACGCAUGCUGUAGCAAAAGGUCUGCUCAAGCAUCACUCGCAGACUCUUGGCUUAGUUAUUGGUGGUGUGGCACGGCGUGGAGAGGCUGAGCGUAUUGUGAAAGGAGUAAAUCUCUUAGUAGCUACACCUGGUCGUCUUCUUGACCAUCUCCAAAAUACCAAGGGGUUUAUUUAUAAAAACUUGAAGGUAAAUUUAUGUUAUUUUGACUUUAUGAUCUAUGAUUUUCAAUUUUUUUUUUACAUAAAUCCAAUUAUGAGCAGUUAUAUGGAUGCUGCCUGAAAUGAAGUGGGAAGGGAACUUGUUGAACUCUCUUGUGCAGGAUUUAACCUAUUAAAAUUGUGAAAACAUUUCGCUUUUGGUGUUAAUGUCUGAAAGGAUUUUUCCAUUCAACUGGACCUAUAGACAAGCCUGAAGAUUAAUACUAUUUAAUCAAAUAAUUUCCUUAGUUGUGUAGUUUGUAAACAUCCAGAAAGUUUGACUAAAGAUGGAUCAUUUUUUUUGAUUGAAUGAUGUGAAUUGAUCAUUUUGGUGCAGUCAGUUUGGUCAUUUUUAGACCUGUUGAAGUUUCUUUUCUGCUAAUUCAGCGGAGUUGGAUAUGUGUCUACAGCUGCCAAAAAAAAAGAAAAAAAGUAUAUGGCUGCAUAUUGCCUGGUCUUUUUUCCACAACCCAGGUUCCUGAAUCUCCUGAUUAAUUGGUGGCUUGAAUCUCUUUGGAGAUGAAGUGCUUUACUUAGGAGUUCUGAGCUAAAAGCUUAUAAUACAAAACCCAAAGAAAGCAUGAUUCUAGGUGUUUGCAUCAUCAAUUGAAAGAGCCUGAGCUAGUUGGAUUAUUAUUAUUUUUUAAUUUCCUCUUUUUCCUGACAUGUUUCUUUCUUUGGAAUAUAUACAUACUCUGUUAAAGAAGUCAGGGAAAUGUUUUAUCCUAAUAAAUGUUCUCCAAUGUCAGAGCUGGAUGAUAAGACGACUAUUACAUUAUGUUGACAAUUUCAAAAAACUGUUAAUACUAUGAUGGCUGUUGUGCAAGUAGGCCUCCAUCGUCUAGUGGUCGAGGAUAUCUCUCUUUCAAGGAGGCAGCGGGGAUUCGACUUCCCUUGGGGGUAGGGUACUAUGAAAGGAAAUUAAUCAUGGAUUAUCAAUAAGUCUAAAAGUGAUUCUUCCUGGGUCAAUGCCCAAGUGGUUAAUGGGGACGGACUGUAAAUUCGUUGGCAAUAUGUCUACGCUGGUUCAAAUCCGCUCAGCCCAAUAAUUCGACCAAUUUGCCAAUCCAUCGAUCACGAGAGGAUAUAACCCUCUAUCUUUCAUAAAGACUUGAUGGGGAGAUCAAAAGAACAAAAAUCUCUGCAAGAUCCCUUUUUUCGCUGGGAUUGUAGUUCAAGUGGUCAAAGCACCGCACUGUCAAGGUGAAAGCUGUGGGUUUGAGAAGUGCCUCUCUAAACAAUUCUCUUCAUCACUUAGGCUGCACUCUGAUACCAACAUAUAUAGGAUUCCAAUAUGAAUUCAUCAUCAACUUGUCUAAAUUUGGAAAGAUGUAUCUGUCAACAAACUAAGAUUAAAUCUCCUGUGUUAGUUACUAUGUUGACUGUUGCGAUACUGCACUCAAAACAUGCAACAAGCUCUAAUAACUUGUAUAGCAUAUUCUCUGUCAUCAGAAUGCUAUUAGCUGCAUUUCCUAGCUUCUCUGAGGAAGAAAGCUGCCGGAUGAGAGUACUUUUUUCUUAACUGCAAUUUUGAAAAAUAGAAGGCAUCAUCAAAGCCAUUUUUCAGAAGACCUUUGCUGGAUUAUCUUUGGAAUGGUGACUGUAUUGUGCUGCCAACCUAGUGAGAUACAGCAUUAUUUUGAUCUUCAAAUUCACAUCUUUAAGUUUUUUUUUUUAAUUCUUCCAUGUAUAGCAUCUAUUUGAAUGAAAGGCCUCACAUAUUUACUAUACUCUUAUUUGUAUGUUGAUUAUUUCUACUGGAUUCAGAUCAAGUUUCUCAUUCUUUGGAAGAGAGAUUGACAUAUUUUCACAUUUUGAUUGAAUGGAAUGCUUGCAGUGCCUCAUUAUUGAUGAAGCUGAUAGGAUACUUGAAGCAAAUUUUGAGGAAGAAAUGAGGCAAAUCAUUAAAAUUUUGCCUAAGGUACGAUUUGGUUGUAAUUACGAUAGUAUAUACAGUGCAGAUAUCCAAUUUCAAUUUCUUCCUUUGACUGCUUUUCAUUGUCGAUUAUCCUGUGAUUUGUAUUUUGGUUCUGGUUUAGUUUGGAAGGUGACACAGUCUUUAUUCAUUUGCUCCUCAUAUAUCAGUAGUUUUGUCUUUUCAUUUGUCAUGAGGAUUAGAGCAAAUUUUCUGUGAUUUUCUUGCUCCAUUUUUUCCCCUUGUUUCCUAUGUUUUGACUUGCAAAUUCUUUUAUACGUUUGCUGAGUUGUCCACAUGUUUUUUGCAUUUUUGGAUGACUUUAACUCAUAUUGGUGAAUAAUGGUCUAUGUAAAUGUCUUAGAAAAGACAUCUUGGGUGAGUUGCCAUUUGUUAACCCAUACAUAAAUGUGUAUCGAAGUUGUUCCUAUAUUUAGGCACAUAACUAGAAUUUAAUUGCUGUCUCAGGGUUGCUUUAAAUGUUUUGUACUGGUUGGUGCUAUAUUGCAGUAUGACUUUUUUCUGUGAGUGCAUUUAGGCAUAAUUGUUUUGUUAUUGGCAAUGUGCAUUGAAUUUGUACUAACGAGGAACCGCCUGAUGUGCAGACGAGACAAACAGCUCUUUUUUCUGCCACACAAACGAAAAAGGUAGGUGUUUUCUGCUCCUUUUGUUUUCUUGGUACAAUAUUGACUAGGAAGAGACCUGUAGUUCCUGUAUUUUCAUUGGACUUCAUAGAGAAGUUAUGCUACCAUUUCAGGUUGAGGAUCUUGCUCGCUUGUCAUUUCAGAAAACUCCAGUCUACAUCGAUGUGGAUGAUGGACGAAGAAGGGUAACUGGGUUAUAUAUUCCUUUGUUAGUACUUGUGGGCAAUGUUGGUUUUUAGUCUUCAUUUAAGAUGUUGGAUGCUUUAGGUCACCAAUGAGGGGCUGGAACAAGGGUUCUGUGUUGUCGAAAGUGCCAAGAGAUUUUUACUACUGUACUCCUUUUUGAAGAAGAAUCUGACGAAGAAAGUGAUGGUUUUCUUCUCCACUCGUGAUUCCGUUAAAUUCCAUUCUGCGCUUCUGAGAUACAUACAGAUAGACUGUCUUGAUAUCUAUGGAAAGCAAAAGCAGGAAAAACGAACAUCUAGCUUUUUGCAAUUUUGCAAAGCCGAAAAAGGCAUCUUGUUAUGUACAGAUGUUGGUGCACGAGGUCUUGAUAUACCCGCUGUGGUAUGUCCUCGAACUAGUUCUUUUUUAUCCUCGUAAAGCAUUUAGCAUGAAUUGGUUCUAAGGGUGUUGAAUACUGAAAUGUUGUUUUGAUAUGUCAUUACAAAAUAUAGAUACCCUAGAACUAGAUUCAUCAUUCCUUUCCCUUAUGUUUCACAGGAUUGGAUCGUGCAGUAUGACCCCCCUGAUGAACCUAAGGUGCAGAUAAUUCAUCCUUCUUGUAACUUUCUUGGUGUCAGAAUUGCCAGCACCCAACUUUAGAUGACGUGCUUAUUCUCAUGCUUCUUCAUGUUAUCCCUCUCAGGAGUAUAUUCACCGGGUUGGUAGGACUGCACGUGGGGAAGGUGCAAAGGGGAAUGCCCUACUUUUCCUGAUGCCGGAAGAGCUAAAGUUUCUUACCUAUCUGAAGGUAUGUUGCUAAUAACUCAAAACAGGAAGUGCUAUAAAUGGUUAAAGAAAGUAGGAAUGCUAAAGCCAUCAUCAUACCAAUAGAUCAUGACUUUUCACACUGGGACAUGUUGAGAACCUAAGAAUCUUAAGCAAGGCUGUCCAUUUUGAUAAAUCCUUUUUCUAUACCUAAGAGAAAAAUCAUUGGACCUUUCUCAAACAGUUUGAGUUUCAUUAGUAAUUUUCUUAAGGAAGUAGAGAGAUUAGAUUGGGUAGAAGAUGAGGUGGGAUCUUUGUUGCCACAGGGUAGUUCCUUUGUGAUUGUGUUAUAGAAGCGAAAAGUUUCUUAGACAAGUCUCUUCAAAAUCUACCAGUAGGUUGUGAAAGGCUGCAUAGGCAGCAAAUAAACUAUAUUAAUUGGCGCUUUAGAUUUUCUUCUAUGCUGUAAUAUACUAUAAUUUAUCUAAACAUUUUUUGUGUCAAUAAUUUCAGGCUGCUAAGAUACCUGUCAAAGAAUAUGAAUUCAAUAACAAGAAAUUGGCAAAUGUGCAGUCUCGCCUGGUAAUUCUUCUCUGCAAGCUUUUAUUUUCUUUCAGUAUCUGAGUUAUUAUUGGAUUGCAGAGUUAUUUCCUUGAGCUCACCUUAGUAGUAAUGGGUUUGAUGCAGGUAGAGCUGGUCUCUAAUAACUAUUAUUUGAACAAGUCUGCUAAAGAGGCUUAUAGAUCCUAUUUACUUGCCUACAACUCACAUUCUAUGAAAGAUAUUUUUAAUGUUCACCAACUUGAUCUUCAGGUAUUUUAUUCUUUUCCUGUGUUUUUACUUGCGAAUUACUCUUUAGUGGAAUUGUUUCUUUACAUUCUCGUGUUAGUCUACGUAUGGUGUCAUUAUUCGACUCAUUCUCAGAUAAAACAUUCUGUUAUUUAGGAUAGCCCUUGGAUUUUUUUGGCCUUGGAUGACAUUAUGGGUUCUUAACUUCCUGUUCUGGAUCAAAUUAAGCUGUACCUUUCCUUUUUUUUUUUUUUUUGGCCUAAUGAGUGCUGGGUUUAUGACAUUCUAGAAAUUAGGCAGUACAUAUGUAUAGCAUGCUUGAAUGUUUUAAUUUUAAGGGCCCGUUUGGCAUUGCGGUAGCUUAUUGAAAGUACUUUCCUAGUAGACCUUUUAAUAAAAGUACUUAGUAACUGCUCAAGUGCUUUUAAAUAUAUUGUUUGGUGACAUAGUUCAAUAAGCAUUAUUGUUUAAGAUAAUGUGUAAUUUGAAAAUUUUUGAAAGUGUUUUAUCUCUCUAUUUGGUUCAUAAUAUAGGAUAAAACGAUUAAAUUUGAUGUUUUAUUUUUUAAAUCACAAAAGCUACUCUAAAAGCACCACAUUUGGGUUUUUGCUGAAAGUGCUUUUAAAAUCAAAAGCUCUAUUUCUAAUUUUAUGAGAUGAUGUUCACCAAACACUUUAAAAGCAGACCUAAAAGUGUUUUUAUACCAAAACCACCGCAACCCCAAACGGGACUUAAAUCUCCAUAUGCCAAGCACCUUCACUUUUCCUUUCUUGGUUUUCCCUUUUUCCUCCUGAUCUUUCAGAUGUUGGAUGGAAACCAACCUCUACAAUUGUAGAUUUGGAUGCUUUUGUCGCUGUACGUAUAGAUUUGGAUUGCAGACUUUGUACUAGAUGGAUGAUGUAGAAUACGAUCCGGAUUGUAUGUUUGAGUUCUAUAAGAAUACUUUGAUACUGUUACCGUAUGAUUCACCGUGCUGUGUCGUCCGUCAAAAUCUAGUUAAUCCUUUUGUCUUUUGCAGGGUGUGGCUGCUUCAUUUUGUUUCUCUUCUCCUCCAAAGGUAAAUUUGAAUAUAGACAGUAAUGCUUCCAAGUUUCGGAAGAAAAUGCGUACCCGAAAUGGGUUUAGUGCGAGCAACCCGUACGGGAGGAAGAGUGAAGGCGGUGUACGACAGUUUGUCAGAUAUUAACAAAUACAUGUCCGACGUCUUACAGCAGCAGCAAUUUUGUAGUUUGAGUUUUUAUUUGUGAGCCAUAAUGGUUAGUUUUGGUCUGUGUUGAAUACAGAGAAGUGUGUUGUUGUUGAAGGUCAUAUCUUUGUGUUAAAUACUUUGGUUUAUUCUAAUUAUCUUUGUGUUGUUGAUUAGGGUGCCAAAUUGGUCUCAUCAUUCCAUGCCAUGCUUGUGUUUUCGUAAUAUCAAUAAUACAUAAAAAUAAAAUCUCGGUCUAAUCCAAUGUAUGAUCUUAUGCUUUACCAUGUCAUCAUCAUAAUAUUAUCUACCAACUCAUUGACCAUCAUAAUAUUAUCGACCAUUGCAUAUAAUCAAUAGUAAUUACUCAAUAAUAUUUUAAUUCUAAGUAAAAGUAAUAAAUGAUCUAACUUAUUCUGUGAUGCUAAACUGUACAAACAUAGUAGACAAAUAGUAACCUCACAUAAUUCUAGGGUAUGAUCCUUGAUGGAAUUGAUACUUUAGACGUUUAUGAUCUCAACUAAGAUGCAAGCAUGUAGAGGAUGCAAUUUACAAUAUAAAAUUCUACCACGGUAAUAGUAGGAUAUUACUAUCUAUUAAGAAUUGAAGAGAACAAGAGGAAAGAGUUUAAGUUCAUAGGCUAUCAUCAUAUUACUGGAAGGCAUAUAAAUUAACUGCGUCAAAUUCUUAAUUUCCUUUUGGAGUUGUAUAAUUACUGUAAAAACACCUAGGAAUGAUGAUCAGCAUGGAUAAUCACGUCCAAUUUCUUAUCCAUAUGCCUAUGAAAUGCAAAGGGGGAAAAAAGAAGAAAAAAUUCUCUGAACAAAGAAUAGCGUGUAGGCAUUUGACUUUUAAGUUUAAACAAUAUGAUAUCUUUUAAUGAUAAGGACAUCUUUAGGCUUUUUAACAAUUUCUUGUUCAUCUUUUUUUAAAAAGGUUAAAAAGUGAUUUGUUGUACCACUAUGGCACUAUCUAAACCAAAAAGAUUCUCAGUCCACGGUGGUGAUUGCAUAUCAUCUACCGUGGAUCUGGAUGACCAUUCUCCACAUCUACUCGGGAUCAUAUCUUCUAUAGGUAUCCUUCUCGAAGCGUUCAUCAAGCAUGAUGCAGUUGAGGUACACCAACACUUAAAAAUGCCCUUUGCUUGCUCGUUCAAGCACAAAUAAAGAAAAGGAAAAUAUUAAGUGGACCCCAUGAUUCUUGCUAACUGACCGUUUUGGGGGUUCUCUUCUGACCGUUGCAAACACCCAAUUGAAAAAUUCAAAAAAAGGCCCACCCAAUUUUUAUUUCUACCAGGAACACAUGCAAAAACUGACAAGUAAAAUAAAUUCUUAUGCGGUGUGUAAAAAGUAAAAAAGUAGACUGCCCCUACAAUACCCUUUUGUUGUUAACCGUUAAUUUAUCUCCAAUCAACGGCUGUGAUUUUUUCUCCAAGAACCUGCCUGAAUUACGCACAAGUCUUGCAUCUAUCCUCAAGUUUUCCCCCCCUUUGCUCACUUCAACUGUUACAGCUGCUGCUACUGCAUUUUCAUCCCCCAAUUUUCAUAAAAAGAUCCGAACUUUCUUGAAAUUCAAGCAGUUUCAGCACAAGGGUCAUCAAGAAAUUCUCAGGGGCAUGUUUGGAUUGAAAGAUUGUUAGCUAGAAUGCCAGUGUCCACAAGGUCUAAGGCUGUAUUCAAUCAAGUGCAGGAUGACCCAAAUCAAGGCCAAACAACCAGGGCAAGAAAUGAUCAAGAAGAAUCCCAGAUGGCUAAUCAGAUGAGGAAUCCACAUCAUGGUCUAAAGGAGAAGAUGAAAGCAUUGACCCUCUUGUAUGAACAGCAAAAACAAGCUUCAAAUGCUCUCAAGAACCCUGCUUUAAAGCAUGAGGAGCCAAGAUUUUCAACUCACCCCAGCAUAGACCUCCUCAGUUCUGGCAAAAGAGAAGAUAAUGGACCGAAGGAAUCCAAAGAAUCAAGGCCCAUAAGUCAUGUGAUGAGGGAGAACGUAAUGCCUAGUUCAACCGUCACUAGGAAUUUUGUGAUGCCACAGCCUUUAGGGGUGGAGGAGGCAAAAGAGAAUGUUGCGGUGGGACAUGGUGGUGAUCAGAUUGUGGGGCUUUCAUGUCCCAGAAAGACAAAUGUAUCGAGUACCGUGGCCAGAAAGUUGUCAAUGGGCAGCUCUGUGAUGCCAUUUUCAGAGCCGCCUAGAGGGAACCAAAAGGUGAAUGAACAAGAAGUAGAGACGAUUACCGAGAGACAAGGGAGUGUUGGUGGUGGGAAUGGGAGCAGAAUUCUUGUUUUUGUGAGGUUAAGGCCAAUGGGGAAAAGGGAAAGAGAAGCUGGAUCAAGAUGUUGUGUGAGGAUUGUGAAUAAGAGGGAUGUUUAUCUGACUGAAUUCGCCACUGAGAACGAUUAUCUCAGGCUAAAGAGGCUUAGGGGUCGUCAUUUCACUUUUGAUGCCUCAUUUCCUGAUUCCACUACUCAACAAGAAGUUUAUUUUACGACGUGAGUUUGAUAAUACUUCCUUUUUUGUUUUCAUUAACUUGUUAAAUGGCUUUUUUCCCCUUCUUCAUGUUUGGCUGGAUUUGGAUUUUCAAUUUUCUUGUGGACAAUUUUGGAGAAUACUAUAGUUUGCUGGCUCUCUCUUUUUUUUUUUGGCUUCCUGUGUCUUUAUAGUAGGAUCCACAUUGAGUGAGCACUACAGUAGCCAAUCUAGCAGUUACUAUAUUGUGCAUUUCAUAAAGGUAACUUGGUUCUGACUGAGAGUAGCAGUAGUAAUAGCUCUUUGAAUCCCUAAGACUCUAUUAUUGAUUUUGAGUUCUUACCUCACAUCUUAAAGUCUCGUUGCUAGCUAAACUUGUUCCUUCUAUUAUUGGUAAGAUAUUCAGGUUCCAGAACUCUUAUGUAGAAACAUAACGAGGAUUAAAAGCUAGGACUACGUUAGAUGAUAGUUAUAGCCAGAAGUAUUCCUCACUUUACCUUCUUAAGCUUGAAAGGAAGACAGUUUAGUGAGAUGGUUGAUCAUCUAUUACUGGUAAAUUUUCAGAACAGCAGAGCUAGUGGAAGCAGUUUUGCAGGGUAAAAAUGGAUCUGUCUUCUGCUAUGGUGCCACAGGAGCUGGAAAGACAUACACGAUGCUAGGUACAGUAGAGAAUCCAGGUGUAAUGGUCUUGGCAAUUAAGGAUCUCUUUAACAAGAUAAGGCAAAGAAGCUUUGAUGGAAACCACCUUGUUCACCUGUCUUAUCUUGAGGUAUACAAUGAAACCGUCAGAGAUUUGCUUUCUCCUGGAAGGCCUUUGGUCCUUCGAGAAGAUAAAAAUGUAAGUACCUAGUUAAAAUCUACAAGAUUUUCUGGUAAUGAGUCUAUUUAAUAUCAUGCAUAAGGGUUUAUUAUCUCUUUUUCUUUCGAGUUAAUUAUGGUGAUUAUUUGUAUCCUUCAUUUUAUCAUCAUUGAAUUGGUGAAAAUUACAAUAGUAGUUAUGUUGGUACCUUCUGUUUAAGAUGGUGAUUGUUUCCUUUCUGCCAAAUUUUCCUCAUGAGGCAGACAUUUGAGUAUAAAAACAUUUCCUGUAGAUUGGUUCAAAAUGAUUAACCAACCUGAAGCUACAAAUAAGCAAAAAAUUUGCUGGAACUACAAAUGCAUAGAAUCAUCCUUCUUUUAUUGUGUUCUGAGUUUGUCAGCUAAUUUCAAGUACUAAAAUUGCUGAAUUUACAUCCAUUUGAAAUCAAGCUUGCAGCUUUUGUGUUGCCAAUCAUUGUGAACAGCAUUUUAAAGGCUCAACAAUCUAGCAUAUGCUUUUGUGUAAUCAUGUAAAACUUGCCAUGAAAACAUACUAGUAUGCCAAAUUUCUAUGUAAUACAUGAUUUUAGUAUCCUGGUGCAAAAUUCAAUUACUUUCUGGAGAAAUGAUUUACUGCCUUUACUAAAAUUCUAGGGGAUCGUGGCUGCUGGGCUAACUCAAUAUAGAGCAUACUCCACAGAUGAAGUAAUUUCCUAAACUCCUUUAAAUUAGUAGAAGAUCAAAUUUCUACUUAAUCAAAGAACUACAAUCAGACCGUUUUGCUGUUUAAUAGGUAAUGGCUUUACUCCAACAAGGGAACCAAAAUCGAACAACUGAACCUACCCGUGCGAAUGAAACUUCAUCAAGGUCUCAUGCUAUUCUUCAGGUAGUUGCGUUUCUACCUUCCAUUUAAAUCUUAUGCUUCUUCUAUUUCCUGACCGUUUUCCACAAUUAAUAUUACACUCAGGUUAUGAUUGAAUACAAAGUCAAAGAUGCUGCCAAUAAUAUUGUCAGUAGAGUUGGUAAACUUUCGCUUAUUGAUCUUGCCGGUUCAGAAAGAGCUCUUGCGACAGAUCAGAGAACACUCAGAUCACUUGAGGGUGCAAACAUUAAUAGAUCACUUCUUGCACUAAGUAGCUGCAUAAAUGCCCUGGUUGAGGGAAAGAAGCAUAUCCCAUAUCGGAAUUCCAAGCUCACCCAACUGCUCAAGGAUUCUCUAGGUGGAGCUUGUAAUACUGUGAUGAUUGCAAAUAUCAGCCCAAGUAAUCUCUCAUUUGGUGAGACACAAAACACCCUUCACUGGGCUGAUCGGGCUAAAGAAAUUCGGACAAAGGUGUUUACUUUGAUUCCUUGGUCUUUAGUCCUUUAUGAAUUAUUUCUUUAUAUCAUCUGUUAAUGAAACAUGAGGCUGUACCUUUUCAUCAGGCCAGCUAAAUGUUUUGUGUAUUAGUGCACCUACCAAAUGCAUUGACUUUCAAUUGACCAAGUAUGUACUGGUUUCGUAGAUUAAGCCAUAUUUUCUUUGUCAAUGGUCUUGGCUUCUGAUCAACUGCAUAAAUUUGUCAUUAUGUUUGUUACUUUGUUAUUUAGAUUUCCAUCCUCCCGUUAUUAUUGUUCUUCUUUUUCUCCUGUUCAAAAUAAAUUGAACUUCCAUUCCUGGCAGUAGGUUUUGUUAAAUUUUUUUCAUUUUUUCUGGGAUCAUGUAUCUUAGUUUUGAAGAAAACUUUGAAUAUUCAUCAAAUUAUUGCUAAUACUUCCAGGUAGUCUACCUGAUUAUCAGUCGCCUCUGUUUCAAGGAUCAAAAUCACAGUUUUUAUAUUUGCAGGCUUGUGAUGCCAAUGAAGAAAUUCAAGUACCUGAUUCAGAAACAGAUCAGGCCAAAUUAUUGCUGGAGUUGCAGAGAGAGAAUAGAGAUUUGCGAAUGCAACUGGCUCGCCAACAACAAAAGCUACUAGCAGUCCAGGCACAGACACUGGCAGCAAGUUCUUCUCCUACACUUUCUACUGCUUCAUCUCUCUUAUCUCCAGCACCAUCUUCUGCCCUACCACAUGAGAAACGUAAACAGAGACCCUCUUUCUUGGCGGGGACUUGUUUCACUCCAGAAUCUAAGAAAAAAGGAGCUGAUGAAACAGAGAGAUACCUAAGGAAGACUGUCAAAGAAUUGGAGGCAGAAAUAGGGAGGAUGAAGAAAGAUCAUGCUCUGGAGAUAAAACAGAAGGAUGCUUUUAUCCUGGAGCUUUCACGGAAGGGUGCAAAAUUAGCAGGAGCAGGUGGGGAAGGAGUAAGAAGGAUUGUCACUAGAGCAAGUCUGCGGCCAAAGAAAGCACCUGAGGGAGAGUUGAAGAGCCCAAGUCAUCGUUUUACGUCUCCACAGCCUACAGCCAAAAAACGGAGUUUUUGGGACAUAACAACAGCUAACAGCCCAUCAGUUGCUACGUUAAAUGGAAGAAAGACAAGAAGCUAUAUUAGUUCAGAGUGUGCAGCAGCCCCAUCCAUGCUUCUCCAGGUAAAGUUUGCAUUCUGUUUGUUUUCUGAUAUUUAUAGUUUGAUGAAUUAUAAUGAUUGAAAGAUUUCAACUUGAAUUUUGAUGUAUUAUGUUGUGCUUAUCUUCUCAAUUGGAUUGGAUAAUAUGAUGACCUAAAAAUCCCCUAAACAAAACAAGUAUACUUUUUAGUUUCUUUUUUCUGCAACUGAUGCAGCUUGCAUAUCCAUGUUUCUGGUCUAUGUUCCUGCUUGGACCACAUCUCAUCAAUUAUAUCAUUCAGCCUGGUUUUGCCCGCCAAAGACCUGCAACUGUGAAGCGGUAGAAGAUAAGAAAUGAGAGCUUUGUGGCAGAACAAGUUAGCAGUGAGAGGCGAAAAGUGAAGAUGAAGCAGUUGAAGAUAAAGAUAGAAAGCUCUGCCUGCCUUCCUUGCUAGAAUUAUCUGCUCAAGCCGAUGGUCUGACAAGGAAGCUGGAAAUGCAUACUGUUUUUAGUACACGUGUGAUUAUGAUUUUUCAUCCACUAUCUCCUAAGAAUAGAUGAUUCAUGUAGAUUCUUGCUUUUCUGUUAAUCUUGACAUGAUUUCUUCAAUCCAUUUCACCAACAUUUAUUCCUUGGGCUGAUUUCUAACAGUUUGUCCUCCCCUGUUGUUUGAAUUCUAUUGAUUCACUAUUGUAGGACAGCCAUUUACAAAUAAUUUAUUGGUUAUGUUUCUACUUUGCUCUUUAGCCUAUCUUGUGGAAAAUUUUUUUCCCCUUAUCUUUUCUGUCAGUAAAAUGAGGAUCGAGUCAAGAAAUUGGAGUUGAUUAUAUAGUAUUCACCGUGGUAAACUGUCCAUAACUAAAACAGAAUGUGGGUAGAGCUACUUUUUGCCUGACCAUAUCUCAUGUUAUCAUUGUGCAUAGUCCAUAACACAAGGAUCAUGAGACCCUUCUCGAAAUUUUUUUGUGACCAGAAAAUGGACUUAAAAUGUAAAUCCAAAGGGAUUUCCGGUGGUGCCUGACCAGCUACAGGAUCGGGACCAUCAGAGCUUUGAAAACAUGGAACUGUGUAUAUAACACCAUAGAUUUACAUUAAUAAGAAAAAAAACUAUUACACUUCAAGAAGUAAGAUGAUUAAGAAAGAUUGUCGUGCAGUAACUGUACAAAUAUGAAUAACAAAAAGAAGGCAUUCAUUGCCAUUUUUCUAAUUGUCUGUGUGUACAAUCACAAACUUCAGAUAGGAAUGAUAACUAGGUUGGGUGGACGCUCGCAAGGAACUGAUGGGGCGAGGGACGAAGGAGUAUACCCAUCCUCCAUCCCAUCACCCGCCUAUAUAUAUAAUAAAUAUAUAUAACUAUUAAAACUAUUUAUAUAAUAUAUUUAAUAUUAUAAGUUAUAAUAAUUAUAUUAUAAGUUAUAGUAAUAAUCAUACAUUUAUAUUAAUACAAACUAUUGAUUAGUUAUACUAAUAUAUUUAUACUAAAUUACUAAUUACACUGUAUUCUUUUACACUUUACUUUUCACAAUUUCACAAUUCUUUUAUAUAGUAUAUUAUAUAUUGGUUAUGAUUUAGAUAUUUUGGUAUUUAAAAUACUUAAUUAUUAGCCCUAAAAUUUCGUUACAAGGCAAAUUUUUAUUAGCCCCCGCGAGUGCACGAGGCGGGGUGGGGGUACCCUACGCCCGCCCUACUCUGCAGCCAUUCCUAAUUUCUGCUGCUUAUUUUGUGAUUUUGUGCUUUUCAAAUGUAUGUAACAUCUCCUUGAUUGGAUUUAUUGAGAUAACUAUUGGACAAUGGAAUUUUAGAUAUUAUCCAGGAAAGGUAACAAAAAUCACCAGCACUCAGACAACGCCAUUUAUGCAAGAAAUAAGUCAAAGUUUUCUGUCUAGUUUAAUCAUAGCAUAGUUAUGGUAUAAACGCGAAUAUUCUACCUUUAAUCGUAUUAAUUGCGUUAAAAGCUUCUAAUGCGAUGGCCCUCGUUUCAUAUUUUUGUUAGUGUCAUGAUGGCUUUCUGUAAUCAUAAACUAGCCAUAUCAGCGAUAAGAAACCAAGGAGACAUAAUGGCCCUUCUGUUCUUUAACGAAUUUGUUUACAUCUUUCGUACUUAGUGAUCCAAGCACGUAUGAUCAUCAAUGCAUCAAGAAAUGAUCAUUGCUCAAACCUCUUAUGCUAUCUUUCAUUUUCGUGUUCCUUCUUUGUUUUGGAUUGUAUUCCUUCUACUUAGAAUUUUGGUUAGAAAGAGAAAGAAAAGAAAUUUUUUUAAAAAAAAAAAAAACAAAGAAUAGCAUAUUUACUUGAAAAAGGAUAAGGAAGGAAGGAAAUCAAAUAACCACUAACCUUCCACAAAAAAAUUUUAGCCAGAGUAAUUUAGGCACUUCACCCAAAAAAUAAAGGAAUGUUUCUAUGAUUUUUAUUCAUUUUUCUCCUAUCAACUAAAUUAAAAAAAAAAAGUUAUAGCUCACAUUCUUGCUUUCUUUCUUUUUCUUUUUUUUUUUUUUUUCAAAAGAAUCCCUCUCGAUCUUAUGUAGAUCUUCUUUCCAAUUCCACCAACUAAACAUACUCUUAUAUCUUAAUACAAUAUACGUGGUAGGUUUGGGACUGGGUUUAUCAAUUCCAAUGACUCGAUCUUAUGGAUGAUGUAUUUUAUAUGCACACGAAGAUGAAUACAUAAUACUUAGUUUAUUUCAUCAAAAUGAUGGUCAGGUGCGACAACAGUGCAGACCACACAUCCAAUUAUAAACGUUUUUAGUUCUCAAGAACAAGAAAUUUUGCGCCAAAGGAUGCUGUUUGUCGAGCGAAGAAACUGACUAGACUUUAAGCAAAGAUGCUCCAGAAAAUCAUCUAUGCAAUCAGCAAGGUAGGAGCUAGGCUCUUCAAGUUUCAAUGAAUUAGUCCAUAAACUAUAGACAAGUAGGCACACAUCGCUAAAAGGAAUUUCUUAGUCGAUUUAGCUAUCAAAACCAGGUGAUGAGUGCUGAUUGGCGAGGGUGGUCUACAUAGAUUUAGGUUGGUAUUAUAUAACCAUAUGAGAUCGAUGAGAACCAAGUGCAUGCAUUUAGGUUACUUUUAGGUUUUAAUGGAUUUUUUUUCUUGACAAUGACAAUAUGUCCAUUUGCAGGUUUAAAUGCAUUUCAUACGUGCAUGCAUUUACAGGUUUAAAUGACAAAAUAUAUAAUUACAUCACUCGAUCGAUUCAUCCAAAUAAUUGCCACAUCAACAUAAUCAUCAUUGUUUGUUAAUUAUAUGACAUUUGAAACACCAAGAGAGGAUCAUCAUAUUGUGAUCAUCAUAUUGUGAUAAUAUUUGUACAUCCUUUAAAUAUUCUAUUGACGAGCAUAUACAAUACUUACACAAAAUACAUAUUAGGGUUGCAGUAGAAAUUAAAAUAGAUAUACGAAUAUCAUUUACCUAAAAGAAAAAUUAUUGUAACAAACACUUGAAACCUUUCUUAGAGAAGCCAUAGCUCACCAAGAAGCUUUGAAGUUUUUUGCCCCUGCAUUGACUGAAGUAAUUAAUUAUAGACAAUGCAGCAAGCCAAAGCUUUAUGCACAGCAAGCAACUUUUGAAUCUUUGAACCAUAUAAUCUCCAAUUCUAUCUUUCCUCCCGUUGCUGUAAUCUGGGGGAGAUCCUAGAACAUGGCCCCUCCAGCCUCCAGCAGCUUCUCCUUUCCCACUUUGGAUUAAGAAAACAUUACAAAGCCUUGAAAUCAGGAUGUCAUGCCUUAAUAUCAGUAACUAUUGGUUCUCAUGAUGGCAAAACUCUAUUUUUUUCUUCCCUACUUACCCCUUUAGUGCAUAUUUUGAUGCUGUAGUGGCUUAUAUUUGUCAUAAUUACGUUAAUCAGUGGCAACUACAGAUUGAUGAAAUGAUGUUAAACAAAGUUUAGUAGAAUUCAGCGGCUUAUGAAUCAUUUUAUCCAGUCAAAGCAUUUUUCAGCAAAUAAUUAUUCUAUAUGGCUUCUUAGUCUUAGCCAAUCACUACAGUCUGUAUAUAUAUAUUUUUUUUUGGAAGCAAAAAACUGUUUCCACAAAUGGGUGAAGUAUAUCAUCGUUUUCGACCAAUAAAUACUUAAUUUUUUUUUAAGCUUGAUUUGAUAAUUUGCCAAUAAGUACUAGAGUCAAUGCUUUUAGUAACUAGCUGCGUGCAAUGAACCUACGAAAUAUGAUGCUAAUCAAUUUUGUCGACCCAAAAAGCAAAGAACAAAGUGUAACAAAAAAUAUUAUUCCUAUGCGUGUUGCAUUUACUUUUUAUUGAAGUUGUUGGAGCUUCCUUCCCAAAUUUAGUUGUUAUGAAAAUCCCUAAAAGUUGCGUAUAAAAAUGGUUUCUUUGCAACUGAUCGAUGACAAAAUCUUAGUCAUUCUCCUCAACACAAAGGUGAACAUAACAAUUUGACUGAUCUACACUUCUGCAUAACCAAUUUAUUUGCACUUGCCACAGAUAUAGCAAAUGUUGACAAAAGAAUUUGUGUGUCUUACGUACCUUCCUAAUUAAGUUACAAUGUUUAGAUUAGUUGGUAUAUAUGUUAGUGUUUUAAUGUGGUUGAUUGGGAACCAAGAAUUCCAUAAGUGUGGCGCUCUUUAGCCUAUUAACUACUCAUUGUCUGAGUCAAAAAAAGAUGUUUCAUUGGUACUUCAAAGAAAUGAUGUUUACUCAAAUGUGUUUUUUUGCAGCAUUGUCGUCUUAGUCUAAUACAUGGUAUCACAAAUAAGCACAGGAUAGGUUUGGAACACGUUUUCCAAUGAAAACAAGGAUGCUUCCCCAUAGGCCAUAGCUAAAACUCCAUCAGUGGCUGAUGAUAGCCUUCAUAUGGGUGCUGAAGCGGAGGAGGACACAGGAAGUGGCACCAGGUUGCAGCCUCUAUCGAAGUUUGAUCCCUGCAGGAGACGUGGUGGCAGUGGCGAUGAUCCUCUUCUGUUUCAGCCUGCAAGAUUUGUCAAAUGAAUUGGUUAAGCAGUCGCUUGUAUUCCAUUGCCUGUGGAGCAUGAAAAUGUAGCAGUGACCACAGGGGAUCAUGUAUUUUCAUGAAUGUCAUGCUAGUUUCGACCUGAUCUCUAGAUUUAGUUGGUGAAUUAAUGUUUUUUUGCAUUUGGCACAAAAGUUUGCUGUCUCAUUCCUGGCAUUUAUGAUGCAGAAAGCAGGGAAACCCCAAUUUGAAUAUCUUGGGGAUGGUAAGAAAUGGUGAAGAAUACAUUUCAAAGAUAACAAAGGAGAGAUAAGUAUGUUAAGUAUCAAGAAAGAAGAAGAGAAUGUAUAGGAGGAAAGGUCUUUAGCCCAAUUGUUUACAAGUCACAUCUUCGGUACUUAGUGAUCCAAGCACGUAUGGCUAAGAAAUGAUUGUUCAAGCCAAUGGCCACCGCUAUGCCUGAAUAUUGAAUUUUCUUCCUUUUUCCUUCUUCGAUUUUUUUACUAUAUUUCGUCCAUCUAGAAUUUUUGGGUAGAACUAGAAACAGAAAGACAAGACAAAGAAAAGAAAAUAAAGAGUAGCAUAUUAUAAUUUGAAAAGGGAAAAAAAAAGGAAAGGAAAUUGAAUAAACCCUAAAUUUUCACAUAAAACUCGGGGAAAUUAAAAUUUAGUCCCUCUUCACCCAAAAAAAAAAAAAUCUAUCAAUUAUUAUUCAUUUUUCUUCUAUCAAAUAAAUUAAAUCCCCUCUUUAUUUUUUAUUUCCAAUUCCACCAAUUUAAUACUCUUUUUUUUUUUUUGGUGGCAAUUUAACAUACUCUUUUAUGUUAAUAGUACUAUAUAUUUGGGGUUUAGAUAUGGGUUUAUCAAUUCCAAUGAUUUGUUUGCUCAUGUAUCUCAUAUUCACACAAAUUAAAGAUGAUGAAUAAAUAAUACUACUGAUUCAAUUCAUCAACAUGAUACCAAGGAACAACAGCAGUACAAACACAGGUAUUAUAAACUUUUUCUACUCCUCAAGGACAAGGAAUUUUUGGUGCCGUAAAGUGCUGUUUGUCGAGAGAAGAAACUGUGCUGCACAAGACUCUAAACAAAGGUGCUCUAAAAAUCAUGCAUUCAUUUGACAAAGUAAGAGGGCUCUUCAAGUCUCAAUGAAUUAAUCCCUAAACUAUGCAAAAGCAGACACCCAUUGCCAAAAAAGAACUGCUUAGUAGAUGCAGCUAUCAAAACUAUAUGAUCAUAUGGGUUCGGCCGGCACCUACAUUUAGGUUACUAGCUAUGUUAUAUAUGAGAUGUGAACCUGGCGCGUUUAGAUUUGCUUUGGCAUUUUCUUUAAUGGAUUAAUCUUUUUAAUGCUAACGAUAAAUAGAUUGACGAGUUGUUCAAAUGCACGUGUUACGUGUAAAAACGUUAAUACAAACUAUAUGAUAAGAUGAAAAACUACUAAAAUUCACAGCGAACCGUACAAAUACAUGACUCAUUUCAUCUAAAUAGCUACUACGGUCAGCAGCAUGAUGAAUUUCGUUUAUAAUAAUUUUUUUGACAUUUGAAACACCAAGAGAGGAUCAUAUUAUAUAAUCACUUAACCUCUCAUUUUUGUAUAUAUAUAUAUAUCCAAUGAAAAAUUAGAGAGGAGGAACGUGUUCUUGCAUUCAUCGAGUUUAAUUUGUAAGUUUCUUGGGUUUUUGAGUGCAUAUAUCUGAAAUAGCAAUUCUGUAGUUAAAAUUUAAUAUCUCAAUAAAUGCUUGAUUUAGAAGAAAAAAGAGGUAAAAGGGAAAAAGAACAUAAAAAUUUGCACACCCAUUUUAGUUUUUUGCUCAACAUUUUAUUUUUUAUUUUUCCUUUUUUAAGCCUCAUCAUGACCAGCAUCUAUAUUAUCCAAAAUACAUAAUACAAGUAACAUUUUUGGAGAUUAUAGUGUCAAACACUUUAGAACACCUUGAUAUAGAUGGCUCACCAAGAAGCUUUGAAGUUUCUUGAGCUUAUCCUGCAUUGAUUGAAUUAAUUAUAAGACAAAGUAGCAAACCAAAGCUUUAUGCAUAGCACAUAGCUUUUGAAUCUUUGAACCAUAAUGACUAGAUGAUAAAAAAACAAAAAACAAAACAAAAAACAACAGCACAACCUCAACCUCGAUUGCUGUGAACAUAAUCUCCAAUUCUAUCUUUCCUCCCGUUGCUGCAAUCUGCGGCAGAUCCUCAAACAUGGCCCCUCCAGCCUCCAGCACCUUCCCCCUUUUUCACUUUGCACUGUUAAGAAAACAUUAGAAAGCCUUGAAAUGAGGAAACAUAAGAUGCCAUGCCAUAAUAUCACAAACUAUUGGAUCUCCUGAUGGCAAAACUCUCUUAACCCCUUCAUUUAAUAGUACACAUUUUGAUGCUCUAGUGGCUUGUAUUUGUCAUAAUUACGUCAAUCAGUGGCAACUAUGAAUUGAUGAAAUGAUUUUAACUAGCUAGUAGUACUAUAUUCUCUGAGUUUAAAUGCAAUUCAAUAUACAGCAAACAUCUCUAGCAUUGGUUGGUGGUAUCUUUAAGAAUAAUCAGUGAAACUUGCACUUGAUGAAUUGAGUUAAUUUAUUCGUUUGCUUUGUGGGAUGGUGAUCAAGUAGAGGGGAAUCACAAUGUUACAAGAUAAUUAUGCAGGCCAUAACAAAAGAAUGGAUAGGCCGAUCCAGUAGUGGAAUUUUAAUAUUGGAAAAAGAACUGGCACAUUAUUUUACCUUCAAACAUGAUUUUUUAUUUUUUUUCAAAAAAAGUAGUUUCUUAAUUAGGUAUUGAGUCCCUAGCUAUCUCCUUGAUUUUUAACAUAUAGGGCUAACUUUGAGAUAAAAGGAUUAAAAACAUAAAGGAUAUUCCAUCUCCUAGACAUUUGUUUGUUAUAUCCUCGAGCAAACAUGAGGGAAAGGCGGCUUUGGAUUUCUUCACAACCUGAUUCCAUUCCCCUAGCUAGGCUGUUUUCCUAAUGCUGAAUAUUGUCUCAUGUUCUCAGGUUGGAUCAUUUGUGUUGUGUUGUGUUGUGGAUAGAGGAUGACAUUUUGGCUAAUUUUUAACUAUUUAAUGAACAAAAAUAUGGCAGGCCAGACUUUGGAGCAAUAUAAAACCUGUCAGGCAAAGAUUUGUGAUUGAGUUUGCUUUUGGUUGGGGACUACAAUGAUUCAAAGCUUUAGUAAAAUGUUGUUCUUGGGAUUCUCAUACACGUUACUUUGAUCAACUUAGACCAAACUUAUGCACCAAAAUCAAUGAUUGGAACAUCUAAUGCCUUUGGAUCGGAUGCUGAAAUUUCACAGGUAUGACGUUUUUUUUUAAUAGGCUGUUUGUCAGAAAAAGCAACCUCACAAUCAAAAUAAAGAUGUAAAAGAAUACACUUCAAAGAAUUAAGGAUGGAAAACCAGACAGCUGGAAUUGAUAACACCACAAAAAUGUCAAAAGUGAAAUCCUGUCACAAGACUGGGAAUUGGGAAAUGCUUAAACUCAAAAACAGGAAGAGACGAUGAAUUAAUACAGGAAAAAGAAUUGAGAAUAUGUGAAAGCAGAGGAAGAUCUCUGAUAUUUCCAACAAAUAUUAUGGCUUUUGUUUGUCCAAGAAUCUGCUAAGCAAUCAAAAAGUAUACAGGUUUACCGUGCCAGCAGCAGAGGAAAAUUAUGCAAUACCUAUGCUAAGACGACCUUAAAAGUUCUUCAAAGGAGUAUGAUGGAACCAGGACACCUAUCAUUGAACAUUAGAACAUUGCCCGUCAAGAAAUUUGUCGAAGAACAAAUUCAUCAUAAGACCGCUAGACAUAAAUAACAGGAUUUAUUUCAACAUAAUCUGAAACUUCUUCACUAAAGUAAAGAAAGCUUUGGCUAUUAGUAUAUGUUGCUUACUUGAGCUGAAAUGGUCCACUGUUGAUCAGAUACAACAAUCAGUGAAGAAGAAAAUUGGAAAUAGAUGUACAAACUUAGAAAGAUUAACUAAGAAUAGAGUAAGAAACCAACUCAUGAAUCUUUUCUACAUUUAGGCAAGUAAUAUAUAGUUUCCAUUCCACCCCAAAACUAAAAAUUACAGCAAACACAGUUUCUUGACAUUCUAUAACUACAAAAACAGGAAAAGACCAUGUUAAGAAACAUCCAAGGCAACUAAACCUCAAUGUUCAUGGCAGAGUUCUGGAUGAUCCUUAGUUUCCUCCUCUACCAAAGAACGAAAAGACUGAAAAGAAAAACUACUAUCUAAGCAGCUUGCAUCAGUGGAACUUCCGGUGGAUGUUUAGACUCUAAGCAAGUAAAUACUGAGUUCAGGAGCUCCAUUGCUAUCAGGAUUCAUCAUGUAAAAUGCCUCCGAAUCUCUAGAACCAACAACUCUCUCGAACUUAGCUCUCAUGUACAUCAGUUCUCCAUCAGACUCAGCAGCAUCAUCUGCAUUUCCAGGCAGAACUCCUGCUCCCAUCGAAAUGGGCUCCACGGCCUUCAAUAUAUUCCAUUCUUUUGGUCCACAGUCCCUCCUUGCAGCAAAGCCACACCUCUUUCCAUUGCAGUAAGUCCUCCAUCGAGGCUCUUCUAGUAGUCUUGUGCUCUUCUUUUCUUCCUUGUCACAUUCCAAUGCAAUCCGAGCCAAACCAGAUGCCAUUUCACGAACCAAUCCAGUUAUAGGUGUGGCAAGCUCAAUCAAGAAGACUGGUUGUGAAUUGGGAUCCUUCUGGAAUGCAAAAUGUACGUGUCCUCUUCUGUUGCCAAAGAGUGUUCCCACCACUCUAGUGCCAAGACCUUGCUGAAAAUGCGCCCUGUGUCGACCAAAAGCCGUCAGAACAGAGCGCAGCCUAGAAACUGCUAUUGCUUGCAGUUUCUUCCUUGUAGCAUUAGCAGAAGUAGCUGCUGAUUCUUGCACCUGUUUAUUAUCUUCCUUUUUCACCUGCUCUAGAAGGUUCUUUGAAGAAUUUGAGUCUACAGGCACCUUAUCCUUCUCCCCUCUUACUUCUUCAAUAGCUUUGGAGCAGGACUUGGUUGAAACCUCUUCAUCUUCACUACUGACCUUGGUUGUCCAGUGAAACUGCCUCUUGGAAGCAGGGUCCUGGAUAUUCUUUGCCAUGAUUGUCUUCAUCUGAGAGAGGAAAUACUAAGGGCAAGACAAAUCCUUUAAGAAUGAGUUAGUGGGAAUGGAAAGAGAAUGAGAGAGAAAAUAUUCCAAUUUGUUCCUUUUUUCCUGUGGAUUUGUAAUUUCUUUCUUUAUUUCCUUUCUCUUUUGUUUGUACUGCUUUUGGUAUAGAGCAUAUCUAAGAAUCCUGACAAAGAGAGCAUAAGCUACCCCACAGCAAUAGGAGAGAAAAGCACAAAGAUUUUUGAAAUAAAGAAAAGAAUCUGGGGAGACAUUGGUUGUGUUACUUCACUUUCUUGUGGGGUAGAUAGUGAAAGGAGUUUUGCUCUGCUGACUCUUCUUUUGACUUCAAUCUCAAUACAGCGAAAUUGGAGUGCUCACAAAUACCAGCAAAAAGAACCAAAACAAAAGAGACAUCGCCAUUCACACUGAACUGUCCAACACGUACCAGAAUGAUGUUUGGUUCCAGUAAACUGAGAAAACAUCCAGAUUCUCCUAAGGUCUGCACCAGACAUGAUAUCCCCAAAAGACUGGUAGUGCUCAGUUAUCGGCAAUAUAAUUCACUCGGUGACGUAAUGUUUAGGUUAGGCGUUCAGAUUCCCGCAUAGAACUUCAUGAGUUGUGCCCAUUUCACCAACCACAAACUUUACCUUCCUGGGGAUCAUCACUCUAGUGGAUCCCUUCAAUCAAUGUCUAGGCUUGCACACGACAGAAGUAAAUACACGCAUGCACCAGGUGAUAAAUCGCAGAAAACAUAAAUUCAAGAUAUCAAAGGGUCCAUUUGAUUGCGUAGUUCAACAAAGAAUCUGAAGCUUAAGAGAGAUUCAUUUGAUUUACGGCUUAAAGAAAACCUGAAUUUGAUGCGUAGCUUGGUGGCCGAUGGCCAGUUUCUUGCCUUAGUGCAGGAGUUGAGAGAGCACUUCCUAAGUAUUGCAUCUCAAAGUAUGCAAAACAAGCACAACAAAAAGAUGGAAAGGGAAAAGAAAGCAUAGCCAGGUGAAUAAAAAAUAAAAAAAAAACGCAGUUACUACUAGUUAGCAUCCUCCCAAGUAACACAGACCGCCAUUUUAAGCAUCCCAAGUAGGACCUAUUCUAGUGGCCUCGGAGCACCAUGUAAAGCUGGAAAACCCACUCCGGAGAAUGAUCAAAUGAUUACUUGGCCACCAUAGAAUUUAGCAACUCAUCAACUCAAUUCAGAGGGCGCAUUUUAUACUGUAAACUAUAACGUUAUCCUUCCCAAUGGCUAGUCGUCCACUACAGACUAGGCCAUGGCUUUCCAUGGAAAAGGUGCAGUGCUGCAACUUCAAUCCUCAUUCACUAAAGCUCCUCCUUGGAUUAAAUGGGAUACUAAGCAAGAGAAGCACACCGCCUGACUGCACUAACUGAGCUAAAUAUGAAACACACACACACACAGACAGGACGGCAAAUUUUAACUGACUAAUUAGUAAUUACACAGUAUAUAAACAUAAUCCGUACGGUACAAUUCUAACUCGGAACAGUAUAAAAUGUCCACUACCAAAAGCUUUUUGUACAUCAGAUAGGAAAGAGAAGCACUAAUUAACCAGUCCAGAUGCUUGCCUACAGGUUCGUUAUAAUGGAGGUCCUACAAGUUAGCUAUUCAAACUGGGCUCAGGUUCUGAGUCCGGUUGCUUGGGGACUGU
rnacentral:lncRNA from 1 species